CCACCAACCUACACCGUGAGUAUGGCAUUAGUUUUAUUGACUGAAAAUGUCGUCUCUUACACAGAUCACUGGUUACGGAUUUAUUAAUUCACAUUGCAUGUGGGAGUAAGAUACUCUGACUACUCGUGUAUGUGUAAUAAAAAGGCUAUAUUGAAUCAUAAAAUUAUCUGGAAACAUGAGCUCUGUAUUAAGUACCUUUGUUAAGUGAUGUUUCUAAUGCCAUAUUGGAAGCAUAAAACUAAUUAGAGGAAAGGGACACACUUUUAGGGGUUCCAGGGUGGCAGAAAUUCUGUACCUUUUGGAUUUAGAAUGUGUGUGAGCUGGAGCCUAGGCUUUUAGGGACAUAGGAAGGCAAGGUGCAGACAGGGAAGGAGUCUGCAAGUAAGGGAGGUAGUCCACUACCCACCCUCACCGUAUUACUUAAAGGCACGGACAAUCUAAAAGAGCAGAUUGUCCAUCUAGUUUCAUUUUUAUUAUUGCGAACUCAAGUGUAGAUAUUAGUGAAGAGUUAAAUGACCAACACAAAAGGGAAGCAGGAAGUAGAGAGGAAGCCAAAUAAGUAAAUUCUGAGUUGUGAACAUGGAUUUUGAUGAGAUAAAAUGUCAAUAGCUUUAAAAUUCUGCAGAGUAACAGGAUAUAUUCAGUCUUCUGAAUAGAAUUAUGCUUUUAGUAAGAAAAAUUAAACAUUCCCUUAACAUGUCUCAGCAGCGGCAAUACUCUGCAGAACAACCAUUACAGCCAAGUAGUUACUAUUGGUUUUUAUCAAAUACCUUUGAAGAAAUGUGUCCUAAGAGUGAUUUUCUAUAGAUUUCUUUAGCUGAGAAGUCUUUGAAGUAAACCAAAAUAAAGUGAUAAAAUUGUAAAGAGUAAGAAGAUACAUAAAUUUUUGUUUAAUUCUGUUGCUAUGACAAGUUUGUAUUAACAUUGGCAAAGACUAAAAUUAAAUAAAACAUUUAAAUGCUUAUAGUUUAUAUAUUACAUUCAGUCACAAAUCAUUUAAAAUAUUGGUGUUUUAGGAAAGGAAAUUUUGGUGAAUAAAUUUCAAGAGGCCCAAUAGAUCAAUUAUAGAUUUUAUCUCAAUAAGUAUGCUUGAAUAUCACCUUCUACAUUUAAUCAGUACUUUUCAAGGAAUAAAAAUAAUUUGGAUUUAAAUGUAGUAAAACACGACUUGUUUUGAAAUUGUACAUUGAAAAAAAAUUGGAAGAAGUACUCUUAAUGAUAUUGCCAUGUUUUUUUUUUCUAUAAAUGUUUCUGCUUUAAAGCCAUUUUCCUGCUGAUGGAACUUUCCUUCAGAAUUCAUGGAAGCUUAUGAGCCCUGCUUCCUAUCUUAUGUUCUAGGCAUUACAAAAUGUUUUACUUUAUAUUAGGAUUAUAUUAGAAUUCAAACUAUUCCUGGGAAAGUUCUUUGGGGAAUUAAUAUUGAUUUUAAAAUGUUAUAAUUCACAUAUUGAGGUUCCAUUUUAAUUGAUCCCACUCAUUUUAAUGUCUGUUUUAAAUUGGAAUUAUUAGAUACAUAACAGCAAUUGUUGUACUUCCCAACAAGAUUUUAGAUAAUUUUCUUUACUUUGUUUUUAGUUUCCAUAGACUUAAGAGUUGUAGAAAUCCAUCCUAAUUUAUCUUUCACCUAGUGGAACUUUCCUGGUGGUCCUUCUGAGUAUAGUAGCCAAGAAGAAGCAACUGUAGUCCCUUUGAAUCCUCUAUUUUGACAACCUCUUUGUUUACCUGAACUUUUCAAGUUAAAAUAGUGAACCUCUCUUUAGUUAAAUUGAACAAUUUAAAGUUUGCAAUCCAUUCCUUAUCCUGCUGAUUCUCUAUAGUGUGUUUGUAAUUUGAGCUCUCCAUAUCCACACCUGUGCCUAUCUAGGUUGAUAAGAAAAGGCAAUAAUAAACAGCGGGGAGGGGCAGGGAGAUUAAGGAUGGCUUUAGCCUGCAGGUGAGUGUUUUUAAAUUUGUGAGUCACUACCUAUCACUGGAUCUGAAAAUCAAUAAAGGCUACUUUUUUGUUUGUUUGUUUUAAUUUGAAUGGAAUAGAAGAGAUUAGAAAAAUCCAAGAAAGUAUCCUAGGUUAAUAUUAUAGGAUGAAUUUAGAUUUCUGUGUAUGAUAACUGGGUAAAAAUAUAAAAUUUAAUACACACUAUAGUUAUAAGGAUGCACUAAUGGGUUUUAAUUGGGAGAGUGGCUUAGUCAGAUUUGCAUUAUAUGUAUGUGUGUAGGUAUAUAAAAUAUGUAUUACUUUGACAGAAGUGAGGAAAAUGGAAUAUGAAUGUGAUGUGGACAAAACUAGGAAUAAGCAAAUCAAUUAACAGACAGUUGUAAUAGUCCAAAGAAAGAUAAUGAUAAGCCUUUGACCUGUAGGAGUGGCAGAAGGUGUGGGAAGGAAACAUUUCAAGAGCUGAGUAAGGAGUCACAUUGGCAUGCUUGAUUGUCAAUUGAAUAUGGUUUUGUAAAGAAAGAAUUUAGAGGGACUAUCAUAUCAAUUGUUUGGUAAUUAAGGGCCACUGACUGAAAAGUAGAAUUAAAGAAGCUAAGUAGGUCUAGGUAGGUAAGCUGUGAGGAGUUUGGAUUUUGAUAUAAUGAUUUUGUGGUACUUGUGCUAUAGGUCUAUAGGUCCAAGAAAUAGUUGGGUAUAUGAACCUGAAAUAGUUAAAUGGAAAAGUAGAUGACAUCACCAAAAUAUAUAUAGUUACAAGAAAAUAGCAUAGAGAGCCCUAGGUAAAAUUAGUGCAUAAUGAAUGGGUAAAGGAAAAGGAUCCCAUGACUCAGCUGAGAAAUAAAGAAAUAGAAGAACCAGAAGCCAAGGUAGUAGAGGGGCUCAAGGGGAAUCUCCAGUAGUAUCAAAUACAGCAGAAAAUCAGUUAAUAACUUCAGAGAUAAAAAAAAUAUCCUUUGAAUUGUCCAUAUAGAAGUAAGUCAUUGGUGGCAUUUGUUAUAGCAGUUUUAAUAUAUACGUGGGUGGAAAUACUCUAUUUCAAUAGUUGUGAGAAGGAAAUGAGAAGUCAGGAAAGGAAAUGGUGAUUGUACAUGACUUUUUCAAAAUGCUUGACUGUGUAGGAAAAGAGUGAUAGGUAGACAGGAAGUAGGGUGGCUAUACUUAUGUUACUUGGUGCAUUCUAUUUUGCAAGUCUAGAUUGAUGGAUACACAUAUCAGUAUACUUUAUAUUUUUGAUAACUGUGUAUAAACUAUCCAAAGAUUCUUUUUUAGUUAUUAGUAAAAUGUCACUUAGUCAUAUUUUAGACAUGCUGUAUAAGUUGUCAUCACUUAAUCAAAGUAAUAAAUGUAUCAAAAAUAAUGGUGAAGUUCAACAAAUUGAGUCCCUCAAGUGUAAGUAUAAAUGAGACAGAAUGCCUGUCUCUUAUUAAGGGUUUUCUCUCAAGUUGGAGGUGGCAGUUACAUAAUCAAAUAAAUUAUAAUACUAUAGGAUGAGUGCAAUAUGUUAAAAAAUGAUUUAUUCUGUUUGGGGUUGUUGGGGUCAAGGAAGGAUUUAAGAGCCUGCAAUAGUUAAUAUGGAUUUUGAAAGAUGGAUAGUUCAGUAAGUAGGCAGUUUUGGAAUACAGUUUUCCAGACGGAGAGAACAGUUGCCCAAGGCCCAAAACACCAGGUGGUGCUGGGGUAAUUUAAAACAUGUGCUCAAUACUGGAACCUGAGCACAUGUGUGUAUAUGUAUUUGUGUGUUAUGUGGUUGUGUGGGUGGAUAGGAAUUCGUAUGUGUAGGGGUGAGUGUGGGUUUUGUGUGUAAAAGAGAAGACAGAAAGGAGGUAGGAAGUGGUGCAUCAGAAUCUCUGGAGAACAGGACAUUUGUCUAACUUGGAAAAAGUAAAUAAGUAAUUGUGCCUUCUCUUAGGUUUUAUUUUUAAUACUGUAUUUUGAAAUUUGACAUACCAUUAUGGGGUUUUGAGUUUUUCAAAGGAAUUAUGGAAUUAAAAAGUCUGAGGAACUCUUGUGUAUACAUCAAUAUCUGUCCUAGGUGUUAGCAGGAAUAAAUAGGAGAGAUAGGAGGUAGGGCAGAUUUGAGGAAAUUUUCCAGGUAGUAUAAUUAGAGUAUAGUGAUUCAUUAGAUAUAGUAAUAAAACAAAGAUGAGAGGAGAUAACUCACUUUAGUUCAAGAGAUUAGGUGAAUGUGAUAAAAUUAAGACGAGAGUUAAUUUAGGCAUGAAAGCAAGUUUAGAUUUAGCAUUAGACUUAUGUAUUAGUAGACAAAGAUCUCUCCAAUUGAAACAUUCAGAAGACAGUUGGCUAUUCGUAUCUCAAACUCAGGAGAGGGUUAGAUGAGAUAUACUAAUUUGUGAGCAAUUACUUUAUAAUAAAAACCAUUAGGACAACUGAAAUAGCAUGGAGAGAAAGUAUAGAGUUGGAAGGAAAGACUGCAAUCAACAGUGUAGAGGGUAUCAACUGUACUGAAACAAAGAGCAGAGGAAUUUAGUAAAUUAUGAAAGAUCAUGCAAGAACAAACUUGUCCCAGUUUUCCUGGCACUAUCCAUGCUUUAGUACCGAAAGUCCCAUGUCCUGGAAAUCCCCCAAACUUACCCCCCAGUCCUUGGAAAAUUGGAAUGGUUGGUCACACUAGAACUGAAGUUGGAAUUUGCAAGUAAAAAUCCAGAAAAUGAGGGUAUAAAGGGAAAUGUACAAAGGAAAAAAAAUGCUUAGACAAUGUUUGUGUUAUCGGGUGGAAGGUGACAUUAUCAGGAAUAAGUUGAAUCCAUAGAGGUACAUGUAUCAUAAUUCAGUCUUUCUUGUUUUGCUUUGUCUUUGUUGGUGAUUGCCUACUUUUUAAAAUGAACAUGUAAUUCACAUACCAUAUAUACAAUUCACCUUUCAAGGUGUGCAAUUUAGUUGUUUUCACAAAAUUGUGCAAUUGUCACUUCUUUGUAAUUUGAGAACCUUUGAUCAUCCCAAAAAAGAAACCUACUAUCCAUUAGUAGUCAUUUUCCUAUUCUCUUUAAAUCUCAGUUCCUAGCAUUUCUCAAUGGAUUUGCCCCUUCUGGAAAUUUCAUAUAAAUGGAAUCAUACGAUAUAUGGACUAUUUAUGACUGGCUUUACCAUUUAGCAUGAUAUUUUCAAGAUUCAUCCAUGUUAUACAUGUGUCAAUACUUCAUUUUUCUUAUUGCCAAAUAAUAGUCCUUUGUAUGUAUACACCACAUUUUUGUUUAUACGACCAUCAUUUAAGUGGACCUUUGGAUUGUUUCCAAUAUUUAAGCUAUUAUGUAUAAAGCUUCUCUUAACAUUUAUGUAUAAUUUUUUGAGUAGACAUAUAUUUUCAGUUCUCUUGAGUAUAAACCUAUGAAUGAAAUUGCUGAGUCAUGUGGCAGCUGUAUGUGUACAUUUUUUAGGAAUUGUCAAACUGGAUUUCAAAUCAGCUACACCAUUUUACGUUGCUACCAGCAAUGUAAAAGAAUUCCAAUUUCUCUAUGUCUCUGCCAACACUUGAGCUUGUUAGUCUUUUUUGUUAUAGCCAUUCUUGUGAGUGUGAAUUGUAUGAAUGGGUUAUCUUAUUGUGAUUUUGAUUUGAUUUCUAUAAUGAAUAAUGAUGUUGAGUAUCUUUUCAUGUGCUCAUUGAUUAUAUUUCGCUUCUUUGGAGAAAUGUUGAUCAAAAUCUUUUGUCCAUUUUUAAUUGAGUUAUUUGUCUUUAUUGAGUUGUAAGAGUUCUUUAUAUGUAAUGGAUACCACAUCCUCAUCAGAUAAAUGAUUUGCAAAUAUUUUCUCCCAUUUAGUGAGCUGUCUUUUUAUUUUCUUGAUAGUACCUUGAAGCACAGGUUUUUAAUUUGAUGAAGUUCAAGUGAUCUAUCUUUCCUUUAGUUACUCAUGCUUUUGUUGUUAUAGCUAAGAAACUAUUGUGAAAUCCCAAACUCCUUCUUCUUAGGGUUUUAUAGAUUCAGUUCUUAUAUUUAGGUCUUUAAUCCAUUUUGAGUUACUUUUUGUAUAUGGUGUGAGGUAGGGAUCCAAUUUCAUUCUCUGGUACAUUGGAUAUCUAGUUGUCAAAAAGUGGUUAUAGCAGACAUACGUAUCUUGUUCCUUAUCCUAGGAAGAAAGCCUUAAUUUCCCUAUUUUUUUUUUAAAUUUUAAAUGUUUAUUUAUUUCUGAGAGAGAGAGUGAGACAAAGCGUGAGUGGGGGAGGGCCAGAGAGAGGGCGACACAGAAUCGGAAGCAGGCUCCAGGCUCUGAGCCAUCAGCCCAGAGCCCGACGCGGGGCUCGAACUCACAGACCGCGAGAUCAUGACCUGAGCCGAAGUCGGACACCCAACCGACUGAGCCACCCAGGCACCCCUUAAUUUCCCUAUUAAAUAUGAUGUUAGUUGUGGAGUGUCAGUAGAUGUUUUUUUUAAAUUAGGUUUUGGAAGUUUCUUUCCAUUUCUAGUAUGUCGAGUGUUCAUGUCAUAAAAGGAUAUUGGAUUUUCUCAAAUGCUUUUUCUGCAUUUAUUGAGAUGGUAAUGUGCUUUUUGUCCUUUAUUUUAUUAACAUGGUGUACUGCUUUGAUUUUCAUAUGUUGAACCAAUCUUGCAUUACUGGGAUAAAUCCUAUUUGGUUAUCCAUUUUACAUAUUUCUUUAUUUGAUUUGCUAUUAUUUUUGAUGAUUUUUGUGUAUAUAUUUAUAACUAAUAUUGGUUUAUAGUUUUCCUGUGAUUUCUUUGUCUGAUUUUGGUAUCAGGGUAACAUUGAUCUCAUAGAAUGAAUUUAGAAGUAUUCCCUAUUAUUUCAUUUAGAAAGAGUUUGUGAAAGAUUACUGUAAAUUUUUUUCAGAUGUUUCAGAAUUUACCAGUGAAGCCAUCAGCUUCUGUGAAAGCUAAUGGGAAGCUAUUUGAUUACUUAAAUUCUGUUUUAUUUGAACAUUUAUAAUGAUUCUUAUAAAUGUGUAUGAAAUCCUCACAUCUUCAGAAAAGCUCAUAUUCAAAAGUCAAUUCUAUAUAACCCUUGAACCAUUCAUGAUUUGGGAUUAUUGACACUUGUGAUUUCUAGUUCCUAGAAAAUAAAUUUAACUCUGUUGUGUGUAUGCGUGUGUGUGUUCACAUGUAUGACCAAUUUCAUCAUAUAAAAAUUACCAGUGUAACCUCAGAGUCUGGGUUCAGUAUAGUUAAGGAAUCAAUCAGAAGGUGAGAUUCUUUGGUUUGGAUUUCUCUGAUUACAUUUGGAAAAAAAAUGAGAAAUUGGUUUUGGUAUGAGUUUGUUGUUUUUGUUUUUGUUUUUGUUUUUUACUUUAAAAAAUUUGUUACUCAUAUGUUUGUAAGUUCUGUAAUUAAUUAUCAAUUUAAUUUAUUUAACAAAAAAUGGAUUUAGGUUCUAGGUAAAAAUUCAAAUUACUGAGUCUCAGGAUUUUAUUUUGCUAUUUUGUUUUUGUCCUUUCUAUUUCUUCUUUUCUAGAAAUGAUCUCUCUAUGCAGUGGUAAUUCAUAUCCUGGACUGGAUCAUUGAGCACCAUCUGCAUUGAAGCUUUUGACAUGGACAUGUGUGUCACACAUACUCUUUUUUUCCCCCUUCUUCACAGUUUCAGAUGAGUCAGCCUUGAAUUGACAGGGAGGCUAUAUCCACACUUUUUUAAUAGGCAUACUUUUUCAGAUCUCAAGGGCAUGCUUUUUUCAGCAAUGAAAAUCUUUGUUCAGAUUAAUUGUAACACAGGGACUUCUGAGGACCAACAUGUAUGGGAUCAGAAUGAAUAUAAUCAUGUAAAUGUGGUAGCUUAUAUUUAACCUAAUUUUAAAAUAGUGCCUUGGGAAUAAAAAAUAUAAUGAGGAAAAUAUAUAUUAAUAUAUAUGCUUUUCCCAUAAUUUAUGUUAAAUAUACAUAUAUCUUUAUACUUGAUUAUAUCUUUUUAUCAUAUACUAAUUAACAGAGUAAACAGAAGCAUGUCUCUGAAAUUAUAAACAGUUGGACAGAAGCCCAUGUCCCAAUGUCAGUAUGCCUUUAAGCUCUGCAUACCAGACGUGAACUUCAGGCUGUGUAUAUUAAAUGCCUAGAAUUCUGUCUUGCCGUAGUAGUGGAUUGCAGAGGUUCCAUGGAUAAUGUAGAAAAUUGGGCAGCUCACUGGCAGACUGUCUACCACCCCAGAUACAACACCAUCAUGAAUACAGUGAUUCUUCUCAAAAACCUGGGAGAGGCCCUGUGAAUGCUGGAAUCUAGCCUGCUUUUCCCUGGUUGACCUGAUCUUGCCCCUCUGCACCUCCUGGGCCAUGUGGUAUUCUCUGUUCCUGAAGCUUAGCAGAUAUUGUACUCAGCCUUUUCCAAAUUCUCUUAAAUUCUCAGUUCAGGUGUGGUCUAUUCCUUCAGUAGAUACCAGUUAAAUCAGCUUUGGAAGAGAAGGUAGCAUUGAGGAGAGGGGAAGUAAACUUCUUCAACUGAUAGAGAUUGUGCAGUAGGUGAAGCAGUUUGCUGCUUGCUUUCCAAUGAGUCAGGCUGUUCAUUCUUCUUUCAACAAAUAUUUAUGUAGUUUGUACUGUGUGUAGAGCCCAGUGCCAGGCACUGGAUAUGAUGAUGGAUAAAGUAGAGUCCUUGUCCUUGUAGAACUUAAGAGUGUGGGAGGAGAGAAUCUAAACAAAAACACAGUUUAUAAAACUCUUCAUUUUUAACAAGAGCCUAAACUGAAUCUAUGUAGUGUUAGAGAACUACACAGGGGAAACUAUUUAGAGAGCAUGUUCAAGGAAGACACUGAGAAGAGAUGAUAUUUAGGGAGAGAUUUGAAAGAUGAGGAGUCAGCCUUGUGAAGAGCCAGCAGAAGGGAAUUCCAGGCAGAGAAGAUGGUAUGUGCAGUGCAUCUUAAAUGGAAACCAGUGUAGCCUGGUUAGGGGACUAAAAGAAGGCAGAAAAAUGUGAGGAGGAGGGCAACAGAUGAGACUGAUGAGAUGAGCAAGAGUUACAUCUUAGAGACCUCUCAGAUCUCCAGAUUUUAUGUAAAACUAUUGAAAAGGCCUUGAAGCGGUUCGAAGAAAGGAGAUUCAUGAUCCAAGGUAGUGUGACAAGUGGGUUGGACGAGCAUAAAAGAACCUUAGGAGGCAGUUGUGGUGGUUUAGGCAAAACAUAAUGGUGGCUUGGACUCUGCUGGUGGCAAUAGAGAUGAAGCAUGUGGAAUUAAAUGGGUUUGGUGAAGUUUAGUGGAAUUUAAUGAAAUUUUAGAAGCAGUGAAAGACAAAAGGAACUUCUGGUGUAUAGUGAAGGGAGGGGGCUCCAGGUUAUAUGUGUAAUCUCAAUAAUAGAUUGAAAACAUUGAAUGCAUAAUGUGCAGGAACAUGUUUUCUCAUAAAAUCUUAGCAUCGUAUUAUGUAUACAAACAUAUCUUAAAUGGCAUAUAUAAGUGAAAAAUUUAGAAAUCUCAGUUGUAUUACUUCAGGUAAAUUUGUAUAGAAUUUCAAAUAUUAUUGAUGGUAAAUAAUGAUAAAAAGUAAAAUUGAGUAAAAAUUGAAACAUGAUUAGACUUUGCCAUUUUAAAUGUUCUUUGUGAUUUUUUUUCACUCUGAUAAUCUUUUGGAAAAGAUUUAAUAAUUUUGUAGGUGUUCUACACUACAGGAAAUAAAUAUUCUAACAUAUAUACUAGAUAAAAAUAUUGCUCCUUUUUUGAAAAAUAUCUCAUUUUUGAUUAAAACUCAGUCAAGAAGAAAGGGAAUAUUUCCAUAUUCAAAGUAUCUUUUAGCUAUAUAUUUUAUCAUGAAUGAAAAUAUUAUUCAGAGAUAAGAAGCCUCUUCUCUACUGUUUUAAGCCAUAUGUUUACAUUAAAAUGUGAUGAGUUUUAUUUUUUUGCAGUUUUUUUUUUUUGCAUAUACAAUAAAAAGCAUUCAUUGUUACAGUCUAUAUUUCUAUUACCACCUAUAGUAGGGAUCAUACUGAGCGGGUAAUAUUAAAAAGAUAAAAGUUCCAAAAAAAUAUGUUGUUGUCCUUUAGAAUAAAGUCGGUACAGCCAGUAUCUUGGAAAUAGAGAAUACUAGGGAUGCUGACAUUUCCAAUUCAUGGUUAUAAUUAGGAAGUGACAGUGUGGCUUUUAUAUAUAAAUUGUGUGGCUUUUAUAGUCUUCAUUCUCUAUAUGAUUUUGUGGUUUAUGCAAAUCAUUCUAUGCCAGUUCAUUGAGUCUUAUAAAGCCCCUCUUUCUGCUGUAACUAUUUUAAGAUAAUAUUGUUUUCAUCUCUGUCUGAAUGCUCCCCGAAGAAGGUGCCUUCUUCAACUUCUUGGGUAUUAAAAAAGUUUAGUUCUGUAAGAGUAGACCCAUUGUAGUUUUAUAUGUAAUAGUUAUUUUUCAUGGAUCUUAAUUAAUCAUAAAUUACUUUCACCAGUUACCCCUUGUUGACUGAACUAGGUCCUCUGUUAAUGAUGCUCUGAACAGUUUUUAUUUUGGUGACCCUAACCUUGGAGAACCUUGCCCAUUGUAUGCUAUCUAGGUCUUUUGUUCCUAUGAAUAGAGGGGGUUUUAGCUAAAAGCAAUUCGUUUCCUCCUGUAUGGAGCAUCUGACUAGAAUCCUAUUUUUUUUAUUAUCUUGUUGAUCCUAUCAGGAAGCAAUUAGGGUCACCUUUACCUUAGGCCUAGGGCCAACCCCAAGCAACUAGCUCAAUGGAUCUUUAUCUUUUCAGCUUUCUUUGGCCAAUCUUAGACCAUGUGAUAUUUGAUAUUGAUAUUUUAAGGAGAUUUUCUGAAACACUAAGGCUGUUUCCUGAAACACUAGAAGCCUAAGCAGACUUUUGUUUGAGUUCAUUUAACGUCAGCUUUAACUGAAGUCACAUGGUAUGAGCAAAAACUGAGUUUGAUGAUCAGUGCUCUUGGCCAGCAUAUGGCAGACUCUUACGACAUGAACUUUGAUAGUAAAUUGUCCCAGGGUCACUCAGCAGGAGAGAGGCAGAUCUAGGUCUAAAUCCAGGUAUCUGGAUUCAUAGUAUAGGAUGGAUUCACAAUAUCCAGAUGAUCUACAUUAUGAUUAAGAGGAAUUUUUCAAUUCUUCAGUAAAUAGUAAAUCCUAGCAUUCAGGGUUUGAACCAAAUAUUUUUAGUUCUUGCUCUGGUACUCACUUGCUGGGUGACAUUAGCCAAGUUGUUUACCCUCUUAAAUCUUAGUUUUCUCUUCUGGAAAAUAGGAAGAAAAUUGUUUCUAGUUAUCUCAUGGGAGUUUUUGAGGAUGAAAUGAGAUAAAGUACAGAAGAGAAUUGUGUAUAAAGUACUGUAUAAAUAUUAUUCACAUAUUCUGAAGUAGCAGUGUGGGGGGAUGCCUGGGUGGCUCAGUCAUUUAAGCAUCCCACUCUUGAUUUCUGACAGGUCAUGAUCUCAUGGAUCGUGGGUUUGAGCCCCAUUUCAGGCUCCACACUGACAGUGCAUAGCCUGCUUGAGAUUCUCUCUCUCCCCCUCUCUUUCUGCUCCUCCCUGGCUUGAGCACACACUUGCUCACUGUCUCUCUCUCAAAAUAAAUAAACUUACAAAAAAUAAGGCAGCAGUGAACAGUCUGCUUCAAAAGCUUCCUACUAUGGGAGGCCAGGAAAUGUGUAUUUGAAAAAUUUCCCCAAGUUAUCCAGACAUACUCUUAUGAUAUAGAACCACUGGUAUGUACCACUGACAUGCUCAGUGAAAAUGAAGGUUAGUUGAGAUGGUUGAUAAUUGCACAAAUCAAAAUUAAUGUGACUAUCUCUGAAUAGGAUCUCUCUUCCAAAACUCAUGUUGAGAAAAUACAAAGGGAAGUAAAUGUUGGCAAUAUUAUUAUUAGAAAGUCGCUGUGCCUCAGGGCUCAGCCUGGUUACUCUGUGAAUCACUGCUAUUUCUUCUGCUCUUCUACAGAGUCUUUUGUCCAGGAUGAGAACGAUUUGCCUGUGCCAAGAAAAUGAUGGUUCUUGUGGAAAAACAGGAAGCUUAUAGCUAAAGGAGAAUCUGUACUCACUGCUAUUUCUGUAUUGGUACUAGAAGGUAUUAAAUAAAAGGAGAAGAUCAUGCUCAGGACUUGAGCAAUCUAUGCAGCAAAUUAAUGUUUAUUUAGUAAAAAAUGAUUUUGGUAGAUAAAUGAAUGCACUCAUCUAUUAUGCAUAUAACAAAUACUAAACAUUGUGAGUGUGUCUAGACUGUCUUUAAAGUCUUUAGAUAGCAUCACUAGUAAUAUAUAAUUGAGGUCAUUGGGUAGACAAAUACAGAACAUGACAUGCUGAAGCAGACCUUUUAAGUCUUAUUUAACUCUGGAUAACAUUAAAUAAGAUUUCCAUCAUUUUCAAAUGACCCAUAUGUGUAGCGUAUAUUUUUAUGUUAAUUUAUUCAAUUUUACUCAUUCAUUUGGACACAUUAGAGACUUAUAAAACUGUUAAUGAGAUAGAGCUUAGUUAAACUGACAGACAAGUAAACAGUUAAUUACAACAAAGUAUGAUAAUAAGGCUAUGAAAGAAUUUACAGAUUGGCAUGAAAGCACAGAGAAAUCUAACUCAAAAUUGGAGACUGAGAAAAUGUGUUAAAGCCAGUAGUACUUGGCAAUUUAUCAUAUAUAUGUUAACAGUUAAUUAUAUGCUAUCUGAUAUUUUUCUGUAGUUCUUUAAAAAUAUCUUUAUUGAAUACAAACUAUGUUUCAAAUACUGUGCAAAAUUGGAAGAUGAAAGGAAGUCUCCCAAAGUAGUGUUAGGUAUAGGAUUUGCUCUCAAGUAGUUUAUAAUUUAAUUGUGGAAGAUGAGAGAUGGAUGGAUAGAUGGGUGGAUGGAUAGAUAAGUUGGUGGUCAUGCAGGCAUAAAAGAUAUAUUACAAUACAAGUAAAUGACCUAAGUCAAGCAAAUUACUUAAAAAUGUAUAUGAAAUUUCUUCAAGUGGCCAGGGAGUAUAUGGAUGUGUGUGUGUGUGUGUGUGUGUGUGUGUGUGUGUGUGUGUGUGUGUGUGUAAUUGUGGCUGAGAUGGUCUGGAGUCAGAGAAACUGUGGGAGAAAAGAGGACUUUAGCUUUACUUCAUGAAAGAAUUGUAAUUAGAUAGAAAGGAGAGAUUAAGGCAUCCCAGGUUAAGAAAAUGAAAAUGAUUUGGGUAAAAAUUCAGAGUGAGAAUUAAGCAGUCAGGCAAAGAGGGCAUUGCAUAUAUAAUCUAAUUGGAGAACCAUAUUUAGCAAAAGAGUCAAGGACUAUAAACCUAUAGAGGAAGGUUGGGGCCAGUGCAUAUAUGUCCUUGAAAGCCAGGCUCUGGGAACUGGUUUUACUCUGAAGGAAGACAAGAAAGUAUCUGAACAUGGAGCUACCCAGAUUGAAAGGAAUGCUUUGGGAUAAUGAAUCUUUCAGAAGUAUGAAUAAUGGAUGAUAAUAGGGCAUUCCUAGAGAGAAAGAGACCAAUUAGUAGAUGAUUAAAAUAAACCAGAAAUGGCUAAUAAUAGUAAGGGUAAUGAUAGUGGUCACAGAAAAAAUGGAUGAGAAAGGCAUUUGCAAGGAGAAAGCAGCAGGCUUUGGUGACAAGUGAAUGUAGCAGAGAAAGGAGCAAGGAAGAGGAAAGACUGAAAGAAAUGUCCAAGAAUUUGAGCCUGGGAAUUACCUUAGGAAAGCUAAUGAAAAAGUAAGGAAAUGGAAAAGGCAUGUGGCUUUAGGGAAUUGCAUUCCCUGUAAUAUGUACCUCUAUUCUGAUUCCUUAGGGAGAGCCGUAAGAAAGAAGACUCUCUGACACAAUGGAGAGAACUUCAUAUUGGAGCAUCGAAAAGGAAAAGAACACACAUUUGAUUUUCUUUUUUCUUUUUUCUUUUUUUAAACUUUAUUUAUUUUGAAGGAGUGCGAGAGCAAGCUUCUGCAUGAAUGGGGAAGGACAGAGAGAGAGAGAGAAUGCCGAUGUGGGCCUCAAACCCACAAACUGUGAGAUCAUGACCUGAGCCAAAAUCAAGUGUCGGAUGCUUAACCGACUGAGCCACUCAGAGGCCCCCAUAUCUCGAUUUUCAAAACUGCUCAGCAACCUAAGUUAUGUCUAUUUUUAGCUCUUUGCUAGUUCUCUAUCAACUGUGGUGACAAAAUUAGCUGCAAUUUUAUACUAUUCUGUUUUAGGCACUUCAUGUGCAUUUAACCCUCACAAAACUCUAUAUAAUAAAUUAUCACUACUGUCUUCAUUUUACAAGUGAGAAAAUGAGGCAUAUCUAGGUAAAUUACUUGCUUAUGUACUUGCAUCCAUUAUUAGUGAAGCCAGCAUUCCAAGCCAGACAAUCGACUCCAGAGCCUGUGCUCCCGACUUCUCAGAGGCAGUCUGGUAAUCCUUUUCAAUGAUCCAAGUGGGGAUCCAUUGACCUUCAGCUCUCUCACUUAAUCCUGGUCUAUGCUCUGGAGGGAUUAGAAGAUAAGAAUGCCAUAGGUUUUUUGAUUUAAAGAAUUCAGUCUAGGUGGGACUAUGGUGGGCAUAAUACAUAAUCAGUGAGUAAGUCAUAUUUAUAUUAUCCAAAUCCAUGGAAGAUAUAAAAUUUGAUAGACCUAGAAAAGUGUACAAAAUUUCUAUCAGUGAUUUUUUGCAUUUAAGCUUCCUUACAUAUGAAAUAAACAGAAGGGGGAUUGAUAUUUAAUUUAAGGAUGAGCUGCUACAGUACAUUAGAAGUAUACUAGUCAUUUGUUAAUAAAUUGUGGGCUCUCUUGGAUAUGUUUUCUUUGUUUGCCUCAGUUGAUUAAAAACAAAAAAAUCAUUGUCUUUACAAUUUCUUUUGUAUCUUAUCCCCCUACCUGUAGUGUUUACUUCUUGAAGGUAGAGGCAGUUAUUUAUGAAAGUCAUUGGUCUACUAUAAUGCAUAAUACUGUGUUAUAUCAUUGGAACUUGAUACAAAUUGCUUUGUUUUGAUUUGAACUAUGAUUUGACUUGAAUAAUAAGUGCUGAUGGACAAAUGAUUCCAAGAUGGAUUCUGUUAUCCCCCUUAUUGUAAAUGGUACACUAAGUUUAUAAACAUUAAAGAGUAGAGAAUACAGAGGAUCAGGAAAGAGAAUGAAAACCUCUUUCAUUUUUCCCUUUGAUUUUUCUCACUCUGCCUUUCCAUGCAAUUCCAGAGAGCUAUUUCCACCAUCUGUUAUCCUUUGGAGCACUAAAAGUGUUAAAAUACUUGGGCUGGUUUUUUGCAGUGUCAUUUACUAUGAUGGUUUAGGGGAUAGUCUUGGACCAUGUUUAUGAGAAAAGUUCAGGCUUGGAAAAGUAGGGCUUUGAGUUAUAUUUCUCUGUGUGUGUGUAUGAAAAUAAAAUUUAGGAUGGCUUUGAGUUAUAUUUCUCUGGGUGUGUGUAUGAAAAUAAAAUUUAGGAUUUUUGCAGCUAAGAUUAGAAGGCGUUUAAUGUUUUACUUUCAACAAAGGCCCUCAGGUGUUAUGUUGUUUGGUGUGUAAAACCACUGAACUCUGUAUUACCUUCCAUAUCACACUCCACUGCACACACGCACAGUCAUACACAUGCAUCCUUCUUUACCUUCUUUCUUCUGCUUGUACCAUCUCCGUUCUUCCUGUCCUCCAGCCUGGAAACCCCUGAGUCAUUUUUAACUCUUCCCUUCCUUUUGCUUCCUACAUGUAAUCAGUCACUAUGUCCUGUCAGCUCUAAUUCUGACUUGUCUUUUACAUCUUUCCUCCUUUCCCUUCACACUUCCAUCCUCUUAUUUCAGAUUCCCCUACUCUUUGACUUGGGGUUAGAAACCUAAUUGGCCUUUCUGCCUCCUGUUUUUUGGCCAGUCUAAAGCAUCCUACCCAGCAUUGGUCAGAAUGGCUGCCCUCUUAGAGGCUCAAGGCCCAAGAGCUCAUGAAUAAAUUAUAGACCGUCUCCUGACUGUCCACUGCCUGGCUGUCUUAUCUCCUAUAAAGCCUUCUCUCCGUCAUAUGUUUUACAAAAUUAUGUUACUCCCUACUAAGAAUGCUCUCCACACGUUUUCCCUACUGGUUUUAGUAUGUAAUUUUCUCACCCACUGUACUUUCAAGUCUUUGUUCACGUGUAAUUUUCUCUGAAACUUGCCUGACCAACCACCUUACCAGAAUUUCUUCUUCCUCUGAGCUUUGAUGCACCUAUCUUCCCUACAGCAUCCCGUAUCAUUUUCAAGCUCUUAUUUAUGCAUGUGUCUUAGAUCUGCUGAAUUUAUGGCUUUGUUUUAGUUCUUUUUUAUGUUCCUAAUUCUUGUAGAGGAGACUCAACAAUUUUGGAGUGGAAUUGGACACCAAAAUGAAACCACUUGCAGCAUGCCAGUGCUCUCCCACUCUCUUUCAUUAAAAUAUUAAAUUUGGAGGUUAAGUCAUACAGGGAAAGGCUCAGUAUUGAAUGAUCAGAACAAAAGAACUUCUGUAGUUUUUCUUUCAACAUUGGCAAAGGAAUUGUGAUGUUUUUCUUUUGAUAAAAUUGCAAAUUUUAAAGCUAGUCCAAUCAGUUCUUCAGUUAAAAGUAAAUAUGUUUUUGGAUGUAAUUAUCAGAAGAGCGAUGUUGCAAAAUAUACAAGAACAAUGACCAGUUGCCAUUUCUUUAGUGUGUUUUUUUUUUCCUAGACUCUUUUCUGAAUGUUGAGAUGUGGGCCAAAGGAUCUACAUGUUUUUCUUGCACAAAUUUUAAAUUUAUCAAUUAAACAAGAUUUGGGGGCAGUGAGUUGUAUAUAAAUUUUAAGUACAGAUGUGAAGCUGCUAGUUAUAUAGCAAACUAUGCUGGGUAUACUCUUAAGAUAUUCUUUCUUGGGAUGCCUGGGUAGCUGGGUCAGUUGAACAUCUGAUUUCAUCUCAGGUGAUGAUCUCUGACUUGAGAGUUGGAGUCUCACUCUGGCUCUGUGCUGACAGUUCAGAGCCUGGAGCAUGCACGCUUCAGAUUCUGUGUUUCCUUCCCUCUCUGCUCCUCCCCUGCUUGCUCUCUUUUGCGCACCCUCUCUCUCUCUCUCUCAAAAUAAACAUUAAAAAAAGAUAUUCUUAAAUCCCAAUUUCAUCAUAUUACUUUUGACUCAAAAUGUAUUUUGAUUUGCUGUUGCCUCUCAAGUUAAGCCUAAAAUCGAAUGUCUGGAUUUUCUGGCAUUUCCUCAUCUUUAUUCAUUUCUAUUAUCUUUCUCUUACUCACAGGUUUCUGCAUGCUUUUAGUAACAUGCCAAAACACAUAAAAGAUAUUAACUUUUACUUAUUGGUUAAUUGAUUAUAAAUUGCUAUUGUUGAUCAUUUUAAUAGCUAUAAUUAGAAUGUAUUAGAAGCAAAUAGACUGUAUUUAUAAUCUGACAGUGAAUUUCCAUAGUAUGUUUAUCUCUAAAAGAGAAGGCAAAAGGGCUUGAGAAACAUCUCUCUGUUCUGAAACUCUAAGUAAUUCUUGGAAGAAAUAGAGGGAGACACAGAAAGGAAAAUGGGAGGUAAAGUUUGCAAACAUACCAGGAAGGAAUCAAAACCAAUGUUAGGAAGAUGAUCUUUGAGAGAAUAGGAAGAAAAAAAGGAAGAAAAACUGUAAUGCUGGAGCCACAUCACAAUAAGGGUGUGUCUCUACCUCGUGCAGAAGCAGCAAAUGUACAUGUUUCUGAAAAGAUAUGUGGGAUUCACAGUGACUCCACCUAGGAAUUUUAUCUGACAGUUUUUGAUAUACAAACCCCUUGCCACGUUAAACCUCAGUUAAUUUUCUCCCCCAGGAAGAAGGCAUUAUUUUCUACUUUUUUUGAUUAGCAGUACUGCUCAUUUUAUUUCAUUGCACAGGGGUGAGUAGGGCACUUUGUAAGUUGAAUCCUAUAAAUUGAGGUGGUAAACCUUCAGUAUGGAUGUGUUUAUUCUUCUUCUUCUGCUUCAUCUAUAUCAUCUAUCUACCCAUAUAUAGAUGAUGGGGACCGUAUAAAAGGGAUGUCUAACACCUGCCACUGCCCACAUCCCCCUGCCCUAUUCAUGUUCCCACCCACAUCCUCCUUCACACAAACACUUUAUACUCCACCAGUACAGACUUGCAGCUCACCAACACGCAGUGGUGUACUUAGGAAUGGCUUAUACUAACUCUUGAGAGCCAACUGUUAAAUGUUCAAAACCUUUACAAGCUGGUUGUUUAAACAGCGUUACUAUUAAAAAUUAAAUUAUAUGAACUUACAAUUAGGGAAAGUACAUUAAAACAAGGGGAGUAAAUACUCAAAAAUCACCACUUCCUAAUUAUUUGCUGCAUGUGACUCUUUAUGCUCUUGAGUUAUUCACAUCCAUUAUAUCUUCAUGAUAGAAAUACUAUAUGAUAGAAAUACUGUAGUAUCAUGCCUUUUACCAACUCCAUGUUAAAGUUGUUUAAAAUCUGUCCUGGUCAUAGUAUUUGUGCCAUGGAAAUUGGCAAAGUAUAUAAGUCAACAUUUUCCGUUGUUUGUUUUAGAGAAACAAUAGUGUAUUUAUCAGCAUAGCACUGCAAACACAGUCUGCUGAUUUUCUUUCCUGCCUUUGAAAACAUUCUCUCCUCUGCCUGGAAUGUCUCUCAUGUUGCUACUCUGUGCAUGUGUGCCAGCACAGGCGUGUGCGUGCACACACACACACACACACACACACACACAGUUAUCCACCCAAUUAAGUACUCUCAAUCACUUUAAUUGGUGUCACCCCUUUCCAAAUAUUUUUUAGGCCUUCCAGACAGAGUUAAUCGGUCUCUUUGUAGUAGUUUUGUAAUUUGUGUACCUUUAUUUUAUCAUGCAUCAUUUAUUGCACUUAAGUUUGCUACAUUUAGCAAAUAAAAUUUUGAAUUUUAAGUGAACGAUAUUUUUAGUGUUAGUGUGCCCCAUGCAAUCUUUGAGGUGUACUUACACUAAAAAAAUUAUUGAGAGUUCAUCAGAAAUUUAACUUUAACUGGGUGUCUUAUAUUUUUUUUUUUAAUUUUUUUUUCAACGUUUAUUUAUUUUUGGGACAGAGAGAGACAGAGCAUGAACGGGGGAGGAGCAGAGAGAGAGGGAGACACAGAAUCGGAAACAGGCUCCAGGCUCUGAGCCAUCAGCCCAGAGCCUGACGCGGGGCUCGAACUCACGGACCGCGAGAUCGUGACCUGGCUGAAGUCGGACGCUUAACCGACUGCGCCACCCAGGCGCCCCCGGGUGUCUUAUAUUUUAUCUGGUAACCCUAACUACUACAGUUAGUUUGUUAAUGUUCCAUCUUCCUAGUAGAGAGGUACCAGGUUUUUUUUUACUGUGUUGAUCAUAGUCUCCAACACAGAGAAUGACUUAAAAUAGGACUUUUUAUUUUAAUAAAAUCUGAACUGUUAUUCUUAUUUCUUAUCUAACAUGUAUUCCUACUGUUCUGUUACAUGAAAUUACGAAAAAAAAUUUGUUGAAUUUGAAAUUACAUGAUACAAUAUGUAUUUUAUAAAGGUAACUUUAGAUGGUAUGUGAGAAAUGGUUUAGACAUUGGGCAUGGUGGAAUUAGGGCAAACAGAUAGGAAGCUAAGGCAAAAGGCUAGGUGACUGAUGAUAUACAUGAACCAAGGAAUUGAGAGUGGCUUGCAGUGGGCAGGAGACCAUGGAUACAAAUAAAAAUCUGGAGAGAGAACAACUAGACAUGAUCACUGGAUAUAGAUGCUAAAUUAGGAGAAAAUAAAAAUGACUCUGAAGUUUCUUGCUUAGGCAGUAGAAUUCAUGGUGGUACUGUUAACUGAGAGAAAUGUAAGAUAUAUAGCAAAUUGGGAGCAGUAAGAGUAAUUGAGGAGUUUAGUUUGGGACAGGUUAAGUUUGAUAUGCUGUGAUCAAACAUAAUAUGAAAAAUAUUUAGUCAGCACUACAGUAUGGGCACUGACAAAUAAAAUGAGAUACCAACCAAUUAGAAUGGACAACAGCCAGAAACAAUCAUACAGUGGCACUACGGGCUGAAAGUGCUUUCAACUCGAUGAAGAUGUCCAAUAGGGAAUUGUAACUGUGGAUCUGGAACUCAGAAGAGAAUUUGGAUCUGGAGAUUUAAGAAUCCUUGACUCAAAGAUGAUGUUGAUGCUCUGGGAGUAGAUGAGAUCACCUACAGAGUAUUUGGAGAAGACAGUAAAUGAUGGAUCCAUAGAGUAUAAUAAUAUUUCAGGAUAGAAAGGAGUAUAAAUAGUAAAAAAGACAAAGAUGGAGUGGUUGGAAUCUGUGUAUGGUGGAAAUGUUGGAUUAUCUUGCUUCCACUUAAGACUCCACAUUUUUUCUGAUGAGGCAAUUGUUGUGUUAUAACUGAAGUUGUAUAAACCAACGGGCUUCUGUAAAAUACUAAGCGCCACAACGAUUUGGAGGCUUGACCUUUUGUGCUAUGGUAAGACCACCCUUGGACAUAUUGGUUGUCCUGUUGGUUAACUGAAGAUACAGAAUGCCAUUAUCACUCCAGGAGGAUCUGGUAAAAUUGAAAACAAAGAUAUUCAGACAUGAAGGAGAGUGGGCUUAUUAGUCAGGGGCUCCAAGUUGAUUGCCCGGCAGCCUCUCCAGCCUUAGGCUGUGACAAGAGAAGAAAGGGCCAGGAAUAGUAAGUUGCCUGUGGUGUGUCAUUGAUUGUGUCCUUAGAGGGCUUUUACUGUUGUUAUAUUUCUCAAACUUGAUAAUAGGAGCAAUUUUGAGUUGAUGAGAAAGCAUUUGCAUUUGAACAGUGAGUUGUUCUCAUUCUGUUACUCAAGGAGUUCCUGAGGAAACUGAGACUGCCAGAGUCCAUAUGGUCUGGAAAAGAACACCACGCUCAAGCUCAAAUAUGUGUGGGUCAGCAGACUGCUGGGGUUUUUUUCUUCUGAUUCUGAAAGGUUGCUUAAUCAUUUGUCUUGUUAUUGCAAAUGUUAUAAUAAUAAUUAUAAAUGGUUCUUUGCUUCUUAGACUGGCAAAUCUAAAUUCUUCCAUUUGACAUCAAGAUACAUGAUACCCUGGCUUCAGUAACCCACCCUCCCACAUCUAAGUGCCCCCACAUUAGACCACCAGGUUUACUGGGUUCUGAGUCCCUUAUUGUCACAUGAUAUAUCAUGUUGUUUCCUGCUGCCAUGCCUUUAUCUUAUCCCUUUCCUUAGAAGUCUGUCCAAUUUCCACUUUAUCUAUUCAAGCUGUUUGGAGUCCAUAGACCUAAAUUCAUAUAUCCCAGAUCCUUUACUUAGGAAAAAAUUUUAAAGCUGUGUAUACCCAUUGACUUGGUAAUCCUAUUUGUGGGAAUAUUUCUGACAUAAAUAUAGUGCCAAAAUAUAGCCAUACAUAUCCAAGGAUAUUUACUGCAACAAAUUGGAUACAUCUGAAUAUCCACCAGUAAGAAAAUAGCUGAAGAAAUUAUGGCACUGCAUGUGGAUUGUAGUUGUUAAUGCAACAAUGUCAAAAGCACAUGGCUAAGCAGAACUGAUUCUAAUUAUUAAACAACUUAUAAAACACAGAUACAAGCCUAGCAAAAGAGAUGUUGGCUCAGAACAGGUAGAUUGCUUACCAGUUUGUAACCAGCUCAGUGUAAGCCUUGUACCUAAGAGUAUGUAUAAACAAUGGAAGAGUUAUGGAAGGAUGCACACACCAUUGUCAAUAGUAGUUUGUUAGAUAAGUGGGACUGGAGUGGAGGAGGAAGAGACUAUUCCACUUGAACACUGCUCUUGUUUGAAUAGUCAUAAGCAUAAGCAUAUAUUCUGUAAUUGAAAUGACUGAAAUGAAAAACCAUGCUUCUCUAAUAUAGUGACUAGCUCAUAACAGGUGCUCAGUAUUUGAUAAUGAUUACCAUCAUUGUUAUGAGUGCCUCAAGUUCAAUGAACCCUAGAAAUCCUUUCUACCAACAUCUACCCUAUCCUUCUGACCAUAGAAGCAUUUGUAUGUACAGUUUAUUUAUAAUACACUUCAUUGCAUUCAUGACACUUCAUUCACUAUGGCCUUACCUGUGUGGAAGUUUUCUUUUGGGCCAGGAACAGAGUAUUUUUUAAAGGCAGAGUCACAUUUUAUUUUAAACUUCCUUAAUCACAUAGUGUCAGAAUAUUUAAUUACAAACAAAAUGUUGAUAAAUACUUACAAUCAGUUUAUUCUAAAUGAAUAAGCAUUUAUGAACCACAAGUUCUUGAUUACAUUUGGAGGUAAUCAUUGAUUUGUUCAUUCAAUGUAUAUAUGUUGAGCAUUUGCUGCACACCAGUCACCAGGUAUAAAUCUGUCUUGGUCACUGUUAAACAAUGGUUCUUGUUCAAUAGUGAACAAGACAGAUAAGACCUGUCUUAUUAUGGAAUUUGUAUUUUAGUGGGGUAAACACUCAAAUAAAUAUAUAUAAAUAUAUAUUUAUAAAUAUAUAUAAAUAAAUAGAUACAAUAGAGAUUGUGAGGGGGUUGGGGAUUUAAUGAAUAAAGUUUUGUGACAGAGAGUUAUAGAGAGGCUGACUGUAACACAGACAGUAGAGACGACCUCUGUGAGAGACAUGGAAGCUAAUGGAUGAGAAGAUGCCAGCUGUGAAAAGUUAGGACAGUGGUGUCCCCAGAAGGAGAGGCAGGAGAGGCAGGAGGCUUCCAAGUAGGAAGGAGCAUGUCUGUCGCUCAGGAUGAAAUGGAGCACACUGAGUGAGGAUAGAGGUCUGAGGUGAGGUUGGGGGAACAGACGUAGGUCAGGUACUGUAGGGUGCAAUCAGGACUUGGCUUAUUUUAAGUUUGAUGGUAAUAUUCUAAAAUAAUAACACGUACUAAUAAUAUCAGGCCAUAGUUGUAUAAGGUUUCUUGAAAUGUACUUUAAAAACAGUUAAGAUAGUAACAGAAUGCUGUCAUAUCUAAGAAAGCACAUCUAGGAAAACUUUAAAAUGUAUUUCUGUACAAAAUAUUACUUGUUGAUCUUAAAGAAUAUUUAAAGAACUAAAAUGAAUACAGAAAAACCAAAUGGGUCUUUUACAAGGUCAAAAUUACCAACCUCAACUACAUUUGAUUUCUUUUAUCUAGGGCUCUCUUCUCUAAGCCAUACUGAACAGAAUAUAGUAACUGCUUUAUUUUUAUAAAUGACUUCCUUUAAACUCCAGACUUUAUUUUUGAGAUUGCCUCAAGACUCUGUGAGUCACUUGUCUUUUUAUAUUAAAAAGAAACCUUAAAAUUUUUAACAGCUUUUUAUAUCAAUUUACCCAGAACAUCUGAAUGUGUUUUUAAAAAUGUCUAAUAUACCAUUUAUUUUACCAGUUUACUUGACCAGGUCCUUUGUUAAAUAGUACAUCCUAAAACCCAGAUCUUUUGUAUUUUUUUAGAUCGUAUAAAUGACUAUAUCUUUUACAAAUAUCCCUAAAGUUGAGUGUAGUUUAUCCAGCAUUCAUUUCCUCAUUAAACAUAAGCAUAUGCCACUGCAUACAAAGCAUGUGUCUAUGUGAAGGAAUCAAAGGUGACAUCAGACUGAUCCGUAUCUUCAAGGAUAUUCAGUUUAGUAGCAGAGUUUCAGUUUGGUACAAGUGAAAAGUAGAGCCUAUUAUAUGUUACAUACAAAAAACAGGACAAAUAAAGUACUGGAGGGAGUGUAGGGAAGUCAGAGAUGGAGUGGAAGGUACAAAUAAAAUAUAAUGGGCAUUUAUGGAAGCAAGAAAUUACUUCUAGUCACCAAAACACAUACAAAGGUAUAUUAACCUGUUUGUUCUCUUUCACUUUUAAAAUUAUGUCAAAUAGAGAAAUUAGAAUUUUAGAGCUGAAAAUGUUUGAAAGGAUUAGCCAAUCCAGUCCCAUUGCUUAAGACAUGACACUGAGGUUCAGAGAGUCAUAUUAGAGUACUUAUCCAGGGGUAGCACAGUAAAAACCUGGUGGUUUCCCUGACUGGCAGAGAUGAAUGCUUCCUGCCAUCAUGGGGACAUAGGUGCAUUUGCAACAGGACUGUGAUGUGUUAUCCAAAGAAUGUGCUUUUAGUCUCUUUUUAUUUUCAAACACAUUUUAUUUUCAGUGGUCUUCUAAAUGGAAUUUAAAUGAGCAAGUGCAUUUUAAAAUCAAAAUCUUCUUAUCUAAAUACACAGAAGGUGGUUAAGGAGAAGUUGGAUUUAAUAAAAUCAGUUGAGAUGCGGAUUAGUCAUAGGGAAAGCUGUUUCUUAAUGUUCAGGUGGUUACAACACCAGAAUGCUCUGUAAAGAGAGGUUUUUGAGGUCUUGUCCCCAACAUUUUGAAAAAGAAAAAAGAUUAUUUUGCCUACAGGUCUCAGAUAUUAACUUGCUACAAGGUCUCUCAAGGCCUCUUUGUUCUGUGACUGUAUUUAAAUUUUUGUUGUUGUUUCCAGUGCUGUAAGGAGAGGGAAAGCUCCAGGUGGAGUCUGUGCUGACGUCUGUUUGUUCUCAAGCCCAAAGUUCAUGACAUGCAGAACAGAAACAGAAACAGGAGCAGUGCUAUUUUGGUGUGAUUGGCAUCUUGACUUCUUGUUGAAUAUUUUUUAAAUGAGAAGACUUCCUGGGUAGAAAUCAAUCAUGAUGUAAAAGAUCUCUCUUUCCUCUUUCUGUCUUUGGUGUAUAAGGACAAAAUAACCACAAAUUAGCCCAUGGUCAUGCCCACUUGGAACUUCUAAAGAGUGAAAGUUUUGCAUAAGCUAUGGAUUGAACCUAUAUAAACAAUUAUUCUUUUUCAAGUUUAUAAUUAUUUUUGAAUUAUUAAGUUUAUGUAGUUUGGUACAUAGGGAAUUCUGUCUAAACAUUCAUAUGAUGGGGGGGUGGAGGAUUUUUUUUACAGUUUUUAAAAUUGGAUUUGUUUUGAAACUUAUGGCUCAGAUAUGCGCAUCAUAUAUUAUUUCAGUUAAGCAGUCACAAAUUGACUUUUUUUUUACAUUGCCAUCAAUCAAAUUAACACUGUCAAGAGAUUUUGAUAGUAUUUCCAUUGUGAUUUUUGGAAGUGCUUUAUUUUCAAAUGGUCCUUGAGAUGACUAUAAUUCAAGGGCAUUAAACCAGUCAGCAAUGUGGAGAAUGAUUAGUGACGGUUAUGGUUUGUUUUAUCAAGAUAGCUUGUAGAAGACAGUAACUGGAAUUUUUUGUUUUCAUCUCCCUUGUCAUUUUUAAUAUGGAGCAUUUAUGUGGGGAAUUCAGUGUUGCUAUGUUAAACUUGGAUCUUCAAAAAGAUAAACCCACACCAUUUGAGGUUUGGUAAAAUGUUUUAUUAGAAAAAAAGAGAAAACAUUUUCAGCAAAUGCGUGCAGUAGAAACCCUCUUUGCCUUCACUCUGUCACUUGUUGACAUGCCAGGUAAAUCAAUAGUUCAAGUAAUGGCUGUGGAACUGCCGGAUGAUAGAUACCGGAAGGAUAAAUGUGUUGAUAGUAAGUACUUGCCCUCAAGAAGCAUAAAAUACAAGAGGCAGCAUGGUAUUCAUAUAAAACAUUUGGAUAGACUCUACACAAGUCAUUUGACAAUGUCAUGGGGACAUUUUGUCAUGGUCUAAAAACAGAUUUUUAAUUGCUCAAUGGGCUUAGCAGAUACCGUCAUUCACUCACUGAGUCUCACUUUAUUCAUGAGCUUUAUCCUAAUGGUAUUUUUUAGACUUAGUUGCCUCAUAAUUCUCUACUCUUUCAGGAUAACUGCCCAAAAGGCCCUGUCAAUAUUACAAACUCUUCUUUGAACAAAGGAAAAUAAAAUGAACCAGAGGAGCAAUGCCAAAUUUGCUAGUGGAAUGACUAAAGAUUGUAUUUUAAAUAUGUUUAAAUGAUAAUAUUAUAUUUUUUCCCUUAAAUUAUGUUGCUGGAAUGCUUCUAUCUCCAAAGCUGAGCCAUGACACUUAUUGCCCAGGGAAAGAGAAUGUGGGUACACUCCCUAGUACAAAAAUUUCAUCAUUCUUCUUUUGUGUCUCAAAGCUGAUUUUUUUAUUAUUGUGUGCAGGAAGGAAAUCAGUUUGAAAUAUAGGCUUUGUUAGAAAGCAGUCGAUUUUCUGAAUUAUGUUAGAUCCAUUAAUAUAUCAAGAAACAGACUCAGAUCAUAGACUUUCGUUCAUAGUAUAGAACUGAUACUUUUUUUUGUCAUGAGGACUGAGCCAUGGUUUCUUCCCCCUCUGGGAAGAAAGGAUGUGUGAUGUAGGGGAAGUCUACUGAGCUAUUCUCCAGGUAUUAUUCAUUAUAUUCAGAGGCAAAACUCUGAAAGACUGAGCUUAUACCUCAAAAGCACUGUUGAAAAUUAAAAGAAAAUCAUUUAAUUUAGAAAUGACUGUGGCCAAAUUGAUUUCUAAAUUUAAAGUUAGUUCCUUAACCAUUUCAGCCUCAAACUAUAUUUUCUUUGAACUUCUGUGGAUGAUAGUAUUAAAUUAUAAACUCCUAUCUUCUCUUACAGUAAUGUAAGAUGAAUUUAGGCAACCUGCUAUAUCUCUGGUUUUCAUUUAUUCAAUAUGUAAUGUGUGUGUGUGUACUGGGUGUGUAUUAAAUAGCACAGACUGCAUGGCUUAAACAGUAGAAAUUAAUUUUCUCAUGAUUCUGGAGGCUGGAAGUUCUAGAAUAGGGUUUCCACUAAUCAAUUUCUGGUGUGAGCUCUUUAUUAGCUUAUAGACAACUACUUUCUCGCUUUGUCCUCAUAUGGACUUUCAUUGGUGGAUAUGCAUAGACAAAGAGAAUGAGCUGUCUGGUGUCUCUUCUUAUAAGGAAACUAAUCUUUCAGGAUCAGGGCCCCAAUCUUAUGACCUCAUUUAAACCUUGCUUAUUUCCUCAGAGUCCCUACGUCCAGAGAUAGCCACACUGGGGUUUAAAGCUUCAACAUAUGAAUUUCAGGGGGACACAAACAUUUAGUCCAUAAUGAUUUCAGACCUAAACUUUUGUUUUCAAUAUAUGCUAUUACAUUAAGCCAAUCCAAUUUUUAUUUAAUAAGUUUGGCUAUAAGUAGCAUCCAUGUCUAAGUUCAAAGCCAUAUUAAAACCUUUCCUCCCAACUAAUGCUAAGUGCCAAUAUUUUAUAUGUUUAAGUUCUUUAAUUUUAUUAUUAUAUUUUUUGCAUUUUUAAUGAACAGAAUCAAAUUUAGAAUGGCUUUGAAUAAGAGAAUAUACUGGGGAGAAUUCGGGGGUAGCUCAAAAAGUAUGAUCAGGACCUGAGGCUUUCCUUCAUAAUCAGUGCUUUUUUAAAUCUCUUUAGAUUGGGUGUGUCUUCUCUGCAACUGUGUAUACAGACAGCAGAAAAUGUCAGAUUCAAUCCAUGAGCCCAUAUUACCCCUUGCCCCCUGCCAUAGUGUUACUGAUCACCCAGCUGAUGUUCAAUGUGCCUGUACGUAGGGACUGUGACGGUACAGAACAGGGGCUCCUCCUGGUACAUACCUCUGCAGGGACACAGGUAGAAUGAAUUAGAGCAGACUAAUCUGAGACCUACCAUGCUGUUGGAGAGGCAGUUCUCAGGAAAAAAGGAAUGCUAUUACAAAGCUACUUCAUAAUCUGCCUAAUAAAACUGCAUUGGGUUUGAUUAAUUAUGCAGAGUUCAAGUUAAUAAUGAAAUUAGUGUAUAGAUCUAAUAAUCACUAAGUAACAACUAAUCAGAGGUAGUAACUGGUCUACCAUAAAGUUAAAGUUUGUGUAUGAAAUGACAGAUCGGUUUACUUCAAUGUGGUUUUAUUGGAAUUUUAUUUUAUUGUUUUAAAAAUCUGUUUUUAAUUUUUAUUUUUUUAUUUUUGAAUUAAACUCUGUGCUCAACGUGGAGCUCAAACUCACAACCCCGAGAUCAAGAAGUCUCAUGCUCUACUGACUGAGCCAGCCAGCCAGGCACCCCUAGAAUUUUAAAUUUUAAUUUUGUUUUAAUUUUUGUUUGAAUUUUAAUUUUGUUUUAAUCAAUCACAUUUUUCUUAGAGCAAUUAUCUGUAACAUUUCUCAAUGACUGCUCUGCACAGAAAGUAUGAUACUGAAGUAAAUUAAUUACUUUUGGAGGGAGGCAAAGGUCACUUACAUAUAGUUUUAGAGAAGAUAAAAUAAAUUGUGUCAUAUUAAUGAAGAGUUCUAAAAUGAUUAAACCUUGACAUGAGUUUUCAAAUUUAGUUUCAUUUUAGAAUAACAGAAAAUAGAAAUAAGAAUAAUAUGUUUAUAAAUUGGGCGAUACUUAUAUGCAGCAAGGUUUCUUUGCUGAGAGAUUCAGAAUUCCUGGUUAUAAAAAGCAAGGCAGCUAAAAUUCAAAAGGAAUGCAAAAGCCAUAAAAUAAAAUAGCCAUUUAAAAUAUUUAACGAAGUGUGAACAAAGCUCUUGUGCUUUAAAUGGUUGUCCCUUUCAUUAAUUUCUUCUCUAAAACCUGAACAAUUAGGCUGAAUGUUAAAAUCAUUGCAAAACUUAAAUAGCACUUUGGAGAAUAAAGUAUUUUGCAGAAGGUGCUAUUGCAUAAGAACUGCAAACAUGAAAAUAAUUUUAUCUCGUCACAGAAAUCAAGGUGUGUUUUCUAUUGUGGAUGCGUGAAAAGAGAAGAGGGAAAUUUUUAAAUAGUAAUGGACAGCAGAACCCUUACAAAUAUGCAUAAGAGAAACUAGUUAAUACAGACUACAGUUUUAGAAACUCAGUUGUUUUUUUAAAUUCUAAAAUGAAAGUCAAUAGAUAAUCAAAAUGGGUAAAACAUAAUUAAGUUGCUUUUUUAUUUAUUUUUCUACCAAUCUUUUAUAGUUAAUGAUGUCCCACUCUACUUCAGAAAACAAGUAAAAUAGCUUGUUAUUGGAAGUUUCUAAAGUGGAAUAAUAUAAAAAUGUGUAGGAAUUGAAAGAAGAUGCCACUUGUUCCUGUCCAGAAUUGUGGUUGAAAACAUGGCAUCCACUAUGUGUACUGACUGCUGAGAAAAUUUAGAGAGCCUGCUCUCCAGGGGGAUCAGUCGAUUUCCCAGGCCCUUUUUCAGUUUGGUAUUAAUGGUUUGAAUAUUUUUGUACUCUAUUACUUAGAGACAUUCACCUACAUUAAUUAGAUUUUUAAUACUUUUGUUUCUUAUAUUUAGAAUACAUGUUGUGAUCUGGGCUUCAGUGGUCCAACCUCUUAUUUACCACUAUUUUCUUUUCAGGUCAGUUGCUCCACAGCCCCUUUCCUGGUGCCUGUAUCAAAAGCAGCAGUCUCCCUCACUCUUCGUCCCUGUGCUGUUUUGUUAUUUCUGGCACACAUCACUCCCUUCACUAAAUUAUGUAUCUAUUUGUGAUUCGUUUAUGGCCUAUCUCCCUUAGAAUGUAAACUCCAAGAGAUUCGGGAACUUGAAUCUGUUCACUCCUGUCUCUCUCAUACCUAUAAUAAUGCCUGGGAAAUUCUCUUUGCUCAGUAAAUUUUUGCUGAAGGGAAGGCUGAAGACAUAAAUCCGUAUUUCCCCACUGGUUUGAAAUUUCACAUGUAUCACAUAUCUAUCCGUAUGUUGAUAUUUCUCAGAGGGUCUUUUCAUUUCAGGUCUAUUUUCUGUUUGUACCAUAGUGUUUUAAUUUCUAUAACUUUAAAGUACACUUUCAGGGGUGCAGUUGGUUGGGCGACCGACUUUGGCUCAGGUCAUGAUCUCACAGUUUGUGAGUUCGAGCACUGUGUCAGGCUCUGUGCUGACAGCUCAGAGCCUGGAGCCUGCUUCUGUUUCUCUGUCUCCCUCUCUCUCUGCCCCUCCCUUGCUCAUACUCUGUCUGUCAGUAAUAAAUAAACAUUAAAAAUUUUAAAAAUAAAAUAAAAUAAAAUACACUUUCAUACUUAAAAAAAGCAAAGUGUCCUUCAUAUCUUUACUAUUUCAAAUAUAUUCUGACUUUUCUAUAUUCCACACUGUCAGCGCAGAGCCUGACAUAGGGCUUGAACCCAUGAAGUGUGAGAUCAUGACCUGAGCCAAAAUCAAGAAUUGGAUGCUUAACCAACUGAGCCACCCAGAUGCCUCAUCUAUUUUCUUAAUAGGAUUUGUUUUACAGCAUUUUCCUCUGACUAUAGGAAUACUUUUAAUUUUGCUAUAUAAAUGAUCACCUAAUCAAAAUCUAAUUUGAAUAAGUAAUUUCAUUUUAAUUUGUUAUUGUUUUAAGGCAGACAUUCAUACACAUGGCAGUAACUUUACUUCCUCUUUUCUAAUUUUUAGAUUUAUUUCAUUUUCUUAUUGAAAUACAUUGGAAAGGACUCCCAGAACAAUUCCGAAUAAUAAUGGUAAUGAUGGUUCUCCUUGUUGUACUCCUGACUUAAAUGCAAAUGUCACUAGGGUUGUAAUAUUCAUGGCCUUGGCUAUUGGUGAGAUGGACAAAUAGAUACACAGAGAUUCAGACAGAAAUAUGGUUAUAAUAUGUGUAUAUGUUGUUCUGUAAUGUAUGUGUUCUAUGCUACCUUUCUUAAGUGUUUCUAGUAAGAUUCUGUUGUUUUGGAAAAUGAAUUUGCAAGAAUCCCAACAUCCUUGGAUAGUUUUAGUAAUGUAGAAACAUUUUGACAACCUGAAAUAAUCUGAGCCUGACAGUUUUAAGCUAAAGAAGUAUAGUUCUUUGGUAACUUAAAAUUUCUCCAUUUUUAUCAGUAUAUUUAACUAUUAUACCUCCUUUAAAUUAAUGUUAGUAAAACAUUGAUAUUUACUAAUGUGGCAUCAGGUGGGCAGGACUGCCUGAAUUUUCUGCCAGCCUCACUACUGUUGUCUAUCAGGGGUAGAUAAGAUGCUUUCAGUAGAGUAUUUGUACCUUUCUUAGUAUUUCUAGCCUUCCUCUCUUCUAAUUGUUAUUGUGAUAUUAAAAAAAAGUAAUUUCCUCCACUACCUGUGUCAUUUUAUUGCCCUUAAGAAGGGUAGUUGAAUGUCAGCUUUCAAGAUCUGAUUACAAUUUGGGUUGAAAUACUCUUUAUCUGAAAGACACUUCUCAAAAUUUGAGAUAUUAAGUGGUUUGUUCCUAUUUUAUCCCUGAUAAAAUUUUUUCCCUAAUUCACACUUUUUAUUCAUUUCAAUCAAUUUCUGACAAUUGAGGAAGAAUGUGAAAAGGUAACAGUAUAAGCUUGCACUUUUACCCUGUUUUUCUUUGGUCUCUUUCUUUGGUGUGUGUGUGUGUGUGUGUGUGUGUGUGUGUGUGUCGUUUGUGUGUGUGUCGUGUGUGUAUUCGUUUAUGGCCUAUCUCCCUUAGAAUGUAAACUCCAAGAGAUUCGGGAACUUGAAUCUGUUCACUCCUGUCUCUCUCAUACCUAUAAUAAUGCCUGGGAAAUUCUCUUUGCUCAGUAAAUUUUUGCUGAAGGGAAGGCUGAAGACAUAAAUCCGUAUUUCCCCACUGGUUUGAAAUUUCACAUGUAUCACAUAUCUAUCCGUAUGUUGAUAUUUCUCAGAGGGUCUUUUCAUUUCNNNNNNNNNNNNNNNNNNNNNNNNNNNNNNNGUGUGUGUACACACACACACACACACGACACCCACACACACGACACACACACACACACACACACGACACACACGAUAUGGCUUCUUAUAAGUCAAGGGACAAAAUGUCCUGAUUCAUAAGUAAAGCCAAAAAAAAAAAAAAAUCCUUGGGAUAUAAUUUGAAAUAAUAAUGCAAACUUUCUCUUAUAAAUAAUUUAUUUUUCAUCAAUUGAGUUUAAGAUACAGAAACUUUUCAGGUUAUAAAUGUGUAUUCAUCAAGCAAACCAACCAACCUUCCCUAAUGCAGUCACCCUACUUAUAACACUCUCUUUCUUUAUAUGCUACCAAACUUCAUCAAAGGAAGCAUCUACUUGUAUAGUUACUGUAUUUUGGCUGCCCUUGCCAUUACAUUGGCAUUUGCCCCCUUUGGCCACAGAUAAAUUUUCAAUCACCAAAUCCAGUUAGUUGUUCUGUUUUCAUCGUCCUACUAUUUAUUCAGCUUUGGGCAUUUGGAAAUGUUGAUAGUUCUCUCCUUUAUAAAAUUCUUUCCUCCCCUUACUUUUACAGAUAUUAAUUUACCCAAACCCUCUGGAAUAAUCCUUCCUUCAAGGUGUCUUUCCAUGCCCUGUUCUACCCAUUUUUUAAAUGUUUUUCAACUACCACUAUGAUGCAUACACAUACAGACACACAGAGAGAGAUGUGUUGUAUUGUGCAUUCUAUUGACAAAAUGUCUAUUUGUAUCUUCCUCAGUCAGCAUAAAUUUAAAACACCUAAACAAACUCAAAUAUUCUGCUUUUACUCAAUGUGUUUCCCAAGUCAGUUAAAGUAGUCAAUUCCACUUUUUCUCUGAAGCUACAAAUCUCAGUCAGCCUAAAAGAAGGAGGAAAAGUGGCCUCUGUUAGUAUACCACAUAAAACCCUUGACAGUCUGACAACUCACUACAUUUUUAGGCUGUCAUCAUCAUGAUCUGACUCUACACUGAUACUGUAGUCUUCUAGUCUUAAAGAUCGUGGUUUCCCACAUGUGUAUACAUUUAACUUUGUUCUUCUUUUGUCCUGACAUACACUUUCUAUUCUUCUGUGUCUGAAUAAGCACUACUCAAACAUCAGAACGCAGUUCAAUUACAAUCUCAUCCACAAAAUAAAUAUUUUUUUCUGUCUGAUGCAUACAUAAUACUUGGUUCAUGUUGCCAUUUUAUAACUAAUUACAUUAGUAUUUAUUGAUAUUUAUGGCUGUUUCUCAUCUUCCCCCACCUACAGUCACUAAAAUGUGUUCCUCUUGAGGGCAGGAAUAAUAUCUUAUGUUAGUGUGUUACAUAAACAAUGAAGUUUUGCUAAAUAAUAAUAAAUCAAUAAAGGAGGGUAGAAAAAAGGGCAAACAUUCGUUCCCAUGCAUGGGUUUAGUCUAAUUCCUUGGCUAAUCUAAUACAUACUCAUUUCUAUUGUAUAUUUGGAUACAAACUCUAGACAUGGUUGUCUAUGCCAGUAUAGUUUUCUAAGGCUAUAUCAUAAUGAAUUUUAUUCCUUGAGUUUUCAUGACUGUCAGUGACCAGGAUAAUUCCUCUGGUAUUCUACACAGUAGAAAGAUCUUCUUCUUCUUUUUUUUAAGUGUAUUUAUUUAUUUUGAGAAGGAGAGGGGUGGGGGCAGAGACAGAAGUAGAGAGAAUUCCAAGCAGGCUCCAUGCUGCCAGUUUAGAACCCAAUGUGGAGCUUGAAUCCAGGAACUGUGAGAUCAUGACCCAAGCCGAAAUCAAGAGUUGGAUGCUUAACCAACUGAGCCCCUAGGCACCCCAGGAUCUUAUUCCACCAAAAUGUGGUGCAGAAAAUUCCACAAAACAAAUGAAUGGGUGAUGACAUGGAAGUCCUCCAAAGAGCUCAAAAUGCUGAUUUUAGUAUCUUCCAUUCCUGUGAUGUAAGCUGGUCAAAAGAUUUUAAAUGAUUUUAAAAGACACAGUAAGGGGAGACAUUUGUUAAAGUUUUCCAGUGUGUAAGCAAGAGAAUCCAAGACUAGAUCUAACACUCCAUUUUCUGACCUUUGCCAAUUCAUCUUGUUGUUCCAUGCUGUCUCAGUUACAACUUGUAAACUUUCCUACAAAUAACAAUAGAUUAGGAACACAGAUAAAAUAUUUUCAAGAAUGUGGACUAUUAGGACUUUUAGAAAAGUUGCUUGAACUCCUUACUGAGAGCAGCUAUCAUUAAGGUUCCAACAGGAGGGAGAAAUAAUGGUACUAGCAAAAAAAUGUUCUAAAAUGUAUAUAAUACGAAGGGUGAUACAGCACCCCUGGCACCAUUAUAGUCAUACUUGGCAACAAUAUCCUUGAAGUCUGGGAAGGGAAUCUUAAAAAAAUAGGUAGAAAAUAGCAUCCUAAAGAUAAAAUGUUUAAAAAUACCUCAGUGGGACUGGUGAGAACAAAAGACCAAAGUUGCAUGGGGUGGGAGUGCACGGAAACUGCUGUGGCGUUCACAUGAGCACAUCAUCUCAGGCAGGAAAGUGUGCAUGGCAGCCUGAGGAGGUGGAGUGAUAGAGUUGGAUUUCACUGAGCAGAGGCAAGAAGCUUAUGCAUUCAGAAACAAGAUCACUAGUGGACCCUGUGGAACCCACAGGGCUGUGUGCACAGGUAACCCAGGGCAGCAUCAGGCAGGAUGCAACAAAAAUAGGAUGGGACAGGAUAAGUGGUUAGCAGAUGAAGAAGUUGAAAGUCAAGAGUAUAGGAAAAAAUAGAACUCACCUGGAGUGCUGUUUGCCCUUUCAUCCAGUGAAAGAAAAAGGCUAAAUCCAUAUCAGAAAUCCCAUAAAAUGAAAAAGACUAAGUGGAGUAAUUGCCCCUGCUCCUAGCAGAACCUAUGUGCCUGAAGCUGGCUACUCUCCUCACUUCUGCCUGCCUGUCCUACACGAAUGGGGUUAUGGGUGUGCUUCCCAGCCCCUAAUGAGACAUCUGCUUUUAUGUUUUCUCCACAGCAGUCAGCCUACAGGGUGGGCAGAUCAUAAGAGAAUUAUCACGACUCAGAGAUUGAAGUAGGGGCAGAUGAGGGAGGACUCAAAAAUAGCUCAUAAGGUGAUUAUGGGGGUGAUCGUGUGGUGGGUUGGAUGUUGAUGGAAUGUUCUGUCAGCACCCCAAUGUGCUCAGUGAUCUCUUCAUUGUCAUAUCUUACAGCCUUUUGAUUGUCUUAGUUCUUCUUAGUAUUUCUGCAACAUUUGACCCCCUUACCUGACUUUUCCUUCUUGGAAAUAUCUCCUUUCCUAUCUUAACAUCACAUCAGAUUGUAAGUUCCAUAAUGGCAGUGGUCAAGGCAGCCUUUCUCUCUGCAGCACUUCCCGGAAUGCCAACCUGCUUACCUGAGUACGUGAAUAAGUGGGUGAAUGAAUGGAACAGUUCAGCCAUCUUCCUGACCGUUCCUUUCUAUUUAAACUGAGACCUGGGGCGCCUGGGUGGCUCAGUCGAUUGAGCGUCCGACUUCGGCUCAGGUCAUGAUCUCGCUGUCCAUGAGUUCAAGCCCCGCGUCAGGCUCUGUGCUGACAGCUCAGAGCCUGGAACCUGUUUCAGAUUCUGUGUCUCCCUCUCUCUCUCUGCCCCUCCCCCACUCAUGCUCUGUCUCUCUCUCUCUCUCUCUGCAAUAAUAAAUAAACUUAAAAAAAAGAAAAAAUUAAACUGAGACCUAAUUUUGAGCUUACUAAAAUGAUGAGAUAUAUCAUUUUGCUUGGGGAUAUAAAUGUAUGGGUAUGUGUCCUGAAAAUUAAUCUGGACUCUCUACCUAAAUUAUCACCACCAUAUGAUUAUUUCCCAAGUGUACACCUCUAGCAAAAGUGGCCAAAUAUCAAUUAGGUAUAUCCAUUUACUAUAUACAGUCUUAUAUUUUUAAUUAACUGUUCACAAUGGUUGUUCUCUGCCUUCAAUUAGAUUUUAAGCAAUUUGAAGAAUAGGGCCACAGCUCAUCCUUCUCUCCUACCUUUAGGAACUAAACACAGAGCUAAUCAGUGAGUUUUUGCUGAUUAAUCAAUUGCUAGAAGAAAGUUUAUUACUCCUAACUUUUUUUUUUCAUUACCAUUUAAGAACUUUUACUUUCUUUUCCUUAAAUUCAGGCAAGUAAGUAGACCAGAAUAAUCCUUGGGUACAAAAAAGUCAGUGGAUAAAUCCCCUUUUUUACUUGCCUCUGUGACAAGUACCUAUGGAAUUCAGGGUCUGUUGUGCUAUAACAUUUACUUACUUAGUAUUCAUCUACUAUACAUUCAUUGACUGUCUAUUCUGAGCUUCAUUCAUACUGGGAAUAAAGUAGUGAACUGGGUAAAUAGGUUUGGUCUCUGCUGACAUGGAACAUGUAGAUUAGUGGGAAGUAAAAAAAAAUUAAGGGAAUAAGUAAAUGAAUUUUUUUUAAAAAUUCAGUUACAUGAAGGUAAAAAAACAUAUGAUAUAGUAAAUUGAAAGACUGAGUGAGGAUUGUCAAAUAGUACCUAUUUGAGAAAGUAACAUUUAUGCUGAGACUUGGAGGAUGAAUAAAUAACCAUUAAAAAAAAUCAGAAGCAUAGCCUUGCAGGAAAAGAGACAACCUGGGUGUAUGUUCCAAGGCAUAGAAGAGAGCUUGAUAUGUGUUAGGACCUGAGAGGAAGCCCUUCUAUUUAAUGGAUUCUGGUCAAGAAGAGUUGUGCUAUUAAGUUGAGUUUGGAGAGAUAUGUGCAGCCAGUUUAUAAAAAGGCUCCUUGGAAUUGGUAAAGUAUUUGGAUUGUAUUUGCAAUGUGAUAUAAGGCCCUUUGAGACCUUUUAAGCGAAGGAGUCACAUGAUCCAAAUUGUCUAAAAUAAGAUUGCUUUGUUAAAUUUUGGUAUUAUGGAUGAAUGCAAUACAUUAAAAGUGUUUAGGUUAAAUUGCAUGUUGCAAGCGUACAUUUUAUGAAAAGCAUGCAUUCAGCAUUAUUUGGUCUUAGGGCAUGUUUUACAAAGGCAACAUUGGAUUGAGAAUCAAGACACCCGUGUUUCAAUUAUACUUCUCUCUGUACCUAAGUAAAUGAUGUUGUAGCAAACCAUUACUUUAGUUCUUGCUUUCUUAAACAUUACUAAGGUGGAUUUUAUCCCAAAGACUCCUGAAGCCUCUUCAAGCGCUCUAACUAUAUAAGUCUCUUCAUAUACUGGUGUGCCAACAACACUUAAUUGGGCCAAGUAGAUCUAUUUGAAGAGUGUCUAGAAAAUAAUAGAGUGUUACUGAAGACAGUCAGUCUUCAAAUACUGGUCUCUGCCUGUGAAAAGAAGCAAUAUAAUUUAUACAUAUUAUCUCACACUAAGUACAGGAUUUAUAAUAUAUAAUAUAACAGUAUAUACUUUUACUUUAAUUCCGAUUAUUCUCAGCUAAUCCUUUUAGUCCCAAACUGUCUAUUGAAUGUCCAAUGUGUGUCUGAUCUUUACUAGAUACCAUGGCUAUGUAGAUAGAAUAAGACAGAGUAUGUGACCUUGACAAGUACUGAGAGGAAUGGGGAAGAUACACAUGGGAACAUAUGAUGACAAUAUAAUGUGAUUGUUACGUAAAAGUAUGAACUGAGUAUUCUGAGAAUUCAAAAGUGAGAGAAACAAUUUUCCUAAGGAGAGAACAAUGACAUUUAUAAACCUAAUCCACCAUUUAUCUUCUUGUCUCAAUUUCUCCCUCAUUUCAAAUGUUAGACACAGUAAAGCCCAAUCCUAGUAUAUUUUAAAUAACAGUGUAAUUGAGAUAUAAUUUACGUAGUAUAAGUUCAACAAGCUAAAGUGUAGAAUUUAGUGGUUUUUAGUAUAUUCACAGAAUUGUGCAACUAUCAACACCAUGUAAAUACAGAAUAUUUUCAUCACCCAAAAAAGAAAAACCAUACCUAUUAGCAGGCACUCCUCAUGAACCCCUGUAUACCCAGCCCCUGGCAACCACUAAUUUACUUUCUAUCCCUACAGGUUUGAUGAAUUUUGGCAUUUAAUAUAAAUGAACUCAUACAAAAUGUGUUUUUUUGUGACUGGCUUCUUCCACUUAAUACAAUUUUUCAAGGUUUAUCCAUGUUAUAGCAAGAAACAUAUAACAGGACUCCAUUCCUUUUAAUUACCGAAUAAUAUUCCAUUGUACGAAAAUAACACUUUUGUUUGGCCAUCCAUCAGUUGAUAGAAAUUUGGGUUGUUUAUACUUUUUGGCUAUGAUGAAUAAUGUUGAUAUGAACAUUCACGUACAAAGUUUUGUGUGAGCAUAUGUUUUCAAUUCUCAUGCUUAUAUAAAUAGGAACAUAAUAGCUGGAUCAUGUAAUAACUGUGUUAAACAUUUUGCAGACUGGCAAACUGUUUUCCAAAGUGUUUAUACCAUUUUAUAAUCCCAUGGGCAAUGAAUGAAGUUUCUGAUUUCUCUAUAUCCUUGCCUUGUUAUUGCCCAUCUUUUUUAUUCUAGUGAUCCUAGUGAGUAUGAAGGGUUUUAUCAUUGUGGUUUUGAUGGGAAAAUUGUUAAUAAAUAAUGAAAUUGAGUUCAUUUUUUUCAUGUGUUUAUUUGCCAUUGUGUAUCUUCUUUGGAAAAAUGUCUAAUCAAAUUCUCUGCCCAUUUUAAAAUUGGGUUAUUUUCUUUUUAUUGUCAAAUCAGAGUUUUCAUUGCUAGAGUAUAGAAAUACAAUUGAUUUUUGUAUGUUGAUUUUGUAUCCUGCAUCCUUGCUGAGUCAUUUAUUAGUUCUAAUAAGUUUUUUAUGGCUUCCUUAGAAUUUUCUGCAUAGAAGGUCAAGUAAUCUGCAAAUAGAAAUAGUUUUACAUAUUCCUUUCUAUCCUUUAUGGGUGACUUUUAUUUAUUUUUCUUGCCUAGUUGCCCAGACUAGAUCCCCAGUACAAUUUUGAACAGAUGUGAUAUGAGUAGUCAUCCUGUUCUUGUUCAUUUCUUGGAGGAAGAACUGUCUUUCUCCAGUAAGUGUGGUAUUAGCUCUGGGUUUUUCAUAGAUGACAUUUAUCAGAUUGAGAAAGUUCCCUUCUAUUUCUAGUUUAUUGCAUGUUUUUUUUUGAUGAAAAGUUUUAGAUUUUGUGAACUGCUUAUUCUGCAUCAUUUUCUGUGAUCAUGUGUUUUUUGUUUUUUAUUCCAUUAAUAUGGUAAAUUAUGUUAGUUGAAUUUCAAGUAUUAAACCAACCUUGCAUUCCCAUGAUAUUCCACUUGAUCAUGGCCUAUAAUCUUUUUUAUGUAUUGCUGUAUUCAUUUUCUUAGUAAUUUGUUGGUGACUCUUACAUAUAUAUUCACAAAAGAUAUUGGUUCAUAGCUUCCUUUUUGAAUUAUUUUUUUAAUGUUUAUUUUGAGAGAGAGUGAGAAAGAGAGAGGGAACACAGGGGAGGGGCAGAGAGAGAGAGAGAGAGGGUAAGAAUCCCAAGCAAGCUCUGUGCUAAUAGCACAGAGCUUGGUGCGGGGCUCAAACUCACAAACCAUGAGGUAAUUACUUGAGCUAAGAUCAAGAGUCAGGUGCUCAACUGACUGGGCCACCCAGGUGCCCCUGUAACUUUCUUUUUGGGUCAUGUCUUUGUUUUGGGGAUCAAGGCAAUAUUGUUUUUCUACUAUUUUAUUUCUGCUCUUGUUUUUAUUAUUUCCUUCCUUUUUUUCAUACAUUUAAAAAAUUUUUAUAUUAUUUUUGAGAGACAGAGACAGAGCAUGAGCAGGGGAGGGGCAGAGAGAGACAGAGAGAGAGAGAGAGAGGGAGGGAGGGAGACACAGAGUCCAAAACAGGGUCCAGGCUCUGAGCUGUCAGCACAGAGCCUGAUGCGGGGCUCGAAUGCACAGACUAUAAGAUCAUGACCUGAGCCAAAGUCAGCUCUUAACUGACUGAGCCACCUGGACACCCCAUAUUAUUUCCUUCCUUAUGCUUGCUUUCAGUUUAGUUUUCUUUUCUUUUUCUAAUUAAGAAACUAACUCCUAGGCUUCUGUUUUUCACAGAUACUUUGGUUCUGGGGCAGCUGGUUUUGAAGGCUACUGUGAAGCUAGGAAAAGAGAAAUGGGAAUGGGGCAAGUAAAAAUGCUGUAAAGCAUACUGUCCAUGCCAAGAUUCAGCCAUUUUUCUUGAAUAAUUUUUCCUUGUAUUCUUGCAAGCUGUGUUAAUUUCCAGAGUUUUGAAAAAACUGACUCUGGGAAGUUUUGCCAGUGUUCUCAUUGUGUUAAUGGGGGAUAAGAUUUUUGGAGAUCCUAACUCUCCAUUCUAGCUGUGCUUCUCCCUGUAAUGUUGUUUUAACUGUAUUUGAAAGAAGAACAAUCCACCAAAUUUGGAGAGGAUUUAGUUGUACAUUUAUGUGAACACAGAGUAGAUGAUAAUAUGAUGUGGGUGAUAAUUAAAAUUCUUCUCAAAUGCCUAUUAUGUGGAAAAUAAAAUAUGUUUGACAGUCAUUUUAUGAGUAUUUUCCAAUGCCAUGGGACCCUGACAAUUGUCACAGAGUUGGAGUACUGAAUUUUUUUGUGCUGAUGAAGAAAUGUUAAUGUGUCAGUGGACUUAACUAAAAUAUUUGAUUUUAUUAAAUGAGCUGAAUCCAUUAAAUCUUUACAAGAUUGGCUUUUGAAAAAGUGCAUAUGCCAACACACCCUUUAGGAUGUAGUCGUGGUGGCUGGUAUUAUAGACGUGAGUAGAGACAAAAUGCAUUCACCAUGACUGCUAUAAGAGAGCCAGCUGCCAUCUUCUUCUGUUAGUGUUCAUCAUCCAUUUUUAGCCCUGCCUAUGUUAAUAUUCAAAUAUUUUAAUUCAGUUAUUCACACAAUUUCAUUCUAAUGGGAGCAUAUUAAAGCUGAGAUAUAUUGCCAGUCACAGCAGUGGUAAGAGUAGUAACUUGUUUUCUGUGACUGAGUGAUGAGCAUUUGGCAUUAUGGUGGUCUGCUAAAAUUGCACUUUCCUUCUUGGGAUGGUAUAUGGUGCUUCUCUAAGUGUGAUUCUUUCCAUCUUUCCAAAUGGAUAUUAAAAAUCAAUAUUCUAAUCAUUAUUUUAGAUACUCAAAAAUAUUACCCAGAAUAGAAAAAUGACAUUAAAACAGAGUAAUGUAAAAAAAACUUAGCAUGCUGCAUGUACACAGAACAUUACAAUGGUGACCUUUGUUCAUUUAUUAAAAACAUAUUUGGGAGCACUUAUUUUACAAUAUGUCAGAAAUUGUUCUUGAUUCUGGGGAUACAGCAUUGAAUCAUACAGAUAUAAAUCCCUGUCCUCCCUCCUGUUGCUUGCUUUCUAUAAAGGAGAGUCAUGAUAAAUAGGUUAAAUAUAUAGUUUAUUAAACUUUUAAAAAAUGGUAAGGAGAAAAAUGAAGAAAAGGGGCAGGGAGUAUUGCUGUGAUGUGUUGUAAUAAUAUAUAGGGUGGCCAGGAAAGGACUUGAUUAAAAAAGUAACAUUUCAGCAAAAAUCUGAAAGAAUUGUUCAAGUGUGAGCCAUGCUAAGCAGAAGGACCAGAAAAUGCAUUAUCUGCAAAAUGGAACUGUGCCUGGAAUAAUCCAGGAACGCUACAGAGGCCUGUGUACCUGUGCAAACAUAGUGGGGCAAAUGUAGUGGGAGAUGAGGCUGAAGGAGUUCCAGAGUGGCAGAUCCUUAUUGACCACGGGAAGGAUUUUGGGUUUUGUUCUGUGUGAAGUGGGGAGCCACUGCAGAGUUUGGCUAGAAUAGUGACAUGACCUGAUGUACAUUUUAAGCUGAUCAUGCUGGCUGCUAUGCUGAACAUGGACACAGUGAUGCAAGGGCAAAAGCAGGUACGUCACUUAGGGGCUAUUAGAGUAAUAUCAGUGAGAGACCAUGACUUUGAUAAGGGUAGUAGGAGUCUAGGCUUUAAAGAUUUGUUGGAUUCCAGAUAUAGUUUUCAAAAAGAGCAGAAAGGAUGUCCUUACAGAUGAAAUGAAGAGUAUGAGAAAAAAAAGUCAAAGAUGACUAACUUUUUUUGUGGGGGGGGGGAGCUGAAUAAAUAUAAGAGUUUACAUUUACUAAGAUAGGAAAUACUUUUAAAGGGACAGAUUUUGUGUGUGGGUGGGGAGGUUGGAAUAUCAGGAGCUUGAUGUUAGACAUGUUAAAUCUGAGAUGCCUGUUAGAUAUAGAUGGAGAUGUGGAAUAGGCAGUUGUAUACAAGAUCUGGAAUUUAAGGAGACAUUUGAGCUGGAUGUACAUUUUGAGAGUUACCAGUGUACAGAAGGCAUACACUGGUAGGAAAAGGCAGUGAUUCCAGGUGUGAGCUUUGGGGCAUUUCACCACUUAGAUUCUGGGAAUAAGAGGAGGAAGCACAGGGGUGUAGUGUCCUAAGAGCUAAGUGAAGAGUGUCUUAAGGAAAAGAGUAGGCAGAUAAAGACUGAAUAUUGACCAUUUGGUUUAGCAAUAUAAAGAUCAUUGAUUUGAGCAGAUAAUCUCCCCCAAAAUGGAGAAUUUAUCAUUUCAACAAGACUUCUCUAUAUUUCAGAAUGCUGCUAAACAUUUUAAUGCAUGAUAGAAAGUAUAUUGAAGUAGAAUGGACGAUCACAGUCCCUAGGCAAGAAGUCCUUUGCUGCUUCAUUAGAUGACCUACCUGAUUAGAUAAGACAGUAACUCAGAGGGGACAGUAAGUCACACCUGUGUGUUGCACCAUUGAGUUCUGGUGUGAGAACAAUUUUAUGACUCUUACUAUAAUUUUACACUGAAAAAUCUAUUUUUUGCAUUUUCGUGUCUGAGAUAUAAAAACUCUUUGAACUCUUAAGAUGAAAAUAUUUAUAUAAAUUUGGAGUGGAAUCAGGUUUGUGAGCUCUUGGAAAAGCCUUUGGCUUUUAAUUAAAAAUUUGACAUGCAUAUUUAAAUAUUAUUAUAUCUGAGAUUUUGGGUAGAAUUGUAGUCAACACAGACCUUGGUCAGCGAUGAAGUCACUAAUGUUUUUUUUUGUUAACUUGAUAUAUUUUUUAAAGUGCAAAUCAAAUAGUAAAAUUAAAAGAGGAAAAGCAUGUGAAAUUAUUUUGUCAUAAAAAAGAUGUGCACAUGUUAGGUUGCUUAUUACAGAAAAUCUUUUUGCAUUUUUUAUUGGAGGGAAUCUGUGACUUAUAUAAGGUAAUGCAAUAAGGAAUAAUCAAAAUGUCAAUUUUGGAUUUUGUAAUGUAAUUUGAAUGGCUAUAUAUCUGGAUAUUCUGGAAAAUUAUUUCACCUAUGAUAAUCUGACUGAAAAAGCUGACAGGUUAUUUAAAAUCUCUUCCCUUCCUAUUCUCCUUGGUUUCUGUAUUCUUGGCUCUCUGGGAGAGAGCAUGGGUGAUAUGUCUUUGCAGGGGGGGUGAGAGUGGUAGGAUUUUAUCAAGUUAAUCUUCGAAAUCUAGUUUGUUGUAGUUUUUUUUUUUUUUUUUUUUACCAUAUAAACGUGAAUUUGCAUAUAUUGCCUAAGUUCUUAGUCCUGAUGUGAUGUUCUCCAUUGUCUUCUAAGAUCCUUGAGGGUAAGUGCAUGACUUAUUUAAGUUGAUUGUUCCAUAUACUAUUUAUCUCUGUGCUGAGUUGUGCCAGAUCAUCAAUCAAUUUGAGAACACAAAAAACAAAUUCCUUAAGAGCUUAGGCUUUAGAUACCAAAAACUAAGAUUGGAAUCCUAGCUUCAUCAGUCUUGACAAGUUUGUGAAUCUCUCAGACCCUGUUUUCUUAUUUGAAAAUAACAUUAAUUAUAUUUAUUUAAAAUAAUGUCUCAAAGUAAGUUCUGUACAUAACUCUUGCUUACAUAGCAAUCAAUUCAUAAAUAAUUAUUGCUGAUUAUAUAAUGACACUGUGAUACAAGUUGUACCCUCAGCAGACCAUUUCUCCUACCUUCUUGGGAGGUAGUGGAAAUAAUAAAAUGUAUGCAUUGCAAAAUCCUUUUCAAAUAAUCUGUACAAUAGUCAUACCUUAUACAAUAGUAAACCUUUGUACAAUAGUAAACCUUUGAAAUCACAAAACUAAGUUUUCCUUGCUUAAAACCUGUCAGGAAUAUCUUUGAGGGAAAACCCUUCAGUUGUUCAGAUAGCCUGUAAGACAUGCUAUAAACCCUGGUCUUGACCCACUCAGCCUCUUCAGCCCUGGCCUUCCUUCUUCUUUCUGUCUUAGUGUGCCAAAUUUUUUCCUGCCUCAAGAGCUUUACUGCAGCUAGGGACUCUCUCACUUUCUAUCCCAGCCUCUACCUACUGGUCAACUCCUUCUCUUCUUUUACUUCUCUGCUUGAGAGUGCACUUUACAUUUCAAUCGUAUAUGAUAGUAUGUGUGUGGCUGGAAAAGUCAGGAAGGCUGGAAUCCUCUUCCCACAAAGUUCCCAAGUAAUAAUAAAUAACACACGACAAAAGACUACUGUCUCAUUUAAUGGGCUAGUUCUGUGUAUCCCCAAAGAAGACUUCGGUGAAGCAAGUUGGAGAAGAUGGGUUAGGUUGAAAAAGAGAGUGGAAGUAAGAUGCCAGACUCUAAGAAGGGGUUCUGACUCAAUUUACCCAUUUCUCCAUAAGAAAUGAGAGUCUCAGGAAUGCUUGACCUCUUAAUAUCUCACCAUGUAAGAAAAAUUUCUCACUAGUGUUUAUUCACUGUGCUGAGGUGAGGCUCAAAUUAAAAAAUCCUAAAGGAAUAAUGGAUGAAAGAAUCUUUGUGCAUGGGACCCAAUCAGUGCCAUGCAAUAAGACCAUUGGUUUCAAAUUUCCUUUCUUAUAAUCUAGUGAUAAAGAGGAUGGAUAGACAGGCAGACAUUUUCCUUUCUCUUCCACCAUCCUAAUGGAAAUCCUUCCCUAGUCCCUUCUUUCCUCAAACACUGGACUCUGCCAGCUUGUUCACCAGGCCUUGCCAAAUGGGUCUUACUGGCUCUCAGGAGAGUAGUUGUCCACACUGCUCAUUGAGGUGUGGGAGAGGGUAAAUCCCCUUGAAGGUUCCUACUUUCUUUGCAUUUGGUGUGGUGAACCUACCUCCAAAUUCUUAGUGCAUUUUGCCAACCACAAUGCAGGUGGUUUGAAGUAUCCCCGCUUUUCUUUCAGGCUUCCUCUUUUCCUUAAGAGGGACCAGGAGUGACAAUGGUGCUCUCCUUUCUUAUCAGGGAAACUUCUCUGAUUCCACACCACAAGAACUCCCAGGAGAACUAAUUUAACAAAAUUGUAUCAGUCCAGUUCCUUGAGAAGCAGAUGCCAGGAUGGGAUGCAAGGAUUUUAUUAGGGGAAAUGCCUAGUGGGAGAGAAAAUAUGGUCAUAAAAGGCUGGGAGAGUCAUUAGAUGCAAGUCUGACCUUUAAUGAAUGAUAGAAGAGAGGUAGGGAGGAUUAGGUGAAAUGUCUUAGAUUCCUAUGUAGUUUAACGAAAGUUCAACAAGGUCUGUCAGAGAGUUCUUAAGCCUGUAUCUGUGGUGAGGUGAGUUACUAUCUUUUCUCCCAGGAACAAGCUGGCUUUUGUACAUCUGCCUUGCUCAGUGGUUGGCUAGGGACAGCCCAUGUGUGGUCUCCACAGGAGUGGUGAUGGAUUUUACAAAGCACUAAAGAUGGGUUUUUGAUCAGUUAUGCUUCCUACUCCAGCACUUACCAUGAGGGACAACAUAACAAGGUGGUAAGGAGUGGGGCUCUGGAUCUUUACUACUGCGUUAAUUUUAAUCCCAGCUCUGCCACUUAUUAUCUUGUUAUUGGGCAAGCCACUCACCUUCACCAUGUCUCCAUUUCCUCAUCUGUGAAAUGAGGAUAAUACAACCUAGUAGUGUUGUUAUGAUAUUUAAAUGAGUUAAUAUGUGUAAAACCUUAGAAAAGUCCCUAUCACUCAUAGUAAGUACUCAAGCACACCACUAACAGUGAACUUGUGCAAAGGUACUUAACCUCACAUUCUUAUUUUCUUCACCUCAUGGUGACAGUGCACAUGCCAUGUGGCUCUUGUUGAAAUGAAAUGAGAUCAUUUUAUGUAAAGUUCCUAGAAUGGGACCUGGCAUGGGAUAAGCACUGAAUCAAUUGUAGAUAACAUUUAUCAUUAUCAGAAUCAGCAGCAGAAGCAAUGGUAACAGGGUUCUUAGUAUAGCUUCUUUUUGUACACAAGCAUUCUUUUCUAAAAGUAAAACCUGUACGAUUAAUUACCAUACUUACAGUGCACUGUUAGCAGGGAGCCGUGUUGUGUGUGAUACUGUUCUAAGUACGGAGGCUGUUUUCUUUUCAUUCCAAGCUGUUUCAUCCAUUUUCUAAUUAAAAUUGUAGUGAACAUGAUAGGGUAGAUGAUUUAGUCUUCUCUAAUUUGGAUACACUUGUAAAAACAUGUCCAUAAGUACAUAAAGGUUAAUGAUCUUGUUCCACCUUACAUCAUAAAGAGCUGGCUCACUUUGGAUUGGAAUUAUCUCUUAAUUCUUUACUCAAGAAGGCUUUAAAUGUGAUAUAUUAAGUGGAAAGAACUUCAAAAGAAUAAAAUAAAUGUGAGAUAUUCUUUUUUAAAAAAAUACCUUAAUAAAUGUAUUUUCUUCUAUUGAAAAUAAAAUACUCAAAAUGUAUAUUUAAAGAAAUUCUUAUUUAAUAAAAAUAUAUAUUGGAAGCUCACAGAAUGCUAUUGUAGGGCCUUUUAGUAUUGGAACUGAUAGAUUUUGAUGAAUAGGACUUGUCAGUGAUAUACUCAGUAUAGUAUGUAAUGAGGCUUUUAAGACAUUUAUUAAGUUUAUACUAUUUUCCAGGUACUUGGAGGAUACAAAGGUGGCAUAGUCCCUGCCCUUGAGGUACUUAUCCAAAGAAAUAGAUAAUCAUGGUAGCAUGCAGUAAGCUCUAGGUUAAGCUUAAGCCCAGGGUAUCUGGUGUACAGAGAAAGGACACAGUGUCAUUGGAGGUUAAAAUUGCCUGAGAGUAAUAAUAAAAAUAAAAAUAAAAAUGAAAAAAACAAUAAUAGAAUCAAACUUUAUUUUUCUCUCAGGUCCAAAAAGGGUUCAGUAAUCAAUCUGAGAGAUACACAAUGCCUCAUAAUGUCAGGAGCUCAGGUUUCUCUUAUCCUAAGCCCCUGGGUGUGUAGCUUUCUUUCCCGAGGUCACUCAUGGUCCAAAUUGGCUGCUGAUAUACAGUUAUUAUAUCUGCAUCAUCCAGCAGGAAUGAGGAGAGGAUGCAGGGCUCACUCUCACCUUUGAAGAGUAAUUCCCAGAAAUUGUAUAUACCACAUAUGCAUGCAUCCCCUAGACCAGAUAGUAGUCACAUGGCCACACCUAUGUGCAAAGGAAAUUUGCAAAUAUAAUCUCUAUUACAAGUCAUCAUGUGCCUGGGUAAAAUGAUGGGUUAUCUUACAGUAAAAGAAGGAAAGGAUGUAUAUUGGAGGACAACUAGCAAUUCUACCAUAAAACCAACCCAGCAAGGAGUGGUUGUAGAGGAAGCUAUCAAGUAUUCUUAAUAAAAUAAUAAUAUUACCAGUGUGUGACAUUUUAACAUAUAUGUUAUACUGACUUUCAAAGAACAUUUACAGAGGGGUGCUGAGGUAGCUCACUCUGUUAAGCAUCGGACUUUGGCUCAGGUCAUGAUCUCACAGUUGGUGGGUCAAGCUGUGCUGACAGCUCAGAACCUGGAGCCUGCUUGGGAUUCUGUGUCUCCCUCUUUCUCUGCCCCUCCCUGGCUCACACUCUGUCUCUCUCUCUCUCUCUGUCUCUCAAAAAUAAACAUUAAAGAAAAUUUUUUAAACAAAAAACGUUUACAGAAAAUUCACAGUAUAAUUAAAAAUUUACUGUAACCAAUUUGCAACCAUUGACCACAAAACAUUUAAGUUGUUUACAAGUAAAGAUGAAACGGUAUGGAGCAUGUUGUAGGUGUAUCUUAGCUGUUUUCCCAGUAAGAUAGAGUCCAGUGUUCACCUUAUUCAAACUUUUUGGGCAUUAGUAUUAUUAUCUUCCCCAAAUUAUUAUACGGAAGUGUAUAUGGAAGUGGAAAGCCUGUGAGGAAAGUAGGUGAUCUGUCUUUCUAGCAUAUUCCAAUAUGUUAUGUACAUGUACAUUAUGAUACAUUUAUUGUAAGAUAGAAGAAAAACUUAAUGUUCAAUGCCUUAGUGUCUGUUGCUAAAUCCAUGGAAAAUACCUACUAAUGAGUUGAAUAAGCAUUAAAUAAUCAAGUAAUUUGUGUUCUAAAUGCUUUAUACUAUGGAGGAAUCUUUGGUGGAUUUGUUUGUAUGUUUAUGAGGGUUUUAUCAUUGUUAAGGACAUUGACUGAGUUUUUUGGAAGGAUGGGGAUGCUUUCUUACUUUUCCCCAUUUAAAAUAUUGGAAGAUAGACUCACACUUCCUGAAAAUCUACAAUCCAAUGUAUUUGCAGGAAAAUAUUUGAUGCAGAUAAAGAGGAAUAUCGUUAAUUAAUGAAUCCUAAAACAGAACAGAGUAGAAAGGAGACUGACUAGAAAGGCAAGGACUUUCUUUUCAAUAGUAUACUCUAAAUGUAAUAAGGAAAACUGAACAGCUAUUUUUCUAAGUGAUGUUACAUACACACACACAUCCAGAUACAUGUAAAUGUCGAAUUUUAGUUCCUUCAUUCACUUGCAGUUGGCUGCUUACUCAUGCAUGAGUUCUCCCUCCCUGGGAACAGUUGAGAAUUGCAGGCUGUUUUGUAAAACCAUAGCUCUCAGUUUGGAGUGAUUUUGAAUUAUUUUUCAUUCUAUACAGAAAUUCAACAAAGAAGAAAAGACACUAAGCUUACUCUUAAGGGAGCUUUUCAGUGUUAAGUUAUCCAAAUCAUUUAAAGACUCUUUUACAUCCUAAAAUAGUAAGAAAAUGUUAUUAAAUGUUUGAUGUUGAUAGCUAACAAAUUUUAGGUCUAACAUAAUAUAGAUCAGUGUCAUAUUUUUGUGUUGUAUAUAAAUAGCACAGUAUAUUUCUAACAUAAUCAAAGAUUUUCAAAUAUUUUAUAGUUUUAUAUAAUUCCUAUAUAAUUUCAAUACAUUAUCAUCGUAUUUUGUAAUUGUGGGGGGUUUUGGUUAUUUUAAAAUGUGGCUAGAAUUAGCUCUCAAAAAACCUAGACUUGCAAUAUGUUUACUAUAACAAAAUAUAGCCUGAUUAGAUGUGUCCAAUUAGGGUUUCAAUAAGGUACUUAUCACAAAAAUCAGGAUAUAAAAUAUGAUUUUUACUUAUUAAUCAACCUUGGAAAUCUGUUGGCACAUUUAUGAAGGAAAUUUCCUUAACUUGCCUCUCAAUAAUUUCUAUUUCUGCUUAUAAAUUUCUGAUUCUUUAUCUUCCUUCUUCAUUUCUUUGUAUCUCAUUUUAAUGUUUAUCCGUCUUUAACUAUCCAUCCACAGUUUCCUGUGAUUUCUCUAUAAAUUCUCUUUUGAACCUUUAUUCUAGAAGUUUUCUCUAGUUGGAUGCACUCCUGAUUCUGUGUGCACCAGACUUGGGUUUAUCCAAGUUUGCUCAUGAGUGUUAAGUGUUGGAUCCUCAUUUGUGAAAGAGAUGCCGAUCUUGACUUCAUAGGGUUAUUGUGGAGAUUAAAUGAAAUAAGGAAUGUAAAUGCCUGACACAUUGAAGGCACUCAAUCGUAUUUGUUACUUUCAUUAAUAUUUUAAUUCCAUGACUUCAUUUAUAUUUGUCAAUAUCUGCAAGCCAGCCCUGAUUCAAUGUGGUAAGGAACUACAUAGGGUCUCAGUAUCAGAGGCAUGGAUUAUUGGUAGUCAUUUUGGAGGCUGGCUACAUUUUUCAAGAAAAACAGUAGUAUUUUCUGAUUUACUUGGAACAGAGAGGCAGUACAUUGUGUCUGAAAGAGCACAGAUAUGCUCAUAUAGGACCCUUUUACAAAGCUUUUAUACUUCUCCAUUGCUAACUGAACAAACACCUUAAAAUUCUGUCCUUAACCUACUUUUCUCCCUUUAUUUUCCACUACUCUCUUUAAGGAAUAAUCUGCCCAUUUAGGGCCCAGUGUAGGUUUCAGGAAGUCCUCAAACCUCAGCAAUUAUGUAAAAUAGUAUAUUUAGGAUAUAUGUGUUACCCGCACCCCCCCACCCCCGCUGAGAGAUUUGCCCAGAUUUUCAAUUGGUCCUUCCUCCCAGGAACAGUUUAAAUGACAGCUUCUAUGUGAAAUCUCAUGUGACCAAUAGAAAGAUCAUUUAACCCUCAUUCCACCCUACCUCCCCCCAAAAAAAACUAUAUAGUAUUUUUUUUUAUUUAAGAACACUUUUUGCCUUCUACCUUGUGUCACCAUUUUAUGAGUUCAUGUCUCAUCUCUUCAAAAAAUUUCUAAGACCUUUGAGAGCUGAAGCCAUUUCUAAAUUAUUUUUGAUUCUCCUCAAACUUUUAUUUUUUUUCAGUAAAAUAAGUCCAUAUUAGAAAAUUUAGAAUAUAUGGAAAAUUAGGUAGGAAAAUAAUUUUCAUCCAUCCUCUGCAGUUGAAGCUCUAAGUUUGAUGAAUGAGUGAGGAACGAUACAUUCAUGAAUUUUUAAUUAUACAUACAAAGAUGAAUGAUUUAAAAUGUAUCUAUGUAUUUUUGUCCAACUUAUUUGGGUAGUCAGAUUUUUUUAUUAUAAAAAGUGACUUCUUACUUUUCUGUCCAUUCUAAGACCAAAUUGGCAUUCUCUUUUGGCUUAUUAGUUACGACAUGAAAUUUGCUUUAUAUCAGAAAUGGAUGAACCCAGAGCUUGGGCCCAGGAGGCUUGUGGUUCAUUAGCCUGGAAGACUUAAAUUGCCAAAUAGGUCAUGUGGCCCUGUGGCUGGGGCAAACAAUCUCUGCCUCUCUGAAGGGGCAGCCACAAGGGUAAACUACAUAAAAUGAUCAAUUUGACCACAUCUCUACCACCAAAACUCUUAAAGUCUAAUACAACACGUAUAACAGGAAGCACUUGGAAUGCCCUCAGAGAAUGUAAAUAAUAUAAAUCAAAGUGGUUUUAUUAUUUCCUGACAAUAAGCUAAUGUAAAUAUCCUCUUUUGUCAUGGACUGCAGUCUCAUCUCCCUAUUAAAUUAUUAGAAAUGAACUAAAAAGAUCAUUCUGCACUUAAAAAUUUAUACUUGCCAAUGCCUUCAUUAAUAAAAGCCAUAAAAAAAAUGUCCUUGGUCUAAUCCUCUUUGUUUGAUAGCUUCUGACUGUCAUUAAGUUAUCACUUCAGACUAUAUACCCCGUGCCCUAACUAAUCUAAUGACAACUACUUUAAUUUUUGUGGGGGUUUUUUUCAUGAGAGUAGAGAAGAUAUUGGCAACUCAAAGAUUACCAUAUUUACUUUGCACAGUUUAGAUUUUGAGAUACUUACUUCAUAGAUGCUCAAAGCAGUGUUAAUAACAGUGGUUUUGGUUUUUAUCUUUUCCAAGGUGUAUAGGCUGUCAAAUUUGUUAUAAAAUGGAGGAAAACAUUCUGGAUUCUAAUUGGAUGUGUUAAGUAUAGUGAUUAGUUAAUGUACCUAAGUAGUUAACCAAUAAUGGAUCUAGUCAUUUAAUAUCAAUUUAGUAAACAGAAAUUAGCAGCCCAGUGUAAUUUUUUAUCUCUUGGCCAUAAUAUUUCUACUAUAAAGCUUCUAAAAGGACACUUAAUAAGAAGUAAAGAUUUAGGUAUGUUCAAACUAUUAAAUAUAUUUACCUAAAAAAAAAAUCCAUGUAAUCAGUUGAUUACUAUACCUUAACUACACAAAGAUUUCUUUGAAAUGUUUUAUUUUAAUAUUGUACCUACAUAGCAUGUUGAAAAUAUAAUUUGUGAUUUGGAAUUGCAUAUAUAAUUUAGGAAUCUAUACAGUCCUGUAUAUAAGCCAACAAUGGAAGGUGAGUAAUGUUUGACAGUCUUGUCCUAAAUCAAUACCACUUUCAACAUGACAGAAAAUGAAAUGCUUCCUUUACCAGCUUCUGCAUUAUCACACUGGUGAUGAGUCAACACAACUUUUUACCAAAUCCCCUUCUAAUAAGACAAAUGAAAGCAUGAAUGUCUUUCAGUUAUUCUAGGUGAAUCUGCAUAUGUUAAAAUGGAAUAUCCCUUAAAAUAUUUUAAGUAUUAGAAGUAUUCAGAAUACAUAUUUCUUUUGCCAAACAUAUAGAUUCUUUAGAGUAUUCUGGAUUCUGAAAGGAGAGUAUGUAAAAGUAGAAAUUUAAUAAACAUCCAUGUAUUGUUUACAUUCUGUGUGCCCAUCUUUCUCUUAGAAUCAGUAGCCCCAAUUGUAGACUGGGUUUACUACUAAUGGUCAGAAAUGUGCCAUAGCAGUGACAGUGGAGCUGUUAGAUUACUAAAAUUAUUUUCCUUGACCCCAAAAGACUUUUUCCUCUGUUAGUUGCUAUAGAGACUUUGACUACAAUUUCAGCAGAAUAUACUUGUGACUUUUUAUUUUUAUUUAAACUGUUAUGAUGUUAGUAUUAGCAUAAUGGAUGUUUGAAACUAAUGUAUCAAAAUUUAAUGGAAGAUGUACAAGUUAUACAUGUUAUUUAAAUAUUUAUAGUUGCAAUAACAUUUUUCCAAAGGCUUUUUUUUUACUAUAACUUGUAAAUAUUUGGCCAUAAUUUAUAUAAUUGUAAAAUAUUUCUAUUUUAAAAAACUUCAGGACUCAGGUACUUUAAAUUAUUUCAAUAAAUGUCACUUCAAGUUUUAAAUAUAAUUUUUAAUUUGGUUUAUUCAUUUUUCUUAACAUUUUAAAUAAUGUAAAGAAAGCUUUGAAUCCAAAAUACAUAUGAACAGUUUUAAACAUAAUUACACCAUAUAGCUAGAAAAGCAAAGACAUGUUACUUUCCGUUGCUUUCCUCUGUUUUCAUUCUUAUUUUCACCAAAGUAGAUUACAGAUCAAAGAAAAGAGAUUUAGUUCAAACUCUCCCUGUCUUAACUCUUCUAUUGUUGAGAAAGAAGGCCUACAACGUAAAAAGCACAGAAACAGUUUAAAUAUACUUUCUGUGGGUUUUUAACUCUGGUCUAUUAUGUCUUUAUCAUCUCUUUCUAACAAAUCUCGUAUGAAGACUUUGAAAGCUUGUUGGAAUAAAAACAGAUAAGUAAAAUAGAUACAAUGCCAUGGCAUGAUAAGUUUAGCCAUCUUAUGAUCAUGGAACUUUUCCUUGCAGACCGUUAGGUUACCUGUGAUCACUCCCAUGUGACCAAAGAUUACACAGGUGGCCAUAAAUAGCAAUGAGAACAAACUAUGAGAUGACAGCUUGAGCCUACAUUAAAAGAAGUGCCAAAAGGAGAGAUAUCACCUCCAAUUUUCUAUCUGAUAGAAGUGUGGGAAUUUCAGUUCCACCACUUCCGCUAUAUAUUUAGCAGUAUAUAAAUGAUUAAGUGAUACUUCUGUCAGAGCCUGUACCCUAUUCUUUAUUCCCCAGCAAAGUAUUUUCAUGUAUGGCCUAGAAUAGCAGUUUAUCUAUAUGUGAGUAUAAUUUGCCAGUGAUUCUAAAAAAGGAAGUGUUAUUCUUGCAACUGGGAUUAAAAAUAUAGAAGAUGUUCCUCAAUAUGGAAAAGUAAUUAUAGAAUUCAGAUUCUCUUGAAUUGAUGUAAACUAAAAUCUGGGGGAAAUAAUUGGACAGGCAAAAGCUUCAUAUGGAUAAACAUCCAGAAAGCAAUAAAAACAAAUCUACAGCAUUAUGGUCUGGCUUCCAAGAUAUAUAGUGAUUAUUGCUAAGCAGAGGUGGAACUUACUUUGAAUGUCAAGAUGAUGCCUUGGUGGUGAAAUCCUGAAAUAUUUAAACUUUAACAUCCAUUUACUUUAAUUCAGUCAUUUAUUACUUAAAGGCUUAUUACUUGAGCCCCUCUUAGGCACACAGAAAUAUACUCUGUUAUUGUGGGAGAGAAAAAGCAGAGUAGAAGAGAAAGUCUUGCUUUUGAAGUUAUAACAAUAGAGAUGGAAAGAAGUAAGCACAUAUACAAUAAUUAGAAUACAUAAGCAAAUGUUUGAUAAUAUAAAGUACUGGCUUUAAAGGGAAAUAGUGAGGGAUAUAUUCAAGAAAGUCUCUUGUAAAGGGUCCUGUUGGAGACAGUGGUGCUUGUGUAUUGGUGCGUGUGUGAUGGUGUGUGUGUGUAUGUGUGUGUGUGUGUGUAUGUGUGUGUGUAUGGGUGUGUAUAUAUAUAUACAUAUAUAUGUAUACAUAUGUAUACAUAUAUAUGUAUAUAUAUGUGUGUGUGUGUAUAUAUAUAUAUAUGUAUAUAUAUAUAUAUAUAUACAUAUAUAUGCGUUUGGAGUCUGGCUUGUCCUAGAGUGCUGUUGGACUCCUUCAUUUUAGCUGGAAAUGGCAUCUAGGAAGAGAAAACAGGAUACCCCUGGAACAUCACGAAUUUAUGUUUAUUCAUGAGGGUUUGUUUAAGAGGAGUUCUGUUUGUAUAAAUCCUCUGUAAAUUGAAGUGCUUUAUUGCAUUUUAGUUAGAUUUCACCCCAACUCCUUAAGAAGAAACUUAGGGUUUUUAAAAAUAAAAUGUGUAAAAUAAAUUCAUAAUGUGAAGCAGCAGAGCAGAGUAGAAUCUGAAUAAAACAUCUUGUGUAUUAAAUUCUGUGAUCUUUGUCUCUCAUCAUUUCCCUCCUCUAUGUCACAUGACCACUUACACUCUCAUGCAUUCAUUUAGAAGGGUCUACGGAGUGCUUAUGAGUGACACAGUUCCUAUGCUCAAAUUGUCUUUGUCUUUUAGGGGAAGACAGACAUGUAGACUCCCAGCUCAAUCUAAUAAAACACUAGCACUGUGGUGUAAAUAAAAAGUACUAUGGAAUCCUAAAGAAACUGACCAGGCCUACAGAGAUUUGUACAGGUGGGGUGACAAAAAGUUAAGAAAGAUUUCCAGAGGUGAGACACAGGAUUUGGGUCUUAAGAAAUGGACAUUUUCUAGGAAGUAGAGAAAGAAGGCUUUUCUAACUCUCCUGUUUCUUUGUAACUGGUUCUUGCUUUUUCCAGGCUGUUUUUUCCCCCAUACAUCUUGGAUUCACAACUUUUUUGUCACUGGUGCUUAGUUUCCUUCUGUUUACUAAAUGAUCCAGAUUAAAUCCUCCUGACAAGUUUUGUGUUUUAUGGUGACGUCAGUGGGCAGUAUGGGGCUUUGCAUGGAUACCAGGCUCUUGUUUCCCCUAAUAAUCACCUCAGUUGCCUUGCCCUGGGCAUGUGAUGUUUUUGUGUUAAUUAUCUAAUUAUAUGAGUAGGAUUCUUAACUAUCAUUCAGGUCUAUUCUUAGGUGUUUUGGACUUUGUAUCACAUGUUCUUUUUGAAUAACAAAUUCCAUGGUUUGUCUCUUACCUCCAGAAUAACCGGGAUGUUCUUGGUUUUGUUUUUUGUGGAUACUCCUUUUCUACUUGUGUUUUAACCAUUAAAGAAAACUCCUCAGGAAAGAGCAGCAACUCUGUGGGAUUUGAUAUCUAGAUAAAGAGUUUAUAGAAAAUUUUACUGCCUAUGGCAUGUUUGAAUAGUAACCAGAAAUGCAAUUUAGUCUUUAUAUGAAUGAUAAUUUGGUAUUGGGUAGGCUCAUAUAUGUCUGAGAAAUGAGAAAAAUAGAAUGAUACCUUGGGAUAGCAUUUCUCAGAUGCACAUGCAGUGGUUCAUGAAUUCUAAUUAUUUUCUUUUGGUUUGUGUUUUCACCUCAGUUGAGUGUUUCAUUUACCAGUAGGAUUACCACAUAAAAUACAGGGGCCCAGUUUAAUUUAAAUUUCAGAUGCACAAUGAGUAAUUUAUUUGUAUGUCCCUAGAUUUUAGUACAUCCCUAAAAAUUUUAGUGAAGUACAUGCGUAUACUAAAACUCAUGUCCCUCAUUAGGACAUUCUAACUUAUUAAUUGUUUAUCUGAAAUUCCAACUUCCCUGGAUGUUCUCUAUAUUUAUUUGCUAAAUAUGGCAACUCUAUUCUUAUAAAGAUUAAUUUCCCUUUUUUAGGAAUGAUUCACAAAUAAAAGAUUUUCAUAGUAAAUGACUUGAAGUUUUUGAAGCAGUGUUUUUGAGAAUGGGUGACUAUGGAAAUAUUUUUGUGAGCUCUCAGAGAUUACUUUUUCGUUGAAUAUGUGUUUGCUCCUUGCUGAAGUUUUAAAAACACUCCUUUGAAACUAUGAUACUCUGUUUGUAAAAUUAUUCUUCAUUAUCUGGGUCAUUAUCAAACAACAAUUACCCAGAGACUAUAGAAUUCUAGGAAUUUGGAGCUCAAGGAAUAUUAAAGAUCACUUAGUUUAAAUUGUUUUUGUUACAGUUAACGAAUAGAGCCAUAGCUUUUGAUGUUAAGUGAUUUAUUAAUAAGUUAACAAGUUAACAAGGUAAUAAGCUGAAACUGAACCCAAGUCUUCAUUUCUUGGUACUGUAUGUAAAUAUAAGGCUGUAUGCUUUCUCUUCUAUAAGGCCAUGAUGAUGCAUAACUGUUAAGUAAUUAAAAGAACAAAAUUAAUUGAAUGCAAUAUCUUUUAAAAAUACAUUGACUUGGAAAAAAUAAAAUAAAAUACUGACUUGGGCAUUAUCAACCAUAACUAACAUCUUCCAAAAGCACUUCAAUAAUUGGUUACUAAACUUAACCAGCCAUCUAUUGCCAUUUGUUAAAAGCCAAGAGUCAUACAUACUGCUUAGUUUAAAUUCUUGCCUCACCAUCAACUGGCUAUGUUACUUUAGCCAAAUAUUCUCUCUGUGCUUCAAUGUCUUUAUCUGUAAACAAGGAUUAUGGCAAUGAUAGCUACAUCAAAAACUGUAGUAAGAAUCACAUGAGAAUAUCUGUAAAGAAUUUCUAGCAAAUACCUGAUGCAAAUACCUCCACUGAUAAAGGUCUAAUAAGGGCUACCUAUUAUUAUCUUGUUAUUGUUCUUGGUAUUAUUAAUAUAUCUGAUACCUACAAAUGGUGAGGCUCAUUUCCCAACUUCUGUCAGAGUAAAUGAAUGUGGCUAAAAUGUGUUUAUGCAUGUGAUUAAACAACUUUACUUUAGAUAUAGAUUUUUAAUGACUCUAUGGAAGAUUCAGGGGUAUAACGUAAAGCAUUUUAUAAGUUGUUAUUUUAGUAAUUUUUAAAAACCUAUGGACUCCUUCUUCUCCAAUUUUACCAACCAAAGGCAAAUAUCCAGUUCCUCUUCUAAUGCCUUCAGUGAUACCACAUCUGAGAUUUGGCCCAAAUUUUCCUUUAAUCUUUUCAAAAUUCAUUAGGAAAAUGUGUCCACAGUAGGAAAUUAGUAUUUGAAUUUGUGAGGUUAUAUAAUCCUUUUAGAGAUUAAAACUUUUUUUUAAGCAGUCAGGUUCCCUCAGUGACUUCCCAAGAGGCUCAAUUAUUCACUUAUGGGAAGAAAAGAGAGAGUAGCUUCCCACUACCAUUCUGAUAAUCCUAAUUAGAGGUUUAUAACCAGAAAAGUUUGGGAUAAGUUUCCAAAUUUGGUGGCUGCAGUCUGUUAAAUUCCAGAAGAGCCACAGGGGAAACUGCUUAUAUUUAGCUCAGUAACACUUUCGGAUAAAAAAGACCAAGUAAUGCUUUUGGGUAGACAAGGUCAUUUUUUUUUUAAAUGAAGCAAAUCCUCACCUCCUUUAAAUUUAGCUAAACAAGUAGAUAUCUAUUAUUCUGUAGAUUCAAACCUGAUAUAAUAUCCCAAAAGGCAUAGAAGGGCUUGCACUGUGGUUCCUGAAAUACGCAAAUUCACAAAACUCUGCUAACAGUUUAUGGCAAGUUCCAGAUGAAUUUUCAUCAUGUUGGUCUCUUAAUAUAGCUGUGGCAAAGAUUGAGGCAUAAUGUGUUUCUGGUCCUCUGUGUAGCCCAUGCCAGAGGAUCAGAGGUGGUUUAAGACUUCAUAAAGUUCCAAGUUCACAUUUAGAAAGUCCUAUUACUUGUUGUCAGUUUAAGAGCUUGAAUUUAGGGAAGAAUUCCCUUAAUGUCUCAAAAGUUGUUAAUAAAGAGGAGUCAGAUGUAAUGACAGAGAAAAGCAACAGCUUCUUGGUGUGUAGUGCUUGGCAAGCAGAUCUGCUGUGGUAAAUUCUACCCAUUCAUUUGUUCACAAUUGUAUAUUCAUUUAUGUAUCUUGAACUGAUCCAUGCAUUCUUCAUUGAUUGUGCGUGAAUUGAAGACUAUAGACUAUGCUAGGUAUUGGAGACACAAAGACAAAUAAGUGUAGUUCCUGACGGUGUGGCCUCUGUCUGCAACUUGUACUAGAGCCUACAAAAUGAUCAAAUCUAGUUUUAGUUUCAGUUCUAGAAGUCUGGCACUGAAAGAAAUCCAUAAAGUCUUGGAAAAUUGUAUCACUUGAUAAUUGGGAAUCAGAGCAAAUUAUAAUGUCCAUAUUAGCAGUGACCACAUCUUUAACACUGUAUAACCACUGUGCCUAGCACCGUGCAUAGUAUGUACUCAGUAUAUUGUUUUAAGAGUGGAGUAAUAUCUAGAUAUAUUCUUUGAAAAGCAUUGCAUCUUUUAGGUUCAAAUAGGCUAAAAUAACCUAAAAUUGUCACUCAUAAAAAGUGUUUCUCAAGAUGGAAAUGGAAGAGGCCAACAUGGGACUUUCUGAUGGGAUAGGGAGCAUUGUGUAACUUUGUGUCUGCUUUUAGAUCAGUAAAUACAUCUUACCCUGAACUUCUCCUAGCAACUGGUGUCUCUGAGUAAGUAUCACAUGCAGACCAGAAAUGACAACUCUGGUUCAUACAAAGUGGUAGUUUAAGAUGACGAAGUACUUCCCAGCUACCUGACCCAUAACCCUUUGCCAUCAUAAGCCCUUUUGUGAUCUGAGUUAUGUACAUAUUUGUUUCCUUAUUCCCCAGGCACUUUAGAGGUUAGGGGAUGGAGACGGCAGGCAGCAUUCUAUGUUGGCAUGUGGCUGAGGUGACGGGAGGAUUUUAGCAGUUCGUGGGUGGGUGUUCAGGGAGCAGGUGGCAUUGGGAGAAGGAAGUGACUGUCAGGAUUCCGUGGCAUUUGGGGGCGUGUAUAGGCAGGCAUAAAAAAGGAGUCGGGUAUUCUAAAAACACUUUGGUAUUCUCAUAAAGAGAAAUGUAAUCCAGGGCUUCUGGUAUCCUAAAGGCAGAGCAUUUUAGUUUGUCCUCUGUGCAGAGUUUUAAGAAAGAGUCCGAAGAGUUAAACAUAAAUAAAUAAGAACAGUAACUGAUUUGCACAGUGUAUUAACAAAACCUGCAUGAUCAUUUGAUUUUUGAGGCAGUGCUUUGGCAGGUCAAUGAUCGGCCUUUUAUGCUCCUUUGUAAGAGAAGAAACAAUUUUCACCUUAGUGUUUCUGUUGGUCUAUUUGAGAUGCCUCCAUUACCUUAGAUGAAAUGAAGCUGCUUCAGUAUGUUGAUUGGAGCCUCAUCACCAGGUGGUUACCUUUGGCACUUGGCAUCAUGUAGCAUUUACAUUCUGAACUACACACAGUUGCUCAUCUCUGAAGAAAUCGGGGCAUUCUGGUGCACAUAAUAGAAGAGCUAAUUAUUUAUGUAACUAACACAACCUCAACGUUUUUUUGGGACAUGGAAAGAAUAAAAGUUUCAAUUCAGUUCUGUUGAACAAGCAAACAAACAUGUGUUAGCUUCUCCCCUCCCAAUUUCCAAAAGACACCAUGGGAAUAUGCACUGAAGAAGGUGAAAAAAAUGAGGUAUGAAAAACUUGGAUCCAUUGACCAUAAUGGCAUUACAAUGAUAUUUCUAAAAAUUACUAAAUCUCUUUUUCAAGUAGGAUUUUGAUAAGCUGUGGUCAUUUGUAAACAUUGUCACAUCAGAACCAUAAAAAAGACAGGAUUCAAAACAUUUGGGAAUACAGGUUUUCAGAAUUCAGUAUAAUAUUUAAAGAUAAGAAUAUCCUUCAAAUGUUCAUUUCACUUUAAAGACGUGAUUGGGCUUCAGCACCUUAAAAUUAAAAGUUCAGGUUGAAACAUUUGUACAUUUGUAGGUUCACACUGAAAUAGAAAAAAAAGGGGAAUUAAACUAAGUGUUUACUUAAACAUGUUUUAAUUAGGGCUAUGAAGGGGGGAAGACACGAGGACAGUUACAUGGCAAAUCGGCAGUUACAUGGUGAAGGUAGCAUUGGUGAGAAGGCCCCAACUGGACAGUUUGUUCCUCACAGGAGCAGCAUUCAGAGUGUAGGUACCUUGGGAAAAAUGAGGACAUCUCUCGCUCUUUUGGGUUUUGCAGGAACCUCCUGGUAAUGAAGGAUAGAGGGCUCUGACGUCCUUUGUGUCAGGAUUUCUUCAAGUUACCAUAAUGAGGUGUUUUCCUAUUGCCUGGAGCUGACUGGACUAUAAGAGAUUUCUUAAGGAUCAUUUAAAAAUAUCUCUCUUAGGUGUUUCCUAAUACAUUUACAUUUUAUAACUGGUAAUGAUAGGUAGUGAUAUCCUAAAAAAUUUGAAAUAGCAUUCAACAUGUGGAGAAUUCAACACACAAAUAAUCUUGAUUGACUUUAAGUUUCAGCAUGGUUUAGGAAAGCUCUUUUGUUUGUAAUCAUUUCUUCCUUAGAAAUCACCAUUCAAGGGCUGCCUGGGUGGCUCAGUCCAUUAAGCAUCCGACUUUCACUCAGGUCAUGAUCUCAUGGCUCGUGAGUUCGAGCCCUGCAUCAGGCUUUGUGCUGACAGCUCAGAGCCUGGAACCUGCUUCAAAUUCUGUGUCUCUGUCUCUCUCUGCUCCUUCCCUGCUCAUGCUCUGUCUUUGCCUCUCUCUCUCUCUCUCUCUCUCAAAAAUAAAUAAACAUUAAAAAAAAAGAAAUCACCAUUCAGGAAAUGCUUUCCAAUGAGAAGAAACAACAGUAUUUUUUAUAAGUAUAGUCUGUGUUAGCAACAUAUCUAUUUUGAGUAAUAUCUAUUGCUAAAUAUUAACACUGUUGUCAGUAUAUAUGAUAUAGAAAUCAAUUAAAUGAUUCUUAACAUAUUUUUCAGCAACAAAAAGCAAAGAAUAUGAGGUACAUUUCUCUUAACCUACAAAUUCAGAGAGAAAAUGCUAAUUUUUUUCUAAAGCAUAUCUUCCUUUCUACCUGACAUUCAUUUUGACAGUAGGAAGAAACUGCAAAUGGGUUGAUCAAAGUGUGUUGACAUUUUAGUGGGAUUCAAAUGAUCUUUGGUAUUCAGGCAGAGCUGAUGGCUUCAUCUGCAAGUGAGCCAUAUUGUUAAAAUAUUGAAACACUUUCCUACCGCUCAGAAAAAGAUCCCCUUUACUUAGUGUCCCAAAGUGUCCCCACCUCCCAGACAGUAAGACCCUCUGUGAUCUAGCAUCUAGUGGGGUUUAGGACAGUAUAUCUUUGUAUCAGACACUCUAUCUAGUUCUGUGAUUUGACCAGAGUUAUUAGUUUGCAUUUUUAAAUUUAUAUUCAGAAAUACCAAUGGAUCAUGAUUAAUUUUAAUAGCCCAACUAAGUUUUAAUCCAAUGUGUAUUGUGUCAUACAGAUUUAAUAUAAGAAUGAUAGUUCAAAGCAUUCACUCACAGUAUUUUAAAGAGCUGGUUUAACUAAUAAAAUAUUCUUUGGUAGGCAAACUGAACUCACAGUUAAGGAAUGGGAAAGAAAUAAUGGAUCAUACAAAUUACCAUAUUUCCCCUAAAAAUUGUUUUUAUUCUUUUUUUGUACAUCCAAUGAAUAUAAGCCAGCAUUGGUAAUUUUGUGCACACAGACUACAAAUUAGCAUUGCUCACAGCACAUAGUUUUUAAUGCUAACAGAAGGGAACUUUCAAAAUAGUAUUAUGAAUUUUCUAAUUAUAGGUUCUGUGAUAUGAGAGAGAAGGUGCUUAAUAUCUAUGAAUUUUAGUUUUUUCAUCUGCAAAAUGAAGGGUAGAACUAGGUUAUCUCUAUAGUUCUACGAUUUGUGUUUUUUUCUCAUGCCUCAUUUUACCUUUCACAUGGUUAUUCCAUUGCCAGACUAGUGAAGAUAGAACCUGGUGUCCAGUUACUGUUUCCAACAAUCUGUUUUUUGGAGCCAAGUGAGAGCAAUAAGAAGACUUAAUAAUAGUCAUACUUAUCUAGACAACAUGACAAUGAUGAUUAGAAAUACUUGUUUGGAUUUUGAAUCUUAGCGUCUAGGCUAAUGCUCAUAUUUUGCAGAUUAGAAAUACCGAAGCCCUGAGAACUACACCUGGAAUCAAGUUAAAGAAUUUCUUGAACUAAAAUUUAGAACCCUUGGCUAGUAUAUUUGGGGGAAAUAGGUAACAUUUUUAAAAAACGAGACUUGUACUCUUUUAUGUAUUAUUAUUACUAUUAUAUGAAGUAUGUGGGUACUUCUGAGAUGAGAUGUUUCAUCAAUCUGAAAAAUCUACCAUAUGAGAAUAUUCGUGCCAUGUGUGCAUCUAAUCAUUAAACAAAUCCUGGGAAGCUAAAAUGAAUUUAAUAAAUAUUCCCUUUUUUCCACUGACCCAAUCUUUUUUUUUAAAGUUUGUUUGUUUGUUUCUUUGUUUGUUUAUGUAUGUAUGUAUGUAUGUAUGUAUGUAUGUAUGUAUGUAUUUAUGUAUGUAUUUUUGAGAGUUGGUGGGGGGGCCGAGGGCAAAGAGAGAGAGAGAAUCCCAAGCAGGCUCCAUACUGUCAGCACAGAGCCCGAUGCAGGGUUCAAACUCAGGAACCAGGAGAUCAUAACCUGAGCCAAAGUCAGAAGCUUAACCAAGUCACCCAGGUGCCCCUCCACUAACCCAUUCAUUAUUUUUGUUAUUGCUUUAACCCACUUAUCCCAUUAAAAAAUGAUUUCAAUUCAAUUAUUUAUUUUUUAAAGUUAGGUAAUUUGACUUGUUAUUUAUGGUUCUUAUUUACAGCCUAUUAAUAAUGCUGUCCCAAGACAGUUUACUGUAUAUCCAACAAUAAUAAUAGAUGCAGUUUUGGAACUUAAAAGUUUUAGCUUUUUCACAACUCUGGAUUGGUUCAUCGUCAGGUAAAAGACCAUUUUAGGGGCGCCCGGGUGGCUCAGUAAGUUAAUUGUCUGACUUCGGUUCAGGUCAUGAUCUCACUGUUCAUGAGUUCAAACCCCACAUCGGGCUCUGUGCUGGCAGCUCAGAGCCUGGAGCCUGCUUCAGAUUCUCUAUUUCCCCCUCUCUCUUUCCCUCCCCCAUUCGUGCUCUGUCUCUGUCUCUCAAAAAAUGAAUAAACAUUAAAAAAAGUUUUUUUUUUUAAAAGAACAUUUUAUUGUCUCUCCUUACUUUGUUUACUCAUAAUUUUGCCAAUUAUUAAUUAAAAGUUACCUUUAACUUUAGAGGUUCCUUUUAGAUGUUGAAAAGAUAUGAUUAAUUUUACUAAUAAUAAUAUUUUUGUUGUUUUAACUCCUAACAUCCUCUCCCCUUGAAAGCCUAUUUGUUAUCUGGUGAUCAUUUCAGGUACUUUUUUUAUCAUCUUGCUCACCUUAUAGACAGUACAAAUUGAUGUCUAAUAUGCUUUUCUAGAAUAUACUGAUUAACUUCAUGCUUAGACCAGUGUGUAUGAACACAUAGACACACACUUUACAUUUAUAUUAAUUCCUUUUUCUUUUAUAUACUGAUCCCAACCAAUCUUCAUUAUUUUUAUUCAUUUUGGAUAAUUCACAAAGGUUUUGAAAAUGUAUCUGGUUUCAUAAGAAAGUAGUAUAAUAUGAAAUCCUAAAAAGUUGUUUGGAGAUAGAUAGAUAGAUAGAUAGAUAGAUAGAUAGAUAGAUAGAAUCAAAAUAAUAGUUUUUCAUCUUUUGAAUGACUUAAAAUGAAGGAAGAAUGCUUAUCUGGUAAAACUCAGAGCCAACUCUUCCUUGUCAGGUGACAUCUCAACUUUAAGACUGUAAGAACUACUUUACUUGAUAUGUGUAUGAUGUCUGUUUCACUAACACAUUUUAAAUUAUGUUACUAUUAUUAUUUUUUCUUGUCUUAAAAGACAUAGCACCACUUCUGCAAGCUGGUUCCCUUUCUGCAAACCCAAGCAUAUUACUGGAGCCUAUACGAAUUAUCAGGGAAUGUGGAUCCCUAGCAUUUAUGUAUUUUAUUACUUACUGAACGUAUACUGAGUACAAUGCAAGCACAAAACACAUAUCUUUGUUUUUCAUCACUGAAUCUUUACAACAACUGUAUGAAGCAGGCCCUUUUAUCACCUCAGUUUAAGAGAUAAGGAAACUGAGGCUUAGGGAGUUUAAGUAACUUGCCCAAAUAAACAAAGCUGAUAAAUGACAGAGAAAGGAUUCACACCAAGGCUUACCUAACCCCAAAGUCCAAUUCUAAACUACUCUGUUAUUUUACUUCCCCUGCCAUGAUAGGAGAAUUCCAUUUAUGACACUUGUUGCUGGGAUUCCCAAAUGUUGCUUUACAUUAUAGUUUGCCUUCCUAUAGUUACAGUGUUUCUGGGUAUCAUAUACACAUCCUUUCUAAAUGAGCAUGUUUUAAGAUGGUAAUAUUUACAACACUGUCAUUAGUUUCAUCAAAAACUUAGUCAACUCUCCUGCUAUCAGUUCAGAUCAGCUACCAUAUAAAGCUGUACAUAGAAGAAAGAUGUCAACUUUGGAUAGUCUCCACUGUGCAUUCCCAGACCAUUUAAACAAGAAAUCCUGCUAAUCAGGAGCUGUUCUCUUAUGGGGAAUGACUAUGUCAAUAUAUAUUCAAAAAUGGCAUAUUUACAAUAUAUCAUUCUAGUAGUUGUACCUUAAGAUUCUGAUGAGUUUCUACUAAUGUUGUAUAAAAAGAUUUUUUUAACUCUAAAUAAAUAAAAGAAAAAAAUUAAGUUACUCCUAAACUCACCACCCACAUAUAGUCAAGUCUUAAAAUGUAUAUACAACGUAUUUUAUGUCAGUAAGUAUUCUUCUACCUACCACAUUAUAAUCAAUAUAUGGAGAGUAUGUCAGUGAGCUGCAAUUUAUUUCAAUAAAGGGUAUAGGUGAGCUGCAAUUUAUUUCAAUAGUGUUUAGUAGCCACUUAAACUAAAAACUUUAAACUUUUUAAAGUUUAGGUAAAAAUUGGGGAUUUUCCCCCAAUUUUUCCAAGUUAUUAACCAUGAUAUAUAAAAUACUCUUGUCUUCCUCCGUAUGCUGCAUUUUUUUCCUUCUAAGGUGAUGUUAUCAGGCUAUACUUAGGGAUUACAAAUAAAUAACAAUCUAAUCUAUCUAAAAGAAUAUAUAUAAUGAAAUUGUCUUUCCCCUUCACAUUAUAAAGUUUCUUUGCAUGGGGCACCUGGGUGGCUCAGUCAGUUAGGCAUCUGACUCUUGAUAUCAGCUUGCGUCAUGAUCUCAUGGUUCACGAGUUCAAGCCCCACAUCGGGCUCUGUGCUGAUGGUGUGGAGCCGGCUUGCGAUUCUGUCUCUCCUUCUUUCUGACCCUCCCCUGCUUGUGUUCUCUCUCUCUCUCAAAAUAAAUAAAUAAACUUAAAAUAAAAAAUAAAGUUUCUUAACAUGAAGAACAUAGUGAAAUACUUAAAAAUGGGUUCACAAGAUUUCUCCAAGAGUAUUUGAGUACCAAGUGGGUGUAGUAUAAGAGGUAAAGACUACUGUAGAAAAGUUGAAAUUAAUUUUCAUAUCCAAUUCAGGCAUUGUCAGAAGCUUGUUUUCAGGUGAUUUCCAAUUGUUAAAACUGUAUUUAUUUUGAGUAUUAAUAUUAAAAGAAUAUUGCUUUUUUCACUUACUGUUCUCACAGAAUACUCUUUCAACCAAGUAUUUCAGGUCAUCACUUUAUAUCAUACCACUUGGAGAAAUCCUGUGGAACUAUUUUUAAGUAUUUUACUAUGUCCCACAUGUUAAGAAACUUCAUAAUGUGAAAGGGUAAGGAAUCUCCAUUAGAAAUGUUCUGUGAGAAACAUUAGCUUAGAUUGUUAUUUAUCUGUAAACACUAAACACAGCACAGUUAACCUCAACUGAAGAAGAGGGAAGAAAAAAUCCAACAUAUAGAGGAAGCACAAGAGUGUUCUGUAAAGCAUUGUUAAUCAUAUGGAAAAUUUGGUGACAACUUAAGUGUUUUAACAAUCAGAAAUCACCCAAAAGGAAGCUUCACACAACACCUGAAUUGAAUGUGGAAAUGAAUUUCAACUUUUCUACUUUGCUUUUUUAGCUCUUACACUACACCCACUUGGUACUAAUUAUAAUUUUUGCCAUGUUUCAAUUUAUCUUUGAAUUUGUGGUGUGUAAUGCCAUAGUCAUAGAGCAUGCACGCACACUUGCAAGAUCAUUUGCAUCACUGAUACUGUGAAUGCAAAUAAGAAAUUCCUGAAAAGGCAAGUUCCGCUCUGCCAAAACUAUCACUCUUAUAAAAGAAAAAGGGAAAUGAUAAAGAAAUAGAAUGUUUAUAGUUGUCAUUUUUAUCUUCCUGCCUUAAAAUCUAGGAAAAAUCUAAAAAAAAAAAUUUAGAUCAUUAUCUCUUGAUGUUUUGCAUACACUAUCUGGUACUCCCAGAAGGUUCCUGAUUACCUGUGUGUGAAGAGAGUGUCAACUUUAAAACUGAUCAACAUUGAAACUGGGCAUGAUUCCACGAUAGAACUUUUUGCCUGAAUCAUUCAUUGACUUUUUUUCUUUUUAAGGAUGUCUUCUGUUGAGAACAUUUGGUUUAACACUAAAAUUAUGAGUCUGUUCCUUUGAGAACAUUCAAUUUAACAAUAGAAUUGUCAAAUAUAAUCUGAUGUUGCUUUUAGAAAAUGCUAAGGUACUUUUAACCGGAAUUUUUUCCCCUUUUCUGUCUGAUACAACUCAAGUGUAUUUUUGAUGUGAUUAUUUCUGCUAAUGUUAGCCAUGUUUCAAUUUAUCUUUGAAUCUGUGGUGUGUAAUGCCAUAGUCAUAGAGCAUGCAUGCACACUUGCCUUAAAAUUUAGGAAAAAUCUGAAAAAGAAAAAAUUAAAUCAUUAUCUCUAGAUGUUUUGCAUACACUAUGUGGAACUACUGAAUCAAAAAUUUUAAGGAAUACAAUUUCAAAAAUUAUAUUACAAUUUAUAUGUACUUUUAAAAGGGAAAAUUCUUGGGGCGCCUGAGUGGCUCAGUCCGUUAAGCAUCCGACUUCGGCUCAGGUCAUGAUCUCAUGGUUCCUGGGUUUGAGCCCCGCGUUGGGCUCUGUGCUGACAACUCAGAACCUGGAGCCUGCUUCAGAUUCUGUGUCUCCCUCUCUCUCUCCCCCUCCCCUGCUCGCACUGUCUCUCUCUGUCUCUCAAAAAAAAUAAACAUUGAAAAAAAUUUGUAAAGGGAAAAUUCUAUUAAACAUAAAAAGGAAAAGUUAAAGUAUUCUUAAUAUAAUCAAAAGCUAAUAACAUCUGUGUACAUAUUUUGGUACAUGACACUCCUGUUAUAUACAUAUACUUUUGCUUUUCCAGUUUUCUCCCCCCCAAUGUAACAAUGUGUCAUUGAUGUUGUUUUUUUAAAUUUCUUUUUUAAUGUUCAUUUAUUUUUGAGAGAGAGAGAGCAUGAACCGGGAUAGGGGAAGGGAGAGGGAGACACAGACACUGACUCAGGCUCCAGGCUCUGAGCUGUCAGCACACAGCCCAAUGUGGGACUUGAACAUGUGAACUUCUAGAUCAUGACCUGAGCCCAAGUUGGAUGCUUAAUUGACUGAGCCAUCCCGGAGCCCCCAUUAAUGUUUUACUGUAUUCUUAAAUAAACUUUUAUAAAGGCAUUUUCCAAAAAGGUAGACAUAAUAAUUCAUGCUGAAAACAUCAGUAGGUUCCAUUAAAUAACUCUGGGAAACUUUUCAAAGAUGCCAAAGUAUUUCAACAGCAAACAACAAAUGGUGCGGAAGGAACUGGAUAUCCAUAUAUGAUAUGCAAAUGAAAUAAACAGAUUUUUUUUUCUCUACACCAUAUACAAAAAUGAAUCCAAAUGAAUCAUAAACUUACAUGUGAGAGCUAAAGUGAGGAAGCUAUUAGAAGAAAACAUAGGAGAAAAUAUUUGUGACUUUUUUCGGACAAAGAAUUGUUGGAAUGGAUUCCAAAGUAUAAAACAUAACAGAAAAAAAUGAUAAGUUGGAUUUCAUCAAAAUUAAAACUUCUGUUAUUUGAAAGACAUGGUUAAAAAAUGACUCCAAUCCACAUACUGGGAGGAAAAAAUUAUGAAACAUAUUUGUAAUAAAGUAUGUACACCCAAAAUAACUAAAUAAUAAAAUAGUAAGCAACUUCUCAUAAUGGGCAAAACAUUUGAACACUUUACCAGAGAAGCUAACCUAAUGGAAAAGGAGUAUAUGAAAAGAUAUUGGGGGAAAAAAAAGAUGUGCAUUAUCUUUAGUUGUCAGAGAAAUGGAAAUCCAAGCUACAGUGAUACACUUUCACACUCACUAGAAUGGCAUUUAAAAGAUAGACAAUAACAAGUGUGGACAAAGACUCUUGUGCAUUGUUGUUGGGAAUGUAAAAUGACAAGUCACUUUGGAAAGCAGUUUGGGAAUUUCUUAUUAGGUUAAAUACAUACGUAAUAUAUUACCAGUAAUAAAAUACCUAGUUAUUUAUCUAAGAGAAGUAAAAACUCAUGUCCUCACAAAGACCUAUAUGAAAACGCACAGUUGUUCACAAUACCCCAAAUCUGGAAAUAACUCAAAUGUCCAUGAGCUGGUAAGUGAAUAAACAAAUUGUGAUACAUACACACAUGCGUGCGUGCGCACAUGCACAAACACACACACACACACACACACAUACACACACUGGAAAUACUAUUCAGCAAUAAAAAGGAACACACUACUGAUAUAUGUAAUAACGUGGAUGAAUCUCCAAACCAUCAUGCUAAGUUAAAGAAAAAGACAGCAAUGGUCAGAUCAGAAAAACAGAAAUCAUUGGUAGGUUUUGGGGGAGAGAGAGGAGAUUGACCAUAAAGGUACCUGUGGGUAUUUGUAGAAUUUAUGAUACUGUUCUAUGCCUUGAUUGUCAAAGUUCAUCAAGCUGUACACUAAAAAAUGAUGAAGUUGUACUUCAAUCAACCUGACUCUUAGGAAAAAAAAAAGAAACUCCAGCUCCCUCUUGGAGAUUCAGAGUGUAUUUAUAUAUUAAAAACUCUAAUAUCUGAGGGAAAUAAUUUUAAUUUAACUUCAAAAGCCUGAGAAAUCUAUAAUAUUUUAUCUCGUGGAUAAAAUAUCUUGUAAGUUAUUUAAAAUAUUUUAAUUUUUUGCAGUUAAAACUAUAAUGCUAUUUUAUUAAAAACAAAUUCAAAUAAAUUUGUAAAAAAAUUAAAGUUUUUGCUAUAUAUUGACAAAUGUCUUCAGAAAGGCUGUACCCGAUUUCACAUCUAUGACAAUGACUAUUUCCACUGCUGCACAGAGCAAUGUAUGUUGUUUAAACCUUUUUCAGGUUUAUAGGUAAAAAAACAUGUGGGGAUUUAUUGUUGUUGGUGUUAUUUUAAUUUCCAUCUCCUUUUCUGCUAGUGAAUAUAAACAUUUUCCAGAAGUUUAUUGGCCAUUUAUGAUGUUUCUGUUUUAAAUUUUCCAUACACAUUCUUUCUUCUCUUUUCCCCCACUUGGGUCUUUAUAUUAUUUAAUUUUUUGUAUUAAAAUUUUUUUAAUUUUUAUUUAUUUUUGAGAGAGAGAGAGGAGGGAGAGACAGAACGUGAGUUGGGGAGGGGCAGAGAGAGAGGGAGACACAGAAUCUGAAGCAGGCUUCAGGCUCUGAGCUGUCAGCAGAGAGCCCUUCCUGGGGCUCAAACUCACAAACUGCUGUGAAAUCAUGACCUGAGCCAAAGUCAGACAGACGCUUAACAAACUGAGCCACCCAGGCACCUAUUAUUUAUUGCUUUUCAAGAUGUUUUUAAAAUGAAAAUCCUUUAACUUAAAUAUUGUUUCAAUUUCAAUUUUGAUAUUUUAAAAACAUUUAUUUUUGAUGUUUGGAUAAUAGAAUUUUUUCUUUCCUGUGGAAGUCCUUGGAAUCAUUUUAUUUUACUUUUUCAUUUUUUAUCUUUUUUAAUGUUUAUUAUUUUGAGAGAGACAGAGCGCUAGCGGGGGAGGGGCAGGGUGAGAGGGAGACACAGAAUCUGAAGCAGUCUCCAGGCUCUGAGCUGUCAGGACAGAGCCUGACUUGGGGCUCCUACUCAGGAACCAUGAGAUCAUGACCGAACCAAAGUGGGAUGGUUAACUGACUGGGCCACCCAGGUGCCCCCUUGGAAUCAUUUUAAAGAGACAAUUUUCUUCAAAAAAAAAAAAAAAAAAAAAAAAGAAUAUACACACACACACACACACACACACACACACACACAGUGCUAAUGUGGAAACAAAAUGAAAUAUUUUGUUUCACAAAUCAGUGGUUUAGUAAUUGAGCCAAUAGUGACUGAUCAGUGGUCAUGUGGUUCUUUUGAAUUCUCUAGAAAUUGUUGAACACUAGGGAGCAGCCUGGAAUGGGUAUUAACCUUGGUUUCAGGUUCUGUAUUUACAUAACCAUCAGGACUAUUUGGAAGUGCUGCCUGAUGCUAUUCUCAUCCACCUUUGUGAAUGUGUGAGUCAGGGUGUGGGUUGGAGAAUGAGAUAGAAUGCUAGAGUCAAUAGUGCUGAAAAAGUUUGAAGAUACAGAGAAGGAGGACAGCUGAUGAACUAGAACUCCUGAGAGUAUUGCAGGGACCCACAUCCAAGCAUAUUUAGGAAGAUUAGCCUUGAUUAUAAGGAUUAUUAGCUACUGAAGCUAGAGGGAAGGAUGAGAACAGGGCUAGAUACAUUUACAAACAGGAUAGAAGGACUUUGAGGGGAAUCCUACCCAAAGGGCACUGUUAUGUUUAUUAAUUUUAACAAAGUUUUUUGCCAAAAGUUGGGGUCUGGAGACAGGUGGCAAAUGAAUGCUUUAGACAACUCAUACUGAGAGCUGAAAUUUUAGAGUUUGUUUUUGCAAACAUGAAAUUCUGGGAGAACAUUUUUGUGUGUGUGUAGAAUAUUUGCCUUGAAUAUUUGUUUCAGGCCAGUAGACCUUAAAAAUAGAUAUCUUAGACCAUUUAAGCAAUUUCUGCUAUAUUUAUAUUUUUCUGUUCUUUGACUGUAAGCUAUAAUGUUCUGCUAUUCUCCUGUGACUUGAGUCUUUGCAUGAAAUAGAUAAUUUUAAAAAAAUGAAUUUAGAGUUAGGAAAUAAAUUUAUUUUAUUAUUUUUUAAGUUUAUUUUUUAAUUUUUUUAAUGUUUAUUUGUAUUUGAGAGGGAGAGACAGAGAGAGACAGAGGAUGAGCAGGGGAGGGACAGAGAGAGAGGGAGACACAGAAUCCAAAGCAGGCUCCAGGCUCUGAGCUGUCAGCACAGGGCCUGGUGUGGAGCUCGAACUCAAGAACAGUGAGAUCAUGACCUGAGCCGAAGUCAAAUGAUUAACCAUCUGAGCCACCCAGGUGCCCCUAAGUUUAUUUAUUUUGAGAGAGUGAGCAUGAGCAGGAGAGGGGCCAAGAGAGAGGGAGAGAGACAGAAUCCCAAGCAGACUCAGCAUUCAGGGCUCAAACUUGUGAUCCCCUGAUAUCAUGACCUGAGCUGAACUCAAGAGUCAAGGCUCAACCAACUGAGCCACCCAGGUGCACCCAGGAAAUAAAUUUUAACGUCAUAUGACUCAGGAAAAUAAAUACUAUCUAUUAUAUAAAUUUCUCAAGUACCUCUGUUCAUUAUAGAAUAUUAUGAUAUGCAGUUCCCAGAAAAAUCUGUUUUUAUAUAGCCUAAAAUAAUAUGCUUUGUAAUUUGAAGUGACCUGUGUAAAGAAGCAGUCAGUAUUUUGUAAAGCAACUCCAGGUUUCUAGUUUUAGCUGCUUAUUGCUUUUUUGUGCAACCCUGCACACUGCAGAGAUUGAUUUUCUGUUUGUGCUCUCUGUUGCAGUUUUGAGAUUCUUUGAAUAAGCUCAUCAAACUUAACUACCUACUAGAGCUUUAUUUCUCUGAAGCAGCAUUGUGACACUCAAGGGUUCCAAAUUAAAUCUCAGUGCAAACCAUGGAAUUUUCAGUUUCACGAUUUUUUUGAAGGCCUGGUAGAUACUACAGAGGAGGGAUUCUGUGAUGGAGUAAUUUUAGAAAUGAGAUCAUGUGAGAGGUUGCUGUGCUACUUUAUUGUAAUUUCCUGUGACCAGCCUUCAGCAGUUUGUUAAUCUGCCUGAAUUAAGUACUUUAUAAUUCCAGAUUUGGAGAGGUGAACAUAAUAUAUGAAGACAGGAAGCUAAUGAAGCAAACAAACAAAAAACAGGUUUCAGAAAGUUAAUCUGUCAGGUCAGUAAACUUUGGAAGCAAGUUUGCAACCAUUCUUACCUAGCUGGCACCGUAGAAGAGAGUAAAUUAGAAACGGUACAAAGUUGAUCCAAAUUCUCCUCCAAUAAAGUUUACACUAAGUUUCUAGGGGUGCCUGGGUGGCUCAGUCAUUUAAGUGACUGAGUCUUGGUUUUGGCUCAGGUCAUGAUCUCACAGUUCAUGAGUUCGAACCCCCGUAUCAGGCUCCACAGCUGGCAGCAAUGAGCCUGCUUGGGAUUCUCUCUCUCUCUCUCUCUCUCUCUCUCUCUCCCUCCCUCCCUCCCUCCCUCNCCCUCCCCCCCCCCCCCCCCCCAUGCUCUCACUGUCUCUCUCAAAAUAAAUAAACUUAAAAAAAAAAGUUUACACUGAUCUUCUAAAAGAAACAAGUUAGUAUUAAUUACAUUGUUGCAUUAGGUGGCUUUCAAUAUCAUCUCCUAAUAAGAAAGUCUUUGGUAAUUUCUGUUCUUUAUGUGUGAUCUGACUAAAACUUCAGUUGGAUGCUGCUUGGAACUAUUAGACAAAAUCUUUGGAUUUAUUGGCCAGUUAGUUUUUGUUUUUGUUUUUGUUUUUCCAUUUCCACAUCCCAGGUAGCAAGCAAGUAGUGGUAGAUUCAAGUUCAUUACUACUACUGGCAAAACAAGUUAUUCAUUUAACAACUAUGAGUGCUUGGCACUUCUCUAGGUGUUUGGGGAUAUGGACUGAAUAAAACAAAAAUCCCUCCCUCAUGGAGCUUAUAUUCCACUGGGGAGAAACAAAAUAAGCAAAUUGUAUGUUAUAUUUAAAGAUAAUAGAUGUCAAGGAAAGGAGAAAGCAGUGGGAUCAGAAGUCUCAUGGGGGAAGAGAUUUUUGUGUAUCUAAAUAGUAUAGUUGGAACAAGCCUCAGUAAGAAAGUCAUUUAUGAACAAGGACUUGAUGUGAGAGUGAGCCAAACCAAUAUAUAGGGAAGGUUUGAGGCAGCUGCAACACAAGUUCAAAUCCCUGAGGCCAGUGUAUUUCCAAUGUGUUCUAAGAGUAGCAAGAGGCCAGCAUGGCUGGAUAGGAGGAAGUGAGGAGGAGAGUGGUAAGAGAUGAGGCCAGAAUGGUAAUGGGCUUUGUAGCUAUCCCUCUAACAGUGAUGUAGAAGACUAUACCUGAUAUUGCCGAUUUCACAUAUGGUCACAGAAUCAUUCAUGAACACACUGACUGCCAUGUGUAAAAUUAGAGUUCUGCUUUCCUUCAUGGAAAGGAUGAUCUGCUUUUCAGCAGUAAAAUUCAAAUGUUCAAGGUAAAAUAUAUAUUUGAGAGAAUGACAAGAGAGAAAUUACACUAUAAAAAUGUGAAAUUACUUGGAAAACUUGAUCUGAAUCUUUGCCACUUAUAUUUAAUACAGUAACUUUAACUUACUAUAGACUCAAACUCAUGCUGGUCUGCCUGAGUUUGUCUCAUACUUUGCCCAAUGCCUGAAAGUCACAUUCAGUUCUUGAAAGCAUAAUAGACCUGUAUGGUUCAGUGGAUGUUAACCAGUCAGUGUGCUGUGGAGAUCCCAAAGUGGCAGUUGUCAGUAAAAGGAGGGCAGUUCUGACAGGCACAUUUGGAUUCUUGGUUGGAGUUUCCAAGCAACAUCGAGGGGAUACAUGGCAAUAUAUCUGCCUGAAAGAAAACUAUCAGAACUACCUCAGUUCUGCCUCCUUUUGCAAAAGAACAGUAUUCUUGAUUGUGAUAACUUUAUCACUUCACAGUGUGCAUCCUAUGACAGCCAUGGUUCACAAGCACUAGGAGGGCCUCUAUGGCAAUAUUCAGAGUACGAUAUGUAACUUCCCUCUUCUACCUUCUAAGCUGCCAAUUAUCUCAGCCUUCUGCUUAGCUGAAAGGGUCUGGACAGAACAUGCUGAAGCCACCUCAAAUCUUAAAAUAGAAACUUCAUUAAGUUUUCUGUUUCAGAAUAUUUUCUUUUCAAGUACUAGUUUUAAGAGUCAGUUUUGUGGGUGCUAAAAUAAAAGAGUAAAAUGUAAAAAGGCUGAAAAAAAAAGUAUUUGUAUUAUGGUACUGGUGGUAUAAAUUCUAGUUUCAGAGACUAAUUAGGUAGAAAGGAGAAAUGAAAUCUUUAGGUAUGGGUUAUAGUUCUCUAUUUAAAACAUUCUUUUAAAAAUUAAGUUUGCUUUACUCCUAAAAUCUUUAAGAUAUCUUUAUAAUAGGAUAAAAUACAAAGUUAGGCUUAUAACAACUUCUUAGCCUGAAGGGAAAUGUUACAUAAAGUCCAUAUUUCUGAAAUAUCAUUGUUCCAUUACUUAAAUUAAAUUAUAGUCCUUUUUUAGAUACUGUUUGAAUCAAAGGAAUUACCAAGAAAGAAAGAAAUCCUCUCUCUUUAUGUUGGCCUUGAAUGUAACCUGAAUUGUUCUCUCAGGACUUGUCUUAUGAUCCUCUUGAGGUUAAGGAAGAUUGGCCAUUAAAUUUCCACCUAUCGUCCUUUGGUUAAAUCAACAUAUUUGUCAAGACACCUAAAAUCUGUGAUGAUUUAUAUGCAGUGGUGAAAAUGUAUGCAUGGUCUUAGGCAUAGUAAUAUUUUAAGUGGGAAUGGUGGACAAUGGGGCACAAAAUAAAAAUAUCUGUAUUUGCUAUGUUGUAACAAGAGCUUUUUUGACUCAUGGUGUAAGAAUCUAGCCCUGCACCAGUGGUUCAGAGGCUCUUGCAUCCAAAGUGAAAGAAUUUCUCAAGAAACAUUUUAAAAUAACAAACUCCAUUGGUGUAUGAGUGCUUUCUUUUCUCUGAAGGCUCUGCCUAUGCUAGGGCUUAGCUAACACAACCUCUUUUGAUGUUGUAGCAUUCUCCUGAUGCUUAUUGCCCUUUAACAUCAUCCACAGUAAAGUUUUUUACUAAUCAGGCACUUUCAACAAAAUGUGUCUUAAAUGUUGCUUGCUUUCUUUUUUUUUAAAUUUUUUUAAUGUUUAUUUAGUUUUGAGAGAGAGAGAGAGACAGAGCAUGAGUGGGAAGGGGCAGAGAGAGAGAGGGAGACAGAGAAUCCGAAGCAGGCUCCAUCCAGGCUCUGAGCUGUCAGCACAGAGCCUGACACAGAGCUCCAACUCGCGAACCGUGAGAUCAUGACCUGAGCUGAAGUCGGAUGCUUAACCACUGACUGAGCCACCCAGGUGCCCCUUAAACAUUGCUUUCUUGAGAGUUAUGUGAUAAAUUUUGUUUGACUGUGUCUAUAAGAUGUAGGAAACAAAAUAAAAUAUGAAAUUAAAAGUUUGAGAAAGAACAAACCUAUAUAGCAGUGGGUUAAUAAUAUAAUGAAGGAAAUGGGCCUGGUAGAUGAAGUGUUUCAUCAACAGCCUACUGGGAAAUAGGAUUAAAUAUUAAAAUGUUAAUGAAAAAGGUUUUAUCACAUCAACAGUUAUUUUCUUACCUUUAAACUUUAAUUAUGAGAAACAGGUUGAGAAUAGGGAAUAAUUCAUUGCUCAUGCCUGAGAUUAAGCUACUUGAGGGAGGGAAGGGCCAAUAGCAGUCUGUAAGCCCCACCAUAUAUUAACUUGUCGCCCUUGACCUGCUGUCACCGUCUUGCCCAGGUGGAACACAGCAGCCACAGAGGAGUGAGGGUGUGUCUGGAAGCAGGCCUACCCUUGGGCUAUGUCCAGAGAAGACCAUCUGGUCUGCAGUGAAGAUCAGGUAGGACAUAGUACCAGACAGCAAGAUCAUGGGGAACACCUCAAACCUACAAGUGCAGGGGAUCUAGAAUGGGGACAAGCCACUGGGGAAGCAAGAGUAUCUGAAUCCUCGCAGCCAAGGCUCCAUUAAAAGACACCAAAACCAAGGUGUCCUGCCCUGUGAGGAAUGGCUUUUUUGUUUUGUCUUUUUUUUUUAAUGUGUUUGAUGACAAGAGUUUAGAGUUUAUAAUCUGGGAACUCACCAUUUCUGACAAUCUGUGAUGAUUUAUACACAGUGGUGAAAAUAUAUGCAUGGCAGUGAAGGCAGAGGACUAAAGAUUUUUUUAUUACAGUCUAGUUCAUCUAAUUGUAGUUAUAAAGCCAAGUUCAAAAGCAACAGGACAGUGAGCAUUCUAAUAAUAUUUACCAUAAUGUCAGAAAGAAAAUGGGAGAAAUAAAUGUCACUGUGUUACCUUAAGCAGCAAAGAACUGUCCCCUUUCUUAGAUCUGUGUAAUACUGAGGGACAAAGUAAGGUGGGCAGACAACAUAAAAGAAAACAUGUUGUUGCCUAUUCCCCAAACCCUAACAAGGCCUUGGGUAUAAUUUUUUUCUUUGUAGACAUAUGGCCUUUGUUUGGGAAGAAAUAGUAAAAAUAACAUAGGGAAAAGAGUAAGUACAAUAACAUUCCUUAGUGCUUUCUUUAUUAAUUCUUCCUUUCUAUUUUUAGGUUAUUCUAACACUUCUACAAUUUUUUUCCAGAGAAAGCACUUAUUUAGUAUCAUAGGUACAACCUUAUAUGCAUUCACAUACAUAAGUCAAUAUGUAAAUAUAUAUGACUCCUAUGACAAGUACUUUGCUUACUCGAACCAAGGUACAUUUUUCAGUGUCAGGUUGAAGAAUCUGGCUGAAGGCCUGCUCAGAGAUAACAAAGUCUACUUCCCACGACUUAGAGAAUCACUUAAAGGAAAAAGGAUUUUUUAAGAGCCUAAAAGGUUGAGUAGUGAUAAGGAGUUUAGAAACUUCUCAAGGUUUUGCCUGAGUGUAGUUUUGUGCAGUGUGACUUGACUAUGUCAGAAAUUGCAAUAUCUAAUUUUUUUAAAAAAACUGUUUUGAUUGAGAAGUCUCAACUCAUAAUGACUAGGUAUCAAAUUAUUUCUCUUUCACUAAAAAUCUGCCUCCUCAAGGCUCAGGAAGGUUCUCUUUCCUGCUGUGAAACCAUCUCUCUUAAAGCCAUCUUGAUCCAAUUCUGUCAUUUUUCAGUCACUUUCACUUAAUAAGAAUAAACCGGUGGUAGAAGUGAGAUUAUCCAUCCUCGUUAACGUUUCCAUAUCUCAUUUGACUUCAAGUCCGUUUUUUCCACACAAUGCUUUUUCCCUUUCUCUUUGAUAUAGAGCACUUGUGGUCCAGACCGCCAGUGGACAGCAUAGGCUUUAGGCUGUGGCGGAUGGUCUGCCCUCCCACACUUGCUGCCUUCUCUGCUGUUAGUGCUGGGACUUGGUGUUGGGAGAGGGAAAAGACAAUCCUCAGGUGGCCUCCAGGAUUUGUCUGGCCUCCCUUGAUGAGCCGUUACUACUUCUCUGACACACUGACCAGCUCUGAUUUCUCUCUGUGAGGUGGAUGUCCAAAUGCCUGCCUUCUCUGGGACUUUUGUGGUGGGUUUUUAGAAGAUUCUAAGGGAACCUGCAUGUAUACAGUGUUCCAUGUGGGGCAUCCAGGAAAGGCUCUAUUUAGUCUUAUACCUACCUUUCCUUGUCAAACAAUGGGAAUGCAGUCUACCAACGCUCUUCCUACUGCCUCCUUCUGCAGUGCCAAUGGCAUCAGGUUCACUUUGAGACGAGAGAAAUCACCAUUCCCUUGGUGAAUGGAAGUAUCAGGCUUACUGAGCUUGUAGAAAGGAAAUCUAGAAGAAGGGAAGAGAGUAGAGAGAAGGCCACUGCUAUCUCAGCUCAAUGGUUCUUCCAAAAGAUACCUCUUUCUUGCCCCCAGCCCUCUUUAUUAUUUCACUCUGACAAAGGCCAGAAAUUGGUUUAGCUUCUUUUGUCUUUAAGAGUAUGAAGAAUAGGAGGUGCUUUGAAUAUGGCCCAAGAAAUUUUAGUUUCUUUUCUUGACAAGGCACCAUCUUUGUAAUAAUCUUGUAUUGUUUUGUAAGGGUUGGGAAGAGAAGGAAAAACUUCACAUCAUCCUUAUAGUAAUAUUGAAAGUUUACUAUGUGUUUGGUUGGGGGUGGGGGGUACUAUACUAAAUCAUUUUUUAGUUUAUUUAUUUUGAGAGGCAGGGGGAAGCAUGCACAUGUGAGCAAAAGAGGGGCAAAGAGAGCGAGAGAGAGAAUCCCAAGCAGGCUCUGCACUGUCAGCAUGGAGCCUGAUGUGGGGCUUGAACCAUGAACCAUGUGAUCAUGACCUGAGCCAAAAUCAAGAAUCAGAUUAGCAUUUAACCAACUGAGCCAUCUAGGUGCCCCUACUAACUCAUUUUAAACAGAGGCCUAGAAAAGAUAAGUAACUUGUCAAAGGUCACACAGCUGGUAAGUAGCAGAGCCAGAAUUUAAAUCUGGGCACUCUGGCAAUAGAGGCUAUGUUCUAACCACUGCCUCACAAAGCUUGAGUGAUGCCUAGCCAUGGUUUGUGGGAUUGUGGAGGCAGGGUCCUGAGACACUGGCUUUGGAUCUCAGAAGACAAGCCUGGGAACACUCUUACAGAGAGAAUUCCAGGUCAUAAGACUGAGAAGCUACAGGACAGUAGUGGUCACUGACCCCGGGGAUGGUAAGAUCCCAAUAAAUUUAAAUGUACUUUCUGUUCCAAUAAAAGCUUAUUGAAAUAAAUUAUAAUUAUUUUAAUGCAAUCUCCUUUUAUAGUCUAAUUAGCACUUUAUUUUGCAAAGCAUUGUAUAGUUUAGUGACCAUUUAGUUGUUUUUUUAAUCUAAUGCACCCCAAGGUGAUCAACAGAAGUUUUUUAAAAAGAAGUUUAAAAGUUUAAAAAGAAGUUUAAAAGUUUAAAAAGAAGUUUUAAAAAAAAAAAUGGUGCUGACAGAUUCAUUGUGGAUCCAAGAAGGGGGAAACAAAUGAAUACUUUUUAUGCACUCUUCAUGAUAUAUUAUGCUUUAAUGAAAUACCAUAAUCUAUAGUAAAUCUCCUAGAAUUCUGCAUCUACUUAUUGGUAAGACAGUGGUAUGCAUAAUUAAGUUUCAAGUGGUUAAAACUCUGUUGAAUUGCUCUCCAGCACAGCUGCAUUUUUUCAAACAAAAUGCUGGUCUGUCUCACUCAGGAUGAAAGUGUAGUCCUUAAAACAUUAGAGGCAUUUGGAGCUCCUCCCAUUAGCUGCACUAUCAGUUGGGAGACUGCUGCCUCAGUAGUACAUGUGUGUAGUGGCAUGUUUUCCAUUGAAGUCAGAGAACCCAGUCUGGGUUGCUUAAGACAUACUGCUUAAGAGUGUUUUGCCAAAUUCCAGGGAGUCUGAUAAAGAAGGACCAUAGUGGGGCACCUGGGUGGCUCAGUUGGCUAAGCUUCCAACUUGGGCUCAGGUCAUAAUCUCACACUCUGUGAAUUCCAGCCCCACAUCAGUCUCUGUGCUGACAGCUUGGAGCCUGGCGCCUGCUUUGGAUUGUGCGUCUCCCUCUCUCACUGCCCCUCCCCCAUUCAUGCCCUGCCUCUCUGUCUCUCUGUCUCUGCAUCUCUCUCAAAAAUAAAUAAACAUUGGGGCGCCUGGGUGGCUCAGUCGGUUAAGCGGCCGACUUCGGCUCAGGUCACGAUCUCGCGGUCCGUGAGUUCGAGCCCCGCGUCGAGCUCUGGGCUGAUGGCUCAGAGCCUGGAGCCUGCUUCCGAUUCUGUGUCUCCCUCUCUCUCUGCCCUUCCCCCACUCACACUCUGUCUCUCGCUGUUUCUCAAAAAUGAAUAAAUGUUAAAAAAAAAAAAAAAGAAGAAGAAGAAGGACCAUAGUAACAGUGAGAAAUAGUGACUGAAGUCCCCAAGAGAAUCCUGGCAAUUUUUACAGCUAGCCUUUUUCUCUACAGACCUACAUCCUCUGCUGGGCACUCCUUGAUCUCCUGCUUUAACUUCCUUUUAAUCUAUUAAAAGUAGAAAAUAUUUAUCACUUAGAUUUCUCUGGAGGGUAAGCAUGGUGUACUGUAAAGAUUGUAGAGGUUGACAUUUGACUGACCUAGAUUUUAUACUUCAGUUUUGCCAUUUGCUGGUUAUACCACUUUUUUGUGAAUCAUUUAAUCUCAGUUUCCUUAUGUAUGAAAGUAAUAUGCAAUUUAUUGGGUUUCAGUGAGAACUGAAAAAGAUGCUAUAUGUAAAGCAUGUAUAAUUUUGAAUAUGUAUUAUCCUCUUCAUUAUUGAUCAAAUCGUUGUUUGACUAAUAGUGUGACACAUAGUCCUGCAUGACAUUUUAUUUCCCCGGUGUUUGUAAACAUACACCCCUCCUGUGAAAAGGGAAACCACAAGGUUGCAUCAAUAGACUUUGCUUCUGUGGGAAUGCCACUGCAAUUACAGUAGUUCUGCUCUGUCAGACCAGAGGAUAAAUGUCAUUUAAUCCAUUUAUGAUGGACUGCUGGCUGGGGAAACAAGAAAAACUGAUCUUAUGCUUUUCUUUAAAGAUGGCCUCUACUUCCUGAAGAGAAUGCUCCAAGUUUAAGUCCAGGAACCAGGGGGCUCUCUCUAAAAAAGUUUCUUUCAGAAUUUAGCAUGAAGCCUAAUCAGCCUUGGCUUAGGUCUGGUUUCUCUCUCUAAAUUGCCCCCAAGCCCUUCAUUCCUCAUCCUGAGCAGAGACUCUUAAGACUGUACUUCUCUUCCUCCAUGGCUCCCACAUAUGUAAUAACAACUCUUGUUCACAUGGACAUCUUUGUACCAUAGUCUCUUCUGAGCUGAUAUGCCAGAUAUCAUAUCUAUGUUGUAUUUCUUUCUGUGUUUAUGAAGCUUCUAAGGAAAAAAAAACAGAGGAUUAGUAGACUCUUGGCUUUUUUUGGUUUAAUAUUUCUUAGUUUCAUUCUUUAUGAGUCACCUAACUAGCCCAUUUCUCGUAGUAAUUUGUCACUUUUCAGGCACAGAUUUGGAUCACUUGCACAAUUUGGAUGAGAAGAGCAGGAGUCAAGAUUAAAAUGAGUGAGGGAAUCUUGCCAUCUACCCAGAAUCUUCUUAGCAUCUCACUGAAAAUUUAUGAAUUUUGCUCCUAAAGAAAAGCAUAUGUAAUUACUCUCCUAAAGUGUGGUACAUUUCAUUCCUUUGUUGGAGAACAGUCCUAGAAAUCAAGCAAACUCUGAUGUCUGGUGUUGGAAGAGAAAAGAACAUGAAGAGGUAUAAGAAAAUAAUGCUUCUGAACCAGGAAAUAAAUUCAGAUUUGCAAAAACUUAGAGUAGGACAUCAGAUCUCACAGCGGUUAAUCUAUGUGACAAGAAUAAGGUUACCAUAUUCUCAAAACGCAAUGAAGCAAGGGUAAUUCUGAAAACUAGUCCCCAAAUCCUAUUUUCUGCGUGAUGUAAUCGAGAAACUUUUGAGAAUUAGGGAAUUCACAGAGGUCUUGAGAUGUAGUCUUUGUGACGGGUAAGGAGCCACUUCUCUUGCUUUUUAUUUUUUUUUUUAUUUUUUUUUAUUUAUUUUUUUUUUUAAACGUUUUAUUUAUUUUUGGGUCAGAGAGAGACAGAGCAUGAACAGGGGAGGGGCAGAGAGAGAGAGAGAGACACAGAAUCAGAAACAGGCUCCAGGCUCCGAGCCAUCAGCCCAGAGCCUGACGCGGGGCUUGAACUCCCGGACCGCGAGAUCGUGACCUGGCUGAAGUCGGAUGCCUAACCGACUGCGCCACCCAGGCGCCCCUCUCUUGCUUUUUAAAAUAAGAACAACAGUUGCCAUGUAAUAAGCAUGUGCACUCUCCUAGGUGUUCCUUAUAUAUUAUUAUAUUGAGUUUGCACAACAAGUACAUGAAGGAAGUGUUAACCCCAUUUUAAAGAUGAAGAAACUGAGGCUUAGGGAGGGAAUUACCUUGUCCAAAGUCACAGAGUUUGUAUUUCUAUCAGUGGCCCAAAGUCAUUUUCAAAAGUACUAUAAAGGGAUACUCUUUGCAUUAUUAUGCAAAAUUGAAACAGUUGCUGUGAUUUUUUUUCUCUUCCAGACUAGCAAGACAGAUGACUUUUUCCUGUCAUAUUUUGACUUUAGAAAGUGAAUGAAUCUUUUGCCUUUAAGCUUACUUCCAUCCUACCAACCUUAUGAGCUAGCCUUUGUCCCCUUAAUCACAAAUGUGAUAAUUAUGUCUAGAAUGAAAGGAGGAAUUAGAAUAUUUGUUUGAAUUCUUGAUUUUAAUAUUUAUGUAAUAUUUUAAAAUUUCCGAAAGGAAAGGUGCCUGGGUGGCUCAGUCGGUUAAGCAUCUGACCUCAGCUCAGGUCAUGAUCUCAUGGCUCUCUGUUCCUGGGUUCCGGUCGGACUGUGUGUUUAGAACCUGCUUCAGAUCCUGUGUCUCCCUCUCUCUCUGCCCCUCCCUGACUCACACUCUGUCUUUCUCUGUCUCUCAAAAAUAAAUUAACAUUAAAAAAAUUAAAAUUUACAAAAGAAGUUGAAGUGGCUUCUAAGUUGAACAUAACAGAAAAUAAGAAAAUUAAGGAUAAAUAAGCAAAUAGAUCUUCCAAAAUAUAGAGUAGAUAGUAAAAUAUGCUUAGGAAAAGCUGAUUUAUAUAGCUAGUUUCUGAAAUUAUUCUCAGUUUUAUGGCAGCUAAAACAAGGAAAAUACAAUUUAUAAUCUACGUUACCUUUUCUAAUAACCACAAAAGCAUGCAAAGUAAACUGUAGAUACAGUUUUAAAGCAAUACCUAAGAUUUUCAAAUGCACAAAUUCAUGUGUGGCCUCCUAAACUGGUGAGUUGCAAUUGGUGCUGAGGUAUCAUGGUUUGAAUUCACUGUUUUAUACAUCGCUAGCCAUAUAACCAAUAAAUAAGCCAAAUGUAGGAAAUACCAUGCCAAUAAGAUUGCUGAAAAUAUCAUUUAAUUGGAGGAGAGUCUUUAGCAGUGCUUGGAUACAAUAAAUUCGGGGUCAGAUUCUAUGACUAUGUCUGUUAUGCAGAUAACUCCAGCUAUUAGUUAUAUAUAUUAUAUAUAUAUAUAAUAUAUGAUGUCCAAAUGGGGAUACUUUUGAGAGAAAAAGAAAUAAUUAUAAUUGCACCAAGAUAAGAAAUGUCAACAGAGACUGUACCAGAGAAACUGGGAAUAUGGUCACCCUAGGAAAAAGUACAAGUGGUCAUUUGUUUUAGACACCAGCCUCAAGAACAGUUAUUGUGACUUUUGAGGACCAUACUUUGUCACCCAUGCAGAGGUUCACUUAGUAUGAGCACAGUUAUAUGGAUGCCUAAAAAAUAAAUCAAGAUUCCUUUACAAAUUAUUUUUAACCAUCUCACAGAUUUUUUAAGUAUUUACUUGAUUGCCCUGAAGUUGGAUACUAAUUUGUUAGAGAAACCAACCGUUUUGUCUUUUUCAAAAUUAAAAAAUCAAACUCUGAACUUGUAAAAUUUAUAAAGAGGAACGAAUUUUCACAGCAUGACACUCUGACCUUGACCCUGAUUCCCAAGAGUCACCUUCCCUGUGAGGAUUUCUCAUUCAUCAGCUUUGAAACCCUCAGACUGUCCUCAGAGAAGCUCUGUAAAGGCACACUUCCUUCUUUUAGUGUUGACCCCCAUCUUUAUCACUUAAACAGAAUUUUACAAAAAGGCUCAGAGAUUAUAGAUGAAUAAUGCAUGCAAAAUGACAAACAUCUCGGUAACCUAGUUUACAGAAUAAAAUUUACUUACCUUCAUUUUGGAAGCCCUUCUGGGCUUGGGCUGCUGCCAGGUUCUUGGCACACAUCCACCUGACUGAGCCCAUCUUGUUCCACCCAUGCCUUGCAGGAGAACUUACCCGGGUGUUUACCCUCCUGGAAAUCCAGGCAGAGAAGAGGGAGGCACUGGUGCUUCCUUUCCUUCCGCUCACAUUUCCUCCUCUUCAUUCUGGUUUCUCCCCAAAACAUCCCUGAAUUAUUGACAGCAUGACUCUGAAUCCAUUCAGAGGCUCCUUUCUCUUCUUGCUGAAGGUAUUCAUUAUUCUACAAGCAUACCUUAUUAAAAACUUAGCAUGAAUGUAGGAGACACAAAAGUUGCAGGAAGAUCAUUCUGUUUCAAAAAAAUCAUGGAAGUAGUACCUUUCAUUUGAAAAUAUUAUUAAGAUAGUACCAGCUGACCUCCUUUUUAAAUAUACUAAGUAUUGAGGGGCGCCAGGGUGGCUCAGUCAGUUAGGUGUCCAACUCCUCAUUUUGGCUCAGGUCUUGGUCUCGCUUUGGAUAGAGCCCCAUGUCAGGCUCUGAGCUGACAGCACAGAGUCUGCUUAAAAUUCUCUCUCUUGCUCUCUAUCACUCUCUCUUUCUCUCUCAAAAUAAAUAAACUUAAAAAAACUAUGCUAAGUAUUGAAAAUAUUUGCAUUAUUAAAACUAGCUGUGAGAGAAAACAACCUCUUGACUAGAUGUUUAAAGGAUUAAAAUAGAGCUGUUGAUUUAUUAAUAAGUCAUUUUAAUAAAUUAAUAGUAGUACUAAACAGUAUUUUCAUUCAGGACUACAUACCUCUAGUCAUAUUCACUUCCCAAUUUAUUAUUUUUAAUUCUAAGUUCAUUAUCUUUGGGGACAUCCAUAUGGCAUAUUCAGUGAUUUGAUACAACUAUGACAUGAUUCCAUUAGGUUUUAUCAUGCAAAGUAUAAAUUUUAUAAUUUUAUAUAACUAACAUGCUUCCAUGUCAGUUUUUAAAUUCUUUCUAAAUCAUGUUGCCUUAGAUUUGUUAACUGCUAUGUAUUAAAAGCUAAUUUAUCAAUUGAAUAAAGUAUAAGAAAGAACAGUUAAACAUAAAUAAUGCCUGCUACUAUCUAAUUUGAGGCCUUAAUAAUUCAUGCUGUGAUCACACGAAGAUGCUUGUUACUGGUAGUCCCUAUGUAAGCUCUCAGCACAUAGACUGAAUUCAGAUUUCAUUCAUUAAACAAUCAAUAAGAAUUCCUUUUGAAUUACUUGACAUCUUUGAGUUAGAAAAGUUCAUAUCAAAAUGUGGAUUUCCAAUUUUUCUGAAAAUUGGACCUGCCAAAUUUCUUAUGGGCUAGAACUUAUGGGCAUCCUCAAGGAUGCUUUUAUAGUAUCUUUCUGGCUUUGACAUGUGUUUAAAUCUUCAACCCCUGAUGUAGAUACUUCCUAAUCCAGUGCACCCUACACUCGGCCUCCAGGUUAAACUUCUAAGUGCAUUACAGUAAAUCCGCCACACCCCCAUUACAAAACUUUCAUGUCUCCAUCUGUGGAAUCUGUGAUUUGGACUUCAAGGCCUUCUCACUUUAUAUUCUGAUAUUCACCCAGAACAAUGGAAAAAUAGGUCCCAUUUUUCUGGGCAAGUGGGGGCUACUUGUUACCAGAUCACACCUUGUGCCUUUCUACUUCUUCACUUUCUGAUGCUUUUUUUCUUCCUCAAAUUUCUUCUUGUCCAUAUUCAUGUAUUUUUUUAGAUCCAGUUAAAAAGUUGUGUCUUAAUGAUAUCUUCCUAGAACAGUCAAGACAGAUAGUGAUUUUUCCCUCCUCUACACUUACCAAUUUGUUGACUUUCAAAUUUCUAAAUGCAUACCACUUUAUGUUGAAACUAUGAGUGAUCACAGACUUAUCUCAACUACCGGGUAGGUUCUAAAUCUUGUUCAGUUUGAAUCCCACAUACACUUGGCAUAAUUCCUUAUACUUCUUUGACACUCAGUAAUUAUUUGUUGAAUAAUUAUUUGUUGAAUGAGAAAAUUUUCUUCUUUGUUUCAAUAUUCUUUAUGUAACUAAUAUCCUCUGAGACACAGAUGUUAUUUAUAUUUGCAUUUUCAUUAAGUAGAUGAUAGAUGUGUGUAUUUAAAAUAUUGAUUUUUGUGAGGUAUGUGAUUAUUUAGAGCUCUAGAGCCUUUUGUGUAAUCAAAUAUUUGACCUUCCUGUUUAAUCUUUUUUUUCCCCAGUAAUUACCAUGAUGUAGCUUAGUUUUUUAUAGCUCUCACCUACCAAAAUAAUUCAGAAGGAAUUAUAGAAUACCAAUGAUACAUCUUUCUUGACAUUAUAAUAGUAUCAUGUUCAAACUAUAAGAAAAACUGUUGCUCCUAAACUAUAAUGUAGUGUGAAAUUUUAGGUUAACAGGAAUCAGUGUGAAACUUGACUGGGAAUUUGUGGUUCAUAGAAAUGUUUUAAGAUAUUAUAACAAUUUUUAAAAUAUUCCUUUGGGUUGUACAGUAUUUUAGAAUAGUCAUUGCUCAUUGUUACUAAUUCAAAAGUAUGUGUUUACAUUUAGAAUAUGUUUCAUACAGCAUAUAUUGCCAACUUUUGAGUCCAUUUUGAUUCCUCCAUUUUGUUUCAUGUAGUAAGCGCUCACUUAGCGGUUGUAUGUUCUCUUGGUUCUGACUUCUGAUCCUCUUCUCACUUUGCUUCUCUUUUUUCCCAAAUUGUCCUGGGAAUCUCCCUGUUCUUCCCUAUUUUUAGUGGUGGUGAAGGGAGAGUAUGGAGACCACUAUUUGCCCCUGGGCCUUCCACUAGAUGUCCUCUAAUGUUGGCUCAGCAUCUUAGAAUAAUUGCCUGCAAAAUGAAAAAUAGCUGCCAAUGUUGGUCAGCUGUAUAUAGUCAUAAAGUUCAAGUAAAUUAGUUCUCUUUUAAUAUUAUAAAUCUGUUACAAAUGAUUCUAGAAAAGAUUUACAACAUAAUAACAUUUUAAUUUUUCCCCUGGAGAGAAUUUUUAAUUGUUUUUAUAGAGAGAAACAAUUGCAUUUUCAUAAAUAUAUUCAUUUUCAAUGUGCACAAAUAUAAUUAUUCAGCACAGCUAUGUCAGCAAGAGCUAUAGGGAUAACUUUUGCUUGACCUUUAACCAGAAUGGAAAAGUAAACAUUUUAUGUUGGCUCUUUAAAUCUUUCAGCGAACUGUUGCAAUGGAAGAAUCGCCUGCAAUGAGUAAAUGGCAUUCAAACUUUUGCAAGAUCUAAUAAGACUCUUUGAAAAUGUUCAGAAUUUUUUUAUCACGGACUUAGGUUUUUUUCUGUUCAUUUCUUAAUACUUCUUAUUUUAUUGAGGGGAAGUAAGGAGUAAUAAGGUGACUGAGUAGGACAAUUCUGUCCUGUGACAGAAUUCAUGGCUGUGAGCCAGCCUGUUCCAAAUAGUAGUCCUGCUUGUUUGGUUAUUUUUUCAUUUAUCUAUGUUUACAUGUAACAAACUGCUUGUAUGCUAAUAGUCGUUUUAUUACUUCCUCCCUCCUUCCCCAGGAAGUAUUCAUUCCCCCCUUCCUUCAGGACUGCUCUCCACUUCUGACAAAGCAGGCCUCAGAAGUCAGAGAAGGCCCUCACUCAAGGAAAUACAAGGCUGGGAGUCGAAAAUUAUGGCCCUGGCUGAAGUAGUAAAAAGGAGGAAAUAUGGGAGGCACAGCAGUGGUAUUUGUGACAAUACCUGAAACAACAAAUGAAAAAUCGUGUAGCCUCAUCUGAACUAAGGAAGUACAAAGCAUGUUAAAAACUGGAGUGGUAAUGUUAAGGAGAGCAGGACCUUAGGCAUAUCUUCAGGUUCUGAAAGAACUGAUGAAUGUUGUCAGCUAAUAACAGGGCUCAAAGACUAGGUAAAGUAGGUAAGGUAGUCUGUAUGUAAUAGAUAAGAGGAAGGACCUUCCAUGUAUGGUGAUGUCUCAUUGGAGGCAGGUGACUCGCCUUUGCUCUAGGUCAAAGGCUACAUUUCAUAAUGGGCUAUGUAUGUGAUUUGGCCAUUGACUACUAAUUAGAAUGUCAUCUAGUUGUUAGUUUGUGCUAGUUUUAUCUAUAAGAACUAAAAUCUGUUUCAGUUUUCUGGGGCUGCCAUAAACAAAGUUCUGGAGGCUGGGCAACUUAAACAGAAUUAUUUUCUAACAGUUAUGGAGGCUAGGAUCACAGUUACAGAUCAAAGUGCUGAGAGGUUUGGUUCCUUUUGAGGACCAUGAGAAAAUAAUCUGUUCCUGGCCUCUUCCUUAGCUUAUAGAUGGCUGUCUUCUCCCGGUCUCUGUAUUGUCUUCCCUCUUUGCACAUGGCCGUAUCCAAACUGCCUCUUUUUAUAAGAACACCAGUCAUACUGGGAUUGUAACCCUCAUGGCUAUAUUUUAAUGUAAUCAGCUCUGUAAAGCCCCUAUCUCCACUUAUGGUCUCAUUCAGAGGUGCUGGGGGUUAGGACUUCAGCAUGUGAACUAUGAGGGACAUAGUUCAGCACAUAACACUCUGCCCUUUUGCCUCCCAAAAUUCAUAUCCUUCUCAUAAGAAAAAUACAUUCACCUCCAUCCCAACAGCCUCCAAAGUCUUCAGUCAUUCCAGUGUCAACUCUAAGUCCAUAAUCUCACCUAAAUCUGAUCUAAACCAGAUACAAGUGAGUGUCCAGGUAUGACUCCUCCUGAAGCUGAAUUCCUCUCCAGCUGUCUCUUCCCCUCUUGGACUCUACCCAUCCUGAAUUUCUUUUUCCCUGAAGUACACAUCUUGGCCACAUGUUGGCCCUUGCACAGUGUAGUCACUCUUCCCAGUGCACUCUUCCUCAUUCUCUUCUUGUAGUGUUUUUUUUUUUCUUCUAUUCAUCCAUUAAGCAGAUGCCUAUAUGGCAUUUCCUUUCAUAUGACCUGCUUACAUUUCUUUCAGGGUCCCUCCUGCUUGCUUGCUCCUUUAGGGACCCUGCUUUCCUCUGUGAUGCCCAUAUCACAGUCUAUUCCAAGUAACUUGUUAAAUGCUCUUCCCACUCUUUAAGACAGGAAACUAAGAGAGAAAAGUUCCCCCAGACAUUUGACUUGUCACCACUAUAGCCCUGCAAAGGUACAGGGACAUAGAAAGAAGUUCGUAAAUUAAAGAGGCACCGAGGGAGGGAAGGAGAGGAGAAGUGAGAGGGAAAGGGAAAGAGAAAGAAGGUUUAUGUGGAGGGACAGAGAUGAGCCCACUUGAUAGAAAGUUUUGAAAGAAGGCUUUGACAAUGUGGUACUCAUCACACCUAGGUGUGCCAUGUUGUUCAAGUGAUUUAACCUCAGUGGGCUUUGUCUGACAAGAGAGCUAGACUUUAAUUUUCUUUCUCUGUUGUAAUGCAAUAAAACAUUUUUUUUCAGAAGCUGAGAGUGGGUUUGAGAUGAUUUGGGUGAACUGGGCUCUGAAGGACCACCUAGGAGCCUCUUGCAUAAAUACAGGUGUGAGGUUCUAUUUGAAAGAGUUAAAAAUGAUGAAUUUGGUUUGGAGAUAUGGUUUAGACAUUCAACACCUGCGUUAUGUUCCUGUUUGUAUCAGCAUAUGCCUUUUGGAGACAAACAUGUGUUUGCUAUAAUAUAGACAUGGUAUAUACCAUCUUAUACCAUAGUCACCUCUUUAAGAACAUAAACAUUGUUAUUCAUGUUCAAUGUAUAGGAGAGAGCAAUGGUAUGAAGGUAUUUAUUUGAAGUCUAUUUAAAACCUCUAUUUUUCUUGUUAAUUGUUAAUCUGAAUUAAUCUGAAUUAUGCUGAAAUAAUUACUCAUUAAUCAUCUGUGAUUAGAGAGCACACCACAGUCAGAAGGUCCAGGAAAAGUCUUCUGUAGAUUAACAGGGAGGAGAAAGAGAAUUGUUUGGAGCUGAACAGGUCUUACUCCAAACCCAAGCCUGACAGUGAUUUUGUGGCGCUUAAUGGGCACCACACUUUUGCCAAAGUUCAUCUCUUAUCUGCUCUCGGGAUUACCAGCGAGUUGGCAGAAAGAAUUAUUUUUUUGUAAUAUUACAUCAUAAUAUCCCAUUGAGAUCUUCUGAAGACUUAUAUGAAAGAAUAACUCUGCCUAAUUUUGUUAGUGGGAAUUGCAAGAGAUUUCUAAAAAAUAAACCCUUUUAAAUGUCAAAUGUUUAAAAAGUGACUAUUGUAAUUUUACUUUUUAGAGGUACUGUAUUUUAGAAAUACUUACUUGUUUCUUCCUCUCCUAGAGAAAAGAACACAUGGAAUGCUAAAUACAGUACAUGUAAAAAUAACAACAACAAUUUAUUGAUUCCUAUACUAAUCCUUUAUCAAGGAUUUUGCCUGUUACCUCAUUUAAUCCCUAUAAUAACUCUAUGAGGAAGAUUCAGUUAUUACCUCCAUUUUACAGGUGAGAGUUUCUGUAAGACACAGAAAUGUUCUAUGACUUUCCCUUGACCAUGUACCUGGUAAUUGAUGGAGCUGAGAUUCCAAUCUAGGCUGUCUGGAAACUAUGCUUUUAACUAAACAUGCUUAUAGUAGUUGCUAAAUAAUCAUUUAAUGAAAAGGAAUCAGAAAUUUUGUCAAGAGAGAAACAAUAGAAUUAGAAACUGAGGAAAGGAAUGUUGAAUACUGAUAAUACAACUGAAUUUAUCUUGUGUUGGAAAUACUCCAAGAUUAUGUACAGGGAGAAGCAAAUUUUCUGUUCCAUUCAACUCAUUCUCAAGGGUGGUUGUAUAUAUGCAAGUAGAGGGAGGAACUCAGGAUUACACUAAGGGUUUAGACAACUUCCUUUCUGGGAUAUUUAGGUGCAGUUUAGAGACACGCAAGUGUAAUAAAUGAUUCAUCAUUAUCUUGUAACAUAUUUAUAGAUUUCAGUGUUCCCUUUAAAUCUGUAGUUAGCCAAGAUAAAAGUAUUUGGCUUCUUUAAUUUUAUUUAGUGCUUUCCAGGUAAAUCCUUGGCAGAUUGAGCCUAUUAUAUAUCUGUGACUUAAUGAAAUAUCUCCUUGCAUUUAACUGACUGUAAACCUUGGAGGCUUCUUUUUGAGGUCAUUCAGUAUUAUAAUUACUCCUAUACUUGAAUCUAAGCCAGUAACCAAGUUUGUUUUGACAUCAUGCAUUUUCAGAGUUUUUCUAUUAACUAUACUUAGCUUUAUCCACUCGACCAACCCAGAUAGGAGUCCAGCUAUUUAUAACUAUUUAGAUCCGUCUUCUCUUUGUUUUCAUUAUAAUCUUUCUGUAUGCUCAGAAGCAAAUUGUGUUGUUUCGCCAAGCCUGUUUUCUCUUCUAUAAAAGGGAGAUAAUAAUAGUUCCUAUAUCUUAGAACUAUGUGAAUAUUCAACAAGACUAUACAUUUGUAUCUGUAGCUUAAACCUCUUUCCUGAUAUCUAAAACCCAUAAAUAAUUGCUUAUUCAACAUCUUUACUCAGGUAUCUGGUAGGCACCUCAAACUUAACAUGACCUAGACAUUACUCUUGAAGUCUUUCUCUCAAAUAAGCUCCUUCCCUGACUUUCUAAUCUCUGUAACUUACCCACUUCCUCAGGUCACAAAUUUAGGACUCACCCUUGAAUCUUAUUUAUUCAUACCUUGCAGCCAGUCCAUCAGCAAAUUCUGUGAACUGUACCUUCAGAAUAAGUCCUGAAUCUUACCAUUUUCAAUACCUUCCUUGCUCUCAUCCUAUUUAAGCCACCAUCCCCCUUACCAGAGCAAUUGCAAUGACUUCCUAGCUGAUCUCACUGCCCCUACUCUUGACCCUAUAAGUAUUUUUCCCCUCCCAACAGCAGCCAGAGUGAUUCUGUAAAUCUUUCAAUUAGAUGAGCUCUCCCCUGCUUAAAAUUCUUCAGCCAGUUCCUAAAUCAAAAACGUAAGAAACAAGUGUUGGUGAGGAUGUGGAGAAAAAGGAACCCUCAUGCACUGUUGGUGGGAAUAUGUACUGGUGAAACUACUGUGGAAAACAGUAUGGGGGUUCCUCAAAAAGUUAAAAACAGAACUACCCUACUAUCUGGCAACCAUACUACUGCUCCAUCCAUCCCAUUGCUCCAUCCAUUCCACUACUGCUCCAUCUGGGGGUAAAUACCCCCAAAAUACAAAAACACUAAUUCAAAGAAAGACAUGCACCCCAAUGUUUAUAGCAGCAUUAUUUACAAUAGCCAAAUUAUGGAAGCAGCCCAAGUGUCCAUUGGCUGGCUGGCUGGAUGAAUGGAUAAAGAAGAUGUGGCAUAGGGGCGCCUGGGUGGCUCAGUCGGUUAAGCGUCCGACUUCAGCCAGGUCACGAUCUCGCGGUCCGUGGGUUCGAGCCCCGCGUCGGGCUCUGGGCUGAUGGCUCGGAGCCUGGAGCCUGCUUCCGAUUCUGUGUCUCCCUCUCUCUCUGCCCCUCCCCCGAUCAUGCUCUGUCUCUCUCUGUCUCAAAAAUAAAAACGUUAAAAAAAAAUUUAUUUAGAAGAUGUGGCAUAUAUAUACUGGAAUAUUAUUCAGCCAUAAAAAGAAUGAAAUCUUGCCAUUUGCAAGGACACGGAUAGAACUAGAGAAUAUUAUACUGGGUGAAACAAGUCAGAAAAAGACAAAUAGCAUACAAUUUCACUCAUAUGUGGAAUUUAAGAAACAAAACAAAUGAGCAAAGGAAGAGAGAGAGAGAGAGAGAGAGAGAGAGAGAGAGAGAAACAAGCCAAAAAACAGACUCUUAACUGCAGAGAACAAAUUGAUGGUUACCGGAGGGGAGGUAAGUGGGAGACUGGAUGAAAUAGGUGAUGGGGAUUAAGGAGUACAUUUGUUGUGAUGAGCACUGGGUGUUGUAUGAAAGUGUUGAAUAACUAUACUGUACACCUGAAACUAAUAUAAUAUGUUAACUAUAUUGGAAUUGAAAUAAAAAAAUAAAAAUGAUUUCAUAGACUAGAAUGGUGGUUGUGAGGUAUAUGGGAGAGGAAGAAACAGAGUGAUAAAAGUAAAAAGUUACAGAUUUUCAGAUAUAACAAGAAUAAGUGCUGGUGAUUUCAUGUAGACAUAGUGAGUAAAAUUAGAAAUGCACUGUUGUAAACUAGAAAGUAAACUAAGAGUAGAUCUUAAGCCAUCUCAUCAUUAAUAAAUAAAUAAGCAAACAAACACAAAAAGAAAGCAAAAAAACAGAGUUAACUAUGUGAUGUGAUGGGUGUAUUAAUGAUCUUGAUCUUGGUAAUCAUUCCACAAUGAAACAUGUAUGUCAAAUGAACACUGUAUGCUAUAAAUGUAUGCAGUCAUACCAGUCAAUUAUUUUUUAAUAAAGUUAAAAAUAUUAAAAAUUAAAAAGAUGCUUUAGCCAAUUCCCAUCCCACUAAGAAUAAAGUACAAUUUUAUUUUAUGCAAUUUAUCAUAAAUGAUACCACCUUACAGCAUCUGGUCCUGGCCUUAUAUUCAUCUUUAUCUGCCUUGUUAAGGUUUCCUCUGCCCACUGGCCCCUUGCUGUUACUCGGUUACAUCAAACCCAUUCAUGCCUUAGUGCCUUUGUAGUUGCUAUUCUUUCCACCUAGGAUAUUUUCCCUUAGAUAUUUGCAUGACUUGCUUCCUUACUUUAUUUACAUCUCUGUUCAAAUUUAUUUUCUCAAGGAGGGGCUGGGCCAGCUCAUUUUAGUAUAAUUUAUAUAAAAUAUCCCUCCCUCAUCCCUAAUGCUACACAUUAGAAAAAUCAGAACUUGUUGUCUUCCUUAUUAUAUAUACCUAUAUAUUUCUCAUAAAAGCUUCAUUGUUAGGUCAAUAUUUCCAUUUCUGAGAUGGGGUAACUGAGGGUUAGACAGAUUGAUAACUUGCACAGAAUGGCAUGAUCAUUAGAAGUUCAGAGUUAGCCAAAACUCUUGUUUAUGUGUCCAGUGAUCAUGCAAUAGAAGGUGAUUUAAAUGAAAGGUCACCAUUCUUUUGAUAGCAAGAGUUAAUUUAGCUAGUAUUAGUUCUGGGCAAGUGCUUCUUCUUCUUUUAGUGCACAAUGUUCAUGCCUGGAAGAAGAUUGAACACCCCAGAGGGCAGGGGGCCAUUUUUUUUUUUUUUAAUAAUUUGUUUUCAACGUUUACUUAUUUUUGGGACAGAGAGAGACAGAGCAUGAACGGGGGAGGGGCAGAGAGAGAGGGAGACACAGAAUCGGAAACAGGCUCCAGGCUCUGAGCCAUCAGCCCAGAGCCCGACGCGGGGCUCGAACUCACGGACCGCGAGAUCGUGACCUGAGCUGAAGUCGGACGCUUAACCGACUGCGCCACCCAGGCGCCCCCAGGGGGCCAUUUUUUGAUCCAUGGUAUCUAACAUACUAGAACCAGACAUGUUCUUACAUCCAGCAUUAUUCUGUGCUUCCUCCGUUUCCCAAAUCACUGCCAAGAUAUUAGCUUCAACUCUUUUGUCUUUUGACCUUUGUAGGUAGAUCUUUUAAAAAUAAUUUUAAGUCUAAAUGGUACAGCUGAUUGUUAUACAAGCUGAUUUGAAACCAUUUUGCUCAUAAAAAUUCACCACACUUAAGCAUUAGUAGAUGAAGUCUUUCCUUUAUUCUUAGGUACUAAGUAUGGGACUGCUAGAAUUGUCCUCAAAGGCAGAAGGCAGGUGUGAGAAAGAAAGCAGAUAUCAGUAAGGCUGGCAGAAGUGAAGGGAUUGGGGGGGGGGGGAGCAGUAAAUGAGAGAGAAAUUGGAGAGAAUGAAAAGAUUGAACAGAAAUGGCCAGAUCUGCAAGUGUCAUCAGUGAUGAACAAGAAGAGGCAAAGCCUGCAACAAACUUAUGAGGUGGCGUGCACCAUUGGGAAUGCUGAAAGGAACUGAACUGAAGCAACCAGAGGUAGAAGAAAGCUCCAGAAAUAAUUACAAAUAUAGAGAGUGGUCCAGCCUGUAGGAUACAAUGAAGUGUUUGAGAAUAAUGCAGUUAAUGAGGUACAGUAGAGGUUAGCAAUGGUUGUAACAGCUCAGGAAGUAAAUGUAAUUUUGUCAUGCUGUGGAGGCAGGAAUUUAACACUAUACUGAGUUGGGGGAGAAAUGAGAAAUUAUACCUAAUUUUCCCUGCUGCUGAUUUUACUGCUGUAAGAGAUGCCAGUGGCACCUAGGUGCUCUGCUGCUGUUAAGGCUGGUGUGGUGGAGGAAUUUGGAAGAACACAACAGAUUCUGUGGUGCCAAAAGGAGGAAGUGCAGAGGGCGAAGACAGGAAGGUCCUGAACAGUCAGGCAGCCCCAAAACCAUAGCUCACCUGCCAUAGUUCUCUGAGGACUCUGGUGAUUUGUUGAGCCUGUGAGGACAGAUUAAAACAUGCUUGUGGAAAAAUCAGAUUGAGAUUAUUUGAGAGGCUAUAAUUCUGCACAUUAGUGCUGUGGCAAAGGCAAAAUGAAAUAUAUAUGUUCCAGGAUUUUUCAAAAAGGCAAAAAAAAUUUUUUGGCUUAUGGAAACCAAUGCUUUUUUUCCCAAGCACAUGCAUCCAUACAGCCCACCUUGUGAUCAGCACCCUAGAAUCUUCAUUCUCCCUGAUGUCCCCAAGAGAAGAAGCUAUCUUCAAGUAUCUCAGAAGCUUCUCACAGUAUGUUGGAGCAUGGGGCCAGUCACAUGAUUUCUAGUUUUCACUAGUAAGCUGAGGCAUGGGAUUAAAAAGUUUAUCCUAGAGCAGCCAGAAUCUGUCCUCACCAUCCAGUCUUUCUUGUUUUGUGUUUUUGGAUCUAUGAUUGGUUUAAUUUGGGUGUGUGUGUGUGUGCGCGCGCGCGCAUGUGUGUGUGUGUGUCUUGGGACAUAGCAGAAGGUUGCAGAUAUGGUGCUCAGAAUAACUAUGUGAAUUGUGGCUCCCUGGAAAAUAUGUACUGCAUUUCAAUAUUGUUUUCGAGAGUUUUGGUGUAAAUUUUAAUCUGACAUGUUCCUUUUGUUUAUCAUACCUUCCCAUUUCCUCCUUUAGCACUUUGCAUAUUUUAUAUCUCCUUUAGCACUCCUCUUAUAUUAAUUUUUUAUUCAGUUAAUAUACUUGAAUACUCACUAUGUACUAAUAAACAAGUUUCUAGGUACUGAGAAUAUAAUGGUGAGCAAGAUAGUUUGUUAAAAUUUACAUACAUAGAUAAUUCUUGGAUCACUUUAUAAAAUAGAUUGAAAUCUGCCAUUUAAAAAUAGAUAAAAUGGAAAAGCAUAUAAAUUACUUUUAAUAUAAUAUUUUUAUUCAUUAGCACUUAUUAAUCUAUGUUUAUGAAUGAGAUAAUGGUAUCAGUCCUAAGGGAUUUUUAGUUAAUCAGGAGAAAGGCAUUAUAAUAAAUAAUUUCUACAAAAUAUAACUGUGUAAUGAAGACUGUGCCUGUCUUGCACCCUUAUAUUUUCAGGACUUCAUCAUAAAAACAGAAAAGGCGCUCCUCAAGAGAAAAAUCAGAUUUUUUUGUUACCAGCAAAAUCGAGUUUUAGAACUUGUGCUGUACAUAAGAAACAUCCAGGGAGCAUUUUCAAGAUACCCAUUCAUGAACCUCUCACCUGAACCACUUACUGCAUCAGAUCUUUGAAGGGUAGAUCUUAGUUUUUGUAUUUCUAAGUGUUCUUCACCGAAUUUAUUGCUAAGCCUGAGUUACAAAGGACUGAAUUUGAGAGGAGUUCUAUGGUGCGUGCCAAGCGGCUUUGAUUAAGGUCUUGUUUACAUCCCUUUCAGUAAUGAUUUAGAUCAGGAGUCAGCAACUGUGGCCCAUGGGCCAAACCCAGCCUACCACCUAUUCUUACAUGGCUUGUGAAGCUAGAGUGGCUUCAUUUUAAAAGAUUGAAUAAAAUCAAAAGAAAAAUAAUACUUUGUAAUACAUGAAAAUUAGAUGAAAUUUAGAUUUCAAUGUCUACAAAUAAAAUUAUAUUGGAUCACAGUUCCCCUCAUUCAUUUUUUAUUGUCUAUGGCUACUUUCCCACUCCAAGAGCAAAGUUGAAUAGCCAAGACAGAGACUAUAUGGCUUGCAAAGCUUAAAUAUUUACUGUCUUGCCCUGUACAGAAAAUUUUGCCUACUCCUAUAAUGGGAAGAGAAUAUUCAUUACAUAUUUCACAAGAUAUGAAUCUGGGAGAUAUAAUAAGUUAGAGAAGAAAAAUGUUCUUGUCACUAUGGAGAGAUGGGCCAAAUCAAGUAAGAUAAGAUACAGUAGGUGUGAUAGGAAGGUCCUACUUGUUGGCCUAAAUAAGACAACCACACAAUUAUGAGCAAUUUAGCUUUUUGGACAUGUAAAAAUGACAGGAGAUUUUAGUUGACAGUAAAUUCAAAUAGAUGUCAAUCUUGGAUGAUUCUGACCACUAAUAAUCUAAUGUGAGAUGGACCUGUAAGUAGAAGUAUGGCAUAUAAAAUAAAGAAUGCUAAGAUUACACCUAAAUAAUUCAUUUCAGUUUGGGGUGGCCUACUUUCAGAAUGGAAUAGAUAUCUGAAGUAUUUUCAGGGGGAGCUAUUAGGAUGGUGAAGGGAUACAAAAUCAUGCCAAGUGAUAAAUUAUUUAGUCGGAGGAAAAGAAGACUCUGAGGGGACAUCCUCAAAUAUUUGGAUGAAUAUCAUGUGGGAAAAGGAAUAGGUUUAUUCUGUGUGAGCCAAAGGGGUAAAGUGGUUAUGGAGAUGGAGAGUGCAGGCCUAUUAGGCUUAAUAUAAAUAAGGCAUUCACACUAUUUGUUCAGAUAUGGACUUUUAUCGCUUACAAAGUGAUUCCUUUACCCCUCUGGAAGGUGUGGACAGAGUCUGGAAGAAUUCUGAGUCAGGAUAUUAUUGGUGGGAUUUGAGGAUUAGAAGGGAAAUUAAAUUCCAUGUAGGAUCUCUCUCAAUGCUAAGUAUCACAGAGAAUAAUUCCACUAUGUCAUGCAUGUAUUUUGAUAUUCCUUGUGCCUUCAUUGGACAUUGACUAUUUGCAGAACAUUCUGUUUAUAAUUUUGAAGGCUACAAAGGGAAUCCAUGAUGUGAAUUGGUGAGACAAAGGAAAUUUGCAAACAAGACAGAAACACAUAAAACAUCAGGAUGAAUGAUAUAUAAACUGAAAUUCUGUUGCUGUUCAAAGAGGGUGGGAUCAGUGGAGACUUCAGGAAGGAAGUGGACUCUGAACAGAGCUUUGAAGAUUGGUUUUAAUUUGAAUAGGCUCUGGUAUAAACACAGAGGCUCUAGGUAAUGGAGCCAACAUGAGCAAAUGAGCAAAUAUCAGUUUGGGGUGCGGGGUAAGGUAGAAGAUAUGUAUGGUGGAGAGAGAGCAGUAGUGCUUACUGAACAACAUUCAUCCAUUAUUCAUUUAACACUUAAGGAGCACCUACUAUGGGAAACCAUAGUGCAGUGCAAGAGGUUAGAAGGAUGAAUAAUGAUUCCUGCCCUCAAGGGGCUCCCAGCCCAGAAACAGGAAAAUCAAUGUCAACAUCCUCUCUAUAGUAGCUUAAUUCUUGUGUGACUUAGCUAGAAGAUGAGUUAGGGGAAGUUUCUUGGAUUAACUUCCUUCAGUUUAGAAAACUAACCAACCAUCGUUUAACGACUAUUUAUUGAACUUCUGCAUUGUUCUAGCUCCUUGAGAAAGAUCAGUGAACAGAACAGACAGAGAGCCCUCCUGCUGACCAGAACAUAAGCUAAACACAUCUUUUUGUUAUUCCCAGGUCCUUCAAGAAACAUAAAACGUUAUUUAUUGUUUUACAAAUUUUAAGAGGGCAAAAUCAAUAAAGAAAUAUCUUCUUUAGCUUUCAGAAGGAUAUUUAGAGCCCUGUCUGUGAAGAAAACACUGUGAAAUACACAGCAGUGUCUCUUUAAACCUAUGCUCUUUCUUGAGCAGCAUUUGUAUUUUUGUCAUCCAUCCCAUUUUGUUUUUGUUUUUGUUUUUUUAGCACCUGCAAAAUUUAAACUGGAAAUUUCAUCCUUUGUGUCUCAGCUCUUGUCACUCUAAACGUCUCUUGUUGUGCGAAUCAGUAUUGGCUCUUCAUACAAAUAAAAUGCAAAUCAUAUCCUUGCCAGAGCUAAACACUUAUCUCAAUGAAAUCAGAACAAAUACUUGAAGGUUAAAACUGAGAUUCAUUGCUUAGCAGAAUAAAGAGAAAAACACUGAAUGCAACAUGAAUUUUCCACUGAGAUGAAUUCCAAAUACAAGCCAAAAGCUCAGUAGAGAUAAAAAUACUUUUCAUGCCAAAUGAUGGAUUUUGAUAUCUAGAGCCAGAUAUCAGACUUAUUUCUCAGCUAUUUUUUCUUUCACAUGAAAUUUAAUAUUAAGCAUCUGAUGGCCUCUCACUAUUGAAAAAUGGCGUAUUAAGUUUCAGAAAGUAAAGCAAGUUAAUUCUGGUGUCCAGGUCAAAUGACUAUCCAAAAAAAUGUGGCUUGUCUGGUCACCAAACAGAACCUAGAAUUCUACCCAGUAGUGAGUGUUGAGUGGCCUUGUUUUUUUGUUCAGUUCUGUCUUUUUCUAUAUAAUUGACUUCCCUGGCCCACAGUUUCCCCAUGUAUUAACUGUGCAAGUCUGUGGAUAUCACUCUUCAGGCCAUUGCUUUGACCCAUAGAAUAAACAUUAGCAUAUUAUAUUCCAUUAUUUAUUUUUAAAAAGUAUUCUCCUUUAUGUGCCCAAGAAUUUAAAGUGACCAUACAUAUUACUACAUUAUAGAUUUGUUUUUAAAUAUAAUAUUUUCAGUGUAAUUGGUUCUCUUUACAAUUAUACACAUUUUGUGAUAUAUGCUUAAAAACAUUAAUAUGAGCAGGGAUUCAUAGACUGCCAAAGUGUUCAUAACAUGAAAACAGCUCAGAACCCCAAGUCCUGUAGUUGUCUGAUGAAGGAGUAGGGUACUUCCUCUGACCCACUCUCUUAUGGCUCCUCAUGUUUUCCCCAAGCAAAUAUACUAAAAAAAAAUGAUGUCACAUUAUGGAUUGUAUUACAUGGCUGGUAUUCAUAGCUAUUUUUACUUUGUUGAUUUUGCUUACUUUGUUUUUUACUGUUUACUUUGUUGAUUUUAGACUUUGUUUGAAGUCUAGGCAAAAACAAAGAAACAAAAUGACUUGUUAAAAAUCAUUAGAGUGAAACAGUGUCUGUUGAUAGGCCACCAUCAUGGAGUUGACUGAGCCAGGGUAAUGAAUGUAUGUAUACUCUUUCUGCAGUUUAGGUAGCUACUGGCUGUAAACAAUAAGCACUUUCCAAAGGUGUUAUCUGAGUUCUGGACAUAAAUAACAUAAGCACUUACCCAUCUCUGAUAUCAUAGACACCAGGCAGAUCUGAUGCUUAAUACAAGCUAUAUAAUUGUAGUUAUUCCUUUUAGUAUUCUCAAAAAGGAAAAAAAAAAGGCUUAUAUGUAGGGCCAGGGAGGUGGGGAGGGAUUCUUCCAAAGGGUAAAGUCCUCCCAUUCAGAAAUAAUCUUGAGAGGAAACUCAUACUGUCUUGUGGAAAAAGAGAUGCUACUUUAUGUAAUGUUCUGGUGAUGGUGAAUUUAAUUUUUCAUUUCUGUAUGGAUUCUUAUGUGAAGGGAUUUCAUCCUGGCAUUUCAUGUUUAAUAAAAUUAAAAAUAUAUUAUUCUGCUGAACUAACAAUGGAAGAAUAAAAACAGGAUAUUCAUGAGGCCCAGAUCUACAAUUCUCAUCAGUUCUCUGGAAAUCCUUUCUGCAGGUGUCUAAAUAGCACAAAGGUCCAAACAAAUUAUAAGUCUGUGUCUGUCUAAUAGUUCCGAAUAAGAUUUUCUUUUAAUUAGUAAGGAUUAUUUUUAUAGAAUUCUAUCAUGAAGGCUGUUCUUUUUAGACUAACCUUUUAAAAUAUCCACUCAAAUAGAAAAAGAAGUAAAACAUUUCUUAUUUCUUUAUGAAAAAAUAAUCAAUGACUUGAUAACUGGAAUUAAUUGUUUAUGCUCAAGUGCUGUAAUGUAACUGCAGAUAAAUUUUUAUUAUCAUUCAUCUAAAUUUUGUGUGAGUGUAUGACCUGUUUUUGUUCAUGUGUAAUUAUAGGUGACCUACAUUUCUUAUAUUAAAUAUUCACUGGUAGACUUUAAGAAUUUUUAAAGUUAUUAUUCCUAGGAAUUGACCCUUAUAUUAAUCAUUACAAUUUGAGAAAAUUUUAAGCUUUAUGUAGCUUUCAGCGUUUUGGUCUUACAGCAAUGCUGUGGAGUAAGCAAUAUUAUUGCUUCCCUUUUACAGGUAAGGAAAUUGAGUACAUCAGUCAGCUCAGGCUGCCAUAACAAAAUGCCAUAGACUGGGUGGUUUAAAUAACAGGAGUUUAUUGCUCACAGUUCUGUAGGCUGGAGGUCCAAGAUCAAGGUGCUGGCUGACUCUCUUCCCCCACAAGAGGUCUCUUCCUGGCUUGUAGAUAGAUGGUGGCCUUCUCACUGUGUCCUCGUAUGGCAGAGAGAUCUUGGGCUUUGGUGUCUCUUCCUCUCUUUGUAAGGACAUUAACCUUGUCAUGAGAGACCCACCCUCAUGGCUUCAUCUAAACCUAAUUACUUCCCAAAGGCUCUACCACCAAGUACCAUCAUUGAGGAUUAGGGCUUCAACAUACGAAGUUAAGGAAGGUAUAAACAUUUAGUCCCUAACACUCAAGGUUUAAGGAGGUUCAGUAAUUUGCUUAAUGUUAUAGAGCUAGUAAGUGGUUAAAAAUAGAAUAAGCUCCAGAAACUUGCUAAAGUAGUAGUUUACAAUGGUAUGAUGGCUUUAAAAGUAUCUUCAAUUUGACUCUUCUUUACCAUCCUCACCACAAGCACCCUAUCAAAGAACCAUGAAGCUAGAUCAACUCUCUUCUGCACUGCCUUGCUUAGGAUCUGGUCUCCACAUGAUAAAUAGAGGGAUCCUUUCAAUUCUCAGCCUCAUCACAUCAGUUUUCCACUCAUAACCCAGAAGUGGCCUCCCAUCCCAUUCAGAAGAAAACUGAAAGUCCCCUCCAUGGUUCUGAAGGUCUUCCUGGCAUCAUUUGACUGUGACCUUGUCUAUAAUCCUUCUCCUUCUCUGCCCUGUCUGUCCUAACCCAAGCUCUUUCCUGUUCAGUGCUUACACUCCCUGUUCCUUCUGCCUGGAGUAAUCCUCUUCCCCAGACAGGCAGCCAUGUUUCUUACAUCCCUCAGAACUCCACUCCCCAUCCUAUGUGUUGUAAGCAUGCUUUGCCCCUGUGACUCUCUAUUUUUUAGCCUCUUUUUUGUCAUCAAACUGUGUAGUGCUACCUGACAUUAUUAUAUGUUUUCUGAAUGUGUUUUUACACCUGCCUCCCUCCCUUAGCUGAAUGCACGUUUCCUGUAAACAGACUUAAUUUGUUCUUGUUCAUAUCACUGGCAUCUCAAAUAACACCUGACAUGUAGUAGAUACUCAAUCAUUAUUUGUUGAGUUUACAAUUGAUGAUGACUCUAAGGUAUCAAAGUUUUUCAUUCCCAUAGAGAUAAAGAAGCUCAGUUCAGAGGUGCUGAGGGCCAUGUCUGAAGUUCCCCAGUAUGUGAGGGGCAAAACCAGGACUGACACCCAGGUCUUUUUACAUCAAAUGGUCUCCCCAUUACAGUCUCCUACCCUUUCCCAUAGGAGCUCAGAAUAAGUCACAAACCAUGCUGUUGUGAAAAGGGAAGUGGUGGAAGAGAACUGAGAUUUACUGAGUGUCACAUCUGUGUCAAACAUUGCACUAGGUAAUCUCCUCUACAAUCCUAAGAGGUAGCAAUUAUUAUCCUCAAUUCACAGGUGAAGAGAAUAAAACACAGACAGAUUAUAUUACUUGUCCGUAUCACUUAGCACAUCACUAGCAGAUAAUUUGUUCAAACCCUUGUUUUCAUUUAGUGGGAAUGCCCUUACCCAGGAGAUGCUGACCAAAGACCCUGGAUGAAAGACUUCUCUAGACCUUCAUUAUCUCAGGAGUGAAAAGAAGAGAGUGUCUUUGCCUUAGAUGGUAGCAAAGUUUUUUUAGAAUUUAUAAAACAACUUGUCUUGUGCCCUUGUACUUCUAUUCACUCAGGCUGUUCAAAGCUAAAACAAAAACCAGAAACCUCUGGGUUUUGAAAGCAAUCUGUUAAAGACUAUAACUCAUCUAUCCUUAAGCCAAGAGUAUUUAUACAUGAAUCCUGCAGUCUUAUCACUUGGCAAAGCAGGGAUAGUGUGGUUAAAGUAGACUUUAAAAAUCUUUUCUUACACAGAUUCUGUAGAAAGGUGAGCAGCAGGAUGUGCCCAGAGACAAAUUAGUGGUGCUCCUAGCCAGGCUGUUAAAUUAUUUUUAGGCAGGAGACACAGUGUACACACCAGGCUUUAGAUGUGAGUAAUUAAUAUGAAAUGUUACCUCUCUCUGCCUGUAGCCACACUGAGCCUUCUUUAUUUCUUGUUCUUUCUUCUCAGUUCCGUUUCCUAGUAUCUCAUGUAUUGUCUGUCUUGAAGAUGGCUCUUUUACUGUGAAAAAUUUUCUUGUUAUGUUGGCAAGAAGGUCCCUACAACACUGGUGGUGGCUGCAGCAGCCAUGCCCAGAGCUCACUAUGCAGAGGCCCUGUCACUUCCCUGGUGCCACAUCUGAGACCUUGGUUCCCCUUAUGUGAUGGCCAGAGGCAUUUGUUUAGACUCACAAGUGCUGAUAUAGGGAGUUACUAGUAACUAGUAAGUGGGACAGGCUGCUCUAAUGGGCCUUUCUUUAGUCCACCCCCUUUUCACUGAGAACCACCAUUAGAAGCUUUCUCCUAGACUUAGGGUAAGCAAAAGCAAAAUAAAACCAAAACCAAAACAAAGCAAACAACAACAACCACCACAACAACAAAACUAGGGUAAUGUAAGAGAUUAUUCAAAGAAACAUUCCCUUAACAUCUGAACAAAUUUCCCUUUCCUUCCUUCUAUAUCUCUAUUUAUAGCAUUGCACGAGGAGAACUGACAUUAAAAUGGAGACCUUGAGGCUCUGCUAUAUCUUGGGUCAUCUAAUAAGGUUUAAAAUACACACGCACACACACACACACAUACAUAUACUACAUAGUAAGGUAUUUAAUGUGUUUGAGGAGGUUAAUUUUAUGAGAACACUACAGGUUAGGUUUUUAUAAAUAUCUAAGGGAAAAUGAAAUCUAUUACAAAAACAAUGGAAAAAUAUUUUUUAAUGUUAAAAAUUAGAACUUCUCCCCCCCCCCCCCCCCGCAGAACUUGCAUUCUAAUAAUAUUUAAUAUAAUCUCUUCUUUCAUUUGUGCCAUGGGCACAAAAGUAGUGACCACUGGUGCUUGGCACUGGAGUGAGAAGAAAUGAAAAAGAGCUGAGGAAACGUUUUUAACAUAAGAUUUCCAGACAUAAGAUUAUUGUGUAUUCACAUUGCCUAUAUAUUAUUAAUGUAUAAAAUAAAUGAAAUUUCUGUUAAUUUUAAAGCGACUCAGUGUAUCAGUUCAGGUUUACCAUGAUGCGUUAGUAACUGCCAGAUUUUAGAAGCUGGAUGAGUGCUAGGUGAGUACUUCAUCCAUGAUGCCAACAGAGCAUCAAAUAAAUUUGGAUAUUUUUAACUAUAAGAUAGCAUACCAUCAUACUUCUUUAUCUCCUGAUUAUUUGGUAAUUCCUUCAGAGACCAUUUUCUUUGGUGUCAUUCAGCCUGAGAAAACCAAGCACUCUUUACUUUGUGUGAUUGGGCAAUAAUUGUCUUUGAUAGUGAGAAAAGAUAUAUAGCAUGAAGUAGAAAAUGCAACCUGAGAAUUGGUUUAAAAGAAAAAAUACUUAUGUUACAGUCAUGAAAAUAUAAAUAUGCCUACCUGCACAUGCUCUGGGAAGAUUUAAAGCAAGAUGAAAGGAAGAACAAGCAUCUGAUUACUUCUUACCACCUCCAUACCAGAGCUCUGGUUCAAACUAUUUUUUUUAAUUUUUUAAUGUUUAUUUUCGAGAGAGAGAGAGAGUGCAAGCGGGGAGGGCAGAGAGAGAAGGAGAUACAGAAUCCAAAGUAGGCUCCAGGCUCUGAGCUGUCAGCACAGAGACUGACACGGGGCUCAAACUCACAAAUGGUGAGAUCAUGACCUGAGCCAAAGUCAGACGUUUAACUGACUGAGCCACCCAGUCGUCCCUCUGGGCCAAACUUUCAUUGUCUCCAACCUGGACUCUUGCAUGACCUCCUGACUGUUGUCUCUGCUUUCAGCCUGCCUUCUCCUAUUCCUAAUAUAGGAGCCACAGGGAUCCUGUGAAAAUUUAAGUCCAGCCACCUGAUUCCUCCAUUCAGACCUGUCCAGUGGCUUCCCAUUCACCCAGAGUAAAAGCCAAAUACUUAAAAUGAUGAUGAGAUUUAUAUAACUGUCCCUUAUUCCCAUCACAGCUAUGCCCUAGCUCAGUCCUGUUCAACCACACCGGCCAGCUGGCUUUUCCUUAGACCCCCAGAUAGGCUCCCACCUCAGGCCUUCCCCCUUUCUGUUUCCUCUUCCAAGUCCACUCUUUGUGACUUGUUCUCUCCCCUCCCUCAAGUCUGCUCAAAUUUCACCAUCUCAGUCACACCUUCCCUGACUUCCCCAUUUAUACUUUGAAACACAGGGUAAUCAAUAGUAACCAUAACCUUACUUAGCAUUCAUAUUCUUAGGUGAUGGUAAAGUAUAAAUUUUGCUCUGCAUGGCUACACUAUUUGCAGUUAGGCUACUAGGUUUAACCCUAAGAGGAGCAAAGGGCAUUGCAAGGGACUGAGAAGGCGAAGGAGCAGAUUCUUGUUAAGGACUGACAACAUGUCUUUCAGGGCUAGUCCACUGAAUGGAUUCCAAAUUAAACUCUAAAUAUGUAUUGAUUGCCUGUUCUGUAGGAUUUAGCAUAGGAGUUACUGAGUUGGGUAAGAGAUGAAGGGACCCAGAUUUUAAGUUUAAAUGAUCUAUCAGAAGGGAUUAAUGAAAUACUCAAGACAAAUAACAGCAAAAUAAGUAUGAAAUAGGGUGUUACUUCUAGGUGAAAUACAGAUCUUCAUCAGCUUACAAUGGGGUUAUAUCCUGAUGAACUCAUCAUCAGUUGAAAAUAUUGUUAAGUCGAAAAUACACUUAAUACACCUAACUUAUAGAAUGCAACAGCUUAGCCUCACCUACCUAAACAUGCUCAGAAACUUACAUUAGCCUACACCGGGGCAAAGUUAUCUAACAAAAAGUCUAUUUUAUAAUGAGGUAGAAUAACAUCUCAUAUAAUUAACUGAAUACUGUACUGAAAGUGAAAAACAGAAUGGUUGUUUGGGUACAGAAUGGUUGCAAGUAUAUUGGUUGUUUUCUCUCAUUAUUGAAUGGCAGACGGGGAGCUAUAGCUCGCUGCCACUGCCCAGCAUGAUGAGAAAGUAUCAUCCUGAAUAUUGCUAGCCCAGGAAAAGAUCAAAAUACAAAAUUUAAGGUAUGGCUUCUACUGAAUGCAUAUUGCUUUUGUGCCAACAUAAAGUUGAAAAAUUGUAAGUCAAACCAUUGUAAGUCUGGGGCCAUCUGUAUAGUAAACCAUUCUCUUUUUGAUGGUUUGCUGCAGAAUUGAUCAGAUUAUUGAGCUGGAAUUAGAUCGUGCUUAAUUUGAUGGAUCAUUACAGUGAUAAAAACUGCAACAUUUUUUUUGUCCAUGGUUCUGGCAUAUUCUAUUGAAUUAAAUGCAGUUCAAAUUUAAAGUACCUUGAUAUCAUUCAAAGUUUUUCAUAGAUAAUGCAAUAUUAUGAGAGGUAAAAUGGACUAUUUCUAGCUUUGUGUGCACUGUGAUUAGUGAAAGCUGAUUAUGACACAUUUUUAGUAUCUAAAUAUAACAUAAGAUGCUAACUUUUAAAAAUAGACUUGAUUAUUCUCAGGCAGUGGCUGGUGAGGGUAGAAGAUGUUGUCUGGAGUUGAUUAAAUGGUGGUAGGGGUUCUGGGUCACAUGGAAGAGAUACAGAGUACAAAUAUGUUUUAGAAAUUAAAAAGUAUUAUAUUUUCUAGAAUUUUACUUCUAUAUUUGCAAAACCACUUGAAUUAUUUGCUUUAUGAUCUCUUUCAUGGGCAUAAAAGAACUUAAGUUAUUUACAACACCUGUUAUAUUAUUUAGAUGAUAGUUAGGUCUUAAACGCAUAUUAACAAUGUAUUUUAAUUAAAGGAUGAAAACAGAUGUCACCAUUAGCAAAUAUAAUGGGAAGGAAAUUACAUCUUGUCACUUGUCUUGAAAUCCACUUCAGAAUGACUUAGAAAAUACUGUACCUAAUGAUGGCUGACUAAUUCAGGAUACUGUGCAAGUAAAAUUCAGGAAGAUUGUAUUUCUCUGCUUUUAAAAAAUGAAAAAGGGGAAACCUUUUUGGAAUACAUUUCUUAGUCCUCAGAUAUUUAAUUCAGGGUUUAAAAGUAGGAUAUUUGCUAGAACUGCUUUUAAAAAUCUGAACUCAACCUAGACACUUUAUUUCAUAAUUCUAAUUAUGUAUUGUAAUAAUCCUACUUAUGUAUUGUAAUCCAUUAAAUGAUAUGAGAUGGCACAGAACAAAAUCAGACACUUUAUCUGAUUUGUUUUCACUAUUUUCUCUGUAUAUUAUUUAAAAAAUAGCUAAUGUUUUAUAGAGUACUUAGUAAAAUCAACACGUCUCUAUGUGCUUUACAUAUAUUAUCUAUUUUAGUUCCCACAACAAUCCUGUCUGUAAAUAGGCAGGUAUUAUCUCUAUUUCAGAGAUGGAAAAGUAGAGUGUUGAGGUGUUAACUUGCCAGGCCACAAAGUUAGUAGAAGGAAGAGUCCAGGAAAGGAUAUUUGGCCCCAGAAUCCUUGGGCUCUGUUGUCUUCUGAAGUAUUGGUACUAAUGUGGAUUAAAUCCAAAACCAAAGCAACAUGUUAGCACCUGUACUUCCUGGGAGGGAAGAAGCCAGUAAAUAGUACAUUUCCUUUCUCUAUCCAGAGGAGGGUUGAUACAUCUUUGUUACCCGCUCUCUGUGGAUAAGUAGAUGAGAUAGCACCUUUGACCAGACAAGACAGGGUUGUUACUGUUGGCCAAAUAGAGAGCCUGGUAACUGGGAUGGGUAAGCACUGAACUUGACCAACCAGAGGAUCUGUCCAUGGAGACAGAGUCAUUAACUGUCUGCAAAUUAGGGAAUGUUGCAUUUCUCACUUCCCCCUUAUGGCUUUGUGAUUUCUGGGAAACAGAGCAGCUUAUAGAGCUUCAUGGAACUAUUCACAUUUUAAAAGAAUUAUUCUGAUCAAAUAUUACAAAUUUAAGGUAGUGAUUCUUUGUUCAAAUUACAAUGAAAGAUUCCCUUUAGCCACCACAUCCCAGAUUAUAUUUUAUCAUUCAAACGAGCAAGCAGCAAAAUUUGGUUAACACACUACUGUGAAUACAUUCAAUGUACAUAAAUGUAUUAGAUAUUAAAAGUAAAAGGGAACCCAACUUUUUCAUGUUGUUAGAGGCUUUCUGUGUAUCAGUCAUUCAUCAGCCAUUUUGGAGCAUUGGGAACACUUAUGAUUUAGGUAAUCUACAUUAUUCAAUUCAAAAUAGCCUAAUGAUACUAGCCUUUUUAAAAUAUCAGAUUUUAGAAUCUCUUUUUUUCCCCUUUGUAUGAAUUAGAAAUGACCAUUAAAAAAGGCUGAAAAAUUUUCAGGCAAAAUUAUAUGUGUUUCCCCCCAGUGUUUGUAUUUUGUAGACUUUCCACAAAACAAAAUAUACCAGCAGACUCACCUUUCUCCCUGACUUUUAUCUUAUAAAGAUGACCUUUCUGCUCUUUAUUAUUGGUCAAUUUAUAGAUGAUCUAAGUCACUCAUACUGAUACCUAUAUGCCAGGAAAUCCUGCCAGUCAUAGCUGCUUCCCAAAGUUAUCAGCUAAGUGUACUCAGAAACUUAAAAGCAAAGUACUUUCUUUUCUCAUGUAUUAUCUAUGUGUGCGUAUAAUAAUAAUCACUAAUAUCUAUUGAGCUUUUACCAUGUGCUGGACACUGUACUAAGCACUUUACAUUGAUCAUCUUAAUUAACCCUCCCCAAAUCCUAUGAAGUCGCUAUUAUUAUUACCGAUUUAUAAAUAGGAAACUGAAGAAUAGAAUUUAAAUAAUUUCUUCAUGAUCAUACACUUAAAUUUUUAUAUUUAACCCAUUACAAAAAGCAAUUGUGAAGUGAAGUUGGUUUAUUUUUUCCCCUCCCCAUAGUAAUAAAACAUAGCAAGUCUGGUGAAAAUAAAAAUACAGAAAGAUUAGGUUUAUGGUGCAUUGUACAGGCAUGAAUUAAGUACCUAACACUUUGGCUUUAUCAUAUGUGUAGACACCACCUUCUUCAAAAUUGCCAACACAUGGGGGGUGCCUGGGUGGCCCAGUCGGUUAAGUGUCCGACUUUGGCUCAGGUCAUGAUCUCAAGGUUUGUGAGUUAGAGCCCCGUGUUGGGGCUCAGAGCCUAGAGCCUGCUUCAGAUUCUGUGGCUAUCUGCCCCUCCACUACUCGUGCCCUCUCUCUCUCUCAAAUAUAAAAUACAAAACAUAAAAAAAUUUUUUAAAAAUUGCCAACACAUGGAAGUUUUCUCUCUGUAUAUUAGGUUAAUUAGCAUGACCAAAUGGCACAUUCUGGAAAAGUUCAUGUGGCAUGUGAUUACAUGAAUUUAAAUUGAUCAAUUACAUAUCUAUGAUGCAGACAUCAUCAGCAUUACCUAUUAGAUUGUUUUCUUAAAAACUAACUUCAUUUAUUUCUAAAAUUUCAUUCCGAUUUAAUAUGCUACUUUAUAAUUUCUCUUCACUUGAUUUUCUUGUCUUGAACUGUGCUGUGAAUGAGAGAACCUGCUUGUCAAAGUAUUAAAAUGACUCCCUCUUGUGCCAGAUAUUCAGUUUUAGACCUCUGAUAGAUCUAGACUAUUAGAAAGCAGUUCUGUUAUUCCAUAAUUUAGAAGCAAUAUAUUGAGGCCUAACACACAAAGCUUCUACACAUGCAGUGCCUUACAGCACCCAGGAGCACAGUGAAGGUGUUUUUUGGGAGAUGAAGCGGAGCAAAAAUUUAAAUGUGUGCUAGUGGGUCUCCGUGUCCUGAGAUGUCUUCCUUUAAUGCUUACUCAGGAGUGGCCUCCUAUGGUAAAUUGAAAACGGAAUUAAAAAUAAAUGCUUGACUGAAGUAACAGGCAAUAAAACACUAAUAGCUAAUCAUCAGCUAUGCUCUUAUUUUUCCUAAGUGUCAUCUCUCAGUGCUUUCAGAACACUGUUGGAUGCUGAUUGGAUGAACUACAUCUUUAACAGCGCUAAAUGGAAGACAAAAAAAAUCUGACAAAACCUUUAAUAUAUAAUUUUUAAAGGGCACAUAAAAUGAGGGUCCUCCACAAAAGAGCAGAAAUUGCAACACUAUAAAUUUCUUUUUUGUUCUUUUUCAGCAAACUCCUAAACCACAUUUUUUCCUAAUAAGUUACACCCCCUGCUGAUUCAACCAAUUUUAUUUAGCACAUUAGAUAUUUUAAAGAAAAAUGGUUUAAAUAAGAACUCAGUGUAAAAAUUAAAAUCUUUAGUGCCAUCUGCUGGACAUUUAAAUUACAGACUAAAUGUGGUUUUAGACCAGCUGAAAAGUAAUUUUUUCAACUGUAGUAAUUUUAAAAAGUAUUCAAUAAUAUCCGAGGUAAAUUUCUGAACUACUGAAAUAUUUAGGAAAUAUAUAUAAUAUAUAAAUAUAUUAUAACACGUAUAUACAAUAUAUAUUAUUAUAGCCGUUUUUUAGGGCAGACUUUUUGUAGGCUUUAUUUUUUUUUUAGCACUUUUAGGUUCACAGCAAAAUUAAGGGGAAAAUUUCCUCUGACCUACACAGAUUACCUAUAUAUCUGCUGCCCCCACACCUGCAUAGCCUCUCCUAUUGUCAACAUCCCCCAACAGUGGUACAUUUGCUACAAUUGAUGAACCUACACUGACACAUCAUAAUCUCCCAAAGUCCAUAGUUUACAUUAGGGUUCACUCUUCGUGUUGUACAUUCCGUGGGUUUGGACAAAUGUAUAAUGACAUGUAUCCACCAUUAUUGUACCAUACAGAGUAGUCUCCCCGCCCUAAAAAUGCCUCGUUUAUUUAUCCCUCUCUUUCCAUAACCCCUAUUAUGAACAUUAAAACAAAACCUACAAAUAAUAAUGUGUAAAUAUCUGUGAUUCAUGAAAUCAUAAAUUUUUAAAUGAUAGGUAUCAAAUUAUGAUAGCAAUAUUUAAAAGUUUUCCAACAUAUUUUUGUAUAGGGUGUCCCCCAAAUUUUGAAUUUAUGAUUAAAAUUUAAAAUUUAAUUAUGUGAUGAAAAUUAAUUUUAUCAAGUGUGAUGAAAGGUGUAUGAAAAAAAAUGCCUUCAUUUUCAAAUUUAACCUUAAUGUAGGGUUCUCUACUAUAUUAUAAUCCCCAGAUAAUCUGCACCAGAAUCACCUUGGUUGACCUUUAAAAAGUCAGGGUCCUGGAAUUUAUACCUUAGCUACUAAAUCAGAAGCUCUGUAGGUUAGUCCAAAUGCAUGCAUUUUAACAAGCCCCUUAGAUAAAUUUGAUGCAGUUUAAGAACACCAAGGAAACAUCCUUCACAAAUCAGUAACUUUUUCUUCCUCUAGCCAUAUUCAAAUGAGUAUUCUUAAGAUAGGGAAGUGUAGUGGAAAGUUGGAAGUAGAGGUCCUAAUUAUCACAAACCAGUUUUACAUCCUUAUGUUAGCAACUUAAAGUAAUAGGUUUAAGUUUUCUCAUUUAUAAAAUGAGAACAUGGUACAUAGUGAUUUUCGAAAUCCCUCCUCCUGUGUCUCUUAUUUUCCUAAAUAUUUCCAUUUAAAAUUGGGUUUUGGGGGCGCCUGGGUGGCGCAGUCGGUUAAGCGUCCGACUUCAGCCAGGUCACGAUCUCGCGGUCCGUGAGUUCGAGCCCCGCGUCGGGCUCUGGGCUGAUGGCUCGGAGCCUGUUUCCGAUUCUGUGUCUCCCUCUCUCUCUGCCCCUCCCCCGUUCAUGCUCUGUCUCUCUCUGUCCCAAAAAUAAAUAAAAAACGUUGAAAAAAAAAUAAAUAAAAUUGGGUUUUGGAAUCUUUCCUUUAUCUUUUCUCAUUCUGAGAAUGGAAUUUAAAUGAUUCCAAAGUGAUGAUCCCCAAGUCCUAGCAAAGAUGUAGGAGGCUUUAGUUUCAAGCUUAUACAAUUCCAUUUUUUAAAUUUCAGGAAAUAGUUACAAGGGUUGGAGGAGAAAACAAAGGUGAAAUUCCAAUGAAAGCUAACAUGGUCAUAUAGAGGAAUGGCAUGUUAUAUUUCUACAGAUCGGUGUUAAGUGAAAACUUAGCUUAAGUAAAUUCAAACUAUUGAUAAGUAGUUUUAUAAUAAUUGGUUAGGGUUCAAUUUGCAAAAGGAAGUUCAAGGCUGGAAAAAAUACACUGCUAUAAAAGUGAUUUCACCUGUAUUAUAAAAUUUUUCAAUGAAUCAAUUCCUUUUGAAGAAUAUUUUUAUAUAUGUUAAACACCUAUAAACAACUUGUAUUUAAAAUAAGAAUAGUUGUAAAAUAUAAUCUGAAAAAACACAAAAAUAUAUUAACACAUUUUAACCAAGACUAAUUGUUCCUCUAAGCAGCAGUAACCUUCUAGAGCCUAGAAGAUUACAUUUUGUUAGAUCAAGUUUUAUGUUCAAUAUAAAAUUAUGUUAGGCUUUGAAAAGAAAAAAAAACAGUCUCUAAUACAGGGACAUGAUCCCUAUGUACAAAGGAAAAGGACCAUUUUCUGAUAUUUAUCAAAACACCUUAAAUAAAGUAAUAAAAUAAGUAAAAUUCAGUAUCCUCUUAUGUUGUUGUAUGUUGUUUUCUUAGAGACUCAAGCAGUGCCUACUGUAUAGUUGGAGCUCAAUGAGUGUUUGUUGAAUUGAUGCUUGUAUCAAGAACUGUAUUUGAUACAAUGGUAGAUAUACAGUAAAUGAGAAGGGUUUGGGAGAGAUGCUGAUAGAUAAAUAAGUGGGAGCAAAGGGAGAAUCACCCCAGGAUGAGGAACUGGACUAUAUCUUAGAGAUUCUAUUUUAGCAAUGGAUUGAAAUAAUUGGUUCAAUUUAUUAAGAAGAUCAUUUAGAGUGUAUGAAUGAUGAACUAGAGUGAGGAAAUCCAUUGGCCAGAGCCUACUUAAAAAGUUGAUGAAAUAAUCCAAGUGAGGAAUAAUGAGAGUUUUCACCACAGGUGACAGAUCUGUGCUAUGCAACUAAUCACUACAAAAUGGGUUUUUGGUUUGUUUGCUUGUUUAUAUAUGUGUCUUGUAUCUGAGUCUGAGUUUUACUUUGCUGUAUUUGCAUCCUUCUUACUAGAUACAAUAGACUGGAUAGCUACAUAUAUGUAUGUAUAACUUUGUUAGGACACUGCGUUUAUCAAAAGAAAUUUGCUGGUGGAGGCAAAAUGCUCCCAUAGUGUUCACUAAGUGUAUAUUUAGUAUAUGGAGAGAGAGAGAGAAACAGAGAAUAUCAUAGGAAAUCUUAGACUUAGAUAUUGCUCACGUCAAGUGCAGUGGAAUGAAUUAAGAAAUUUGACAUACAUCAGAGGAUUGUAGAUAAUGUGGAAGACUGAUGUCAACAACAUCUAUCCCAGAAUCUUUCUAGGGAAUUUAUGAAGAAGCCAGAAAUCUAAACACUAAAUUUCACAGGUUCUCUUGCGGCUAGAUUUCCAGCUGUGAUUUAUGUUCCACCAGUCAGAUGUACUUGUAUGAAACUUGAAUUGAAACGGAGUUAAAUGGAGGACCACAGCAGCACGCUGGGCAAUCAUUUUUCUGGACUCUCUGGCAGGCUCCAAGUGGCUAUGGUGGUGUUUCCAGAUCAGAAUGUCUCUGCUGAGGUGGUAGGAUUCUAACACCAGCAAUUUGGGCAGUGGCUUUCUGAUUCCAUAGCUUCCUGGUUGAGGAACUCUGAGUAGCUAGUUUAUGCUUUUGUUUUAGGAGUCAUUCCUGGAGGUCAGGUUAAGAACCCACUUCUGUCCCCCUUCCAACAAUUUUGUAGCACCAGAUUUCAUAACUUAGUCUUUUUGUUUAAAAGACUGUGAGGUUAUUCCCAACUCAUCUCUAAUAUAAGGGACCAAGCAUCAUUACAAAAAAUUAGUUAUCACGGGAAUGCAGUGGAAUUUUACUGCUCUUCUGUUCAAGAGUAGAAUCAGAGAGACAGUUUUAUUAAAAGGGAGACAACGGGGGCGCCUGGGUUGCUCAGUCAGUUAAGCGUCCAACUUUGGCUCAGACCAUGAUCUUUUAGUUUGUGGCUGUCAGUCCUGCAUCGGGCUCUGUGCUGACAGCUCUGAGCCUGUAGCCUGCUUUGGAUUCUGUUCUCUUCCCCACCCCUGCUGGCACUCUGUCUCUCUCUCAAAAAUAAAUAAAUAUUAAAAAAAUUUUAAAAAGAGGGGACAACUCUGUUUUGGGGCCAAAAAACCAAUUUUUAACGGCACAUAUGUUUUCACAUCACAGGUAUGUGUGGUUAUUGGGCUGUCAUUCAUUACAACAUAUAAAUUGGAUGUGUGUUUGCUGAUAUGCAAAGACUCUAAAAGAUAAUUUGAUUUCAACUUACACUUUUAAGAAGUUUGAGAGCAUUCACAAUUGUGUUAUUAUCUUAGCAUGCUUUCCUAUUUUUUUGCUUUAGUACUUCUUUUUAUUAAAUUUUUGUAACAUUGAUUUAUUUUUGAGAGACACAGAGAGACAGAACAUGAAUGGGGGAAGGGCACAGAGAGAGGGAGAUACAGAAUCUGAAGCAGGAUCCAGGCUCUGGGCUCUCAGCACAGAGCCCAAUGUGGGGCUUGAACUCACAAACUGUGAGAUCAUGACCUGAGCUGAAGUUGGACGCUUAACCAACUGAGCCACCCAGGCGCUCCUACUUUAGUACUUCUAGUAGCAUUACUAUGUGCCAUACUUUUAGUAUUCAGGAAAUAGUCCAAGUUCCAAAUCACCUAGAAAAAUGUUUUUGACCAGCUGUGCCAAAGAAAUCUCCCUGGUUAUUUUAACCAGAACUAUUACCCUACAGAACAAUUUAAUUACAUUCCUUUCCACUUGGUAUAUGUUGUCAUAAACUGUUAAUUUGUGUUUACCUAUAACUUACUUCCUAAGUAGACUGUACUUUCCUUGGAAUCAAGAACUGUGCUUUAGAAUUGAGGUUAGUGUUAAUUUUUUGACAAUAGAGUGUGAUGUCAAAAUCUUUUAAAGCAAGCCUUCAACCUAUCAGGCUAGCGAGAUGUUUAAUUUCCUUCAUUGUCAGGUCUUUCUCCUGGACACCCCUAUUGGAGGCACUUGAACAGUCUGACAUUCUCAGAAGAACUCUCCUAGCUUUAAUCUCCAUGUUACUAACUUCAUGGGCCCUAUAUUGUACCCUGUUUUAUGUGUUCUGUGCCACGGUUGGGAAGGAACACGUAAGCCCUUGCCUUUUUACGCUUGUUUGCACAUCCAAAAGCAAUUCUCCAUGUUAGAUGGCUAUGCACAAGCCACCCUGGUCCCUGUCCCUGUCUUCAUCCUAGGGAAAGCCCUUACCUUCCUUCCACACCUGCCUCUUAGGCUUUUGGAAUUUCAAAGCAAUAGUUCCCAUUCCCUCCUACUCUAGGAAAGUCUGUCCUUUGAAAAGGAUAGCCAGGAAGAAAGCUGGAGUUGUCUUCUGGCUUCUGAUCACUUUGAGGAUGGAGGAAGGAAAAAUACAAAAUAGAAAUAAAUGAAGUACUGUGCCAAUUACAAAAAUUUCUCUGCAUUCUACCAUUAUCAUUUAGCAUCUUGCUGUGUACCAUAUUUAUAGUAAGUAAUCAACAAAUACUUAUUAAUAUGUAAGAAUGUCAUUACCAAUUUUCUGUUUAAAUUAUUUUGCAUUUAUAUAAUGAUGUUUUUAAAUUUUUUUUUUUCAACGCUUUUUAUUUAUUUUGGGACAGAGAGAGACAGAGCAUGAACGGGGAGGGGCAGAGAGAGAGGGAGACACAGAAUCGGAAACAGGCUCCAGGCUCCGAGCCAUCAGCCCAGAGCCUGACGCGGGGCUCGAACUCACGGACCGCGAGAUCGUGACCUGGCUGAAGUCGGACGCUUAACCGACUGCGCCACCCAGGCGCCCCUAUAUAAUGAUGUUUUUAAAGAAUAUCUAGUUUUUUAGGCAUUCAUCUUUAUAUCCUUCAAAUGUGUGCCAUUAAUCACCCAAACAACCUGUUUACAACUGGAAUCUUGAUGUUUCUUGAGUUGACUGCACAUAUGUUAAAAUAGUACAAUGAUUAUUACAGAAUGAAAUGAUGGGGAAAAAGUCACAUCCUGAGAGAAAACCAAGGUUUCUCUAUUAAUGCUUUCUUUUUUAUAGCAUUGCGUAUUUUAUAACACCAUUUUCCCUCUAGAUAAUUUAAAUCUGAAAUUUGUGAUUAUAUGUAUUGUCAAUCUUACUAAUCACUAAGAAUACAUUGUUAAUUCUAAAAUUGAAAUAUAUAAAUAAAUUUCAUAACAAAGAUUUAAUAUUUGCAGUUCUGCAUUUACUGACAUUCACUGGCAUUUAUAAUAUAUAAUAAAAUAUGUAUUUCCAUUUAUUAUUCAUAAUAGAAAACUGUCACAUAUUUGAUAUGUAUUAAAGCAUUAAAACAUCAGAUACAAAAAAUACAUAUGCUGUUUAUGGUUUCACUACAAUAUCCUGAUUCCAAAGGCAAAAUUUAUUAUGAGGACAACAUCUUGACAGAGUGAGAUAUCAGAAUAAUAUAAGGGGAAUACGAAUUGAGAAAAAGACAUUAAAGUUGAUUUUUAAGAUACAGUUCAGUAGAGCAUUGCAGAAGGUUGCAGAAUAAGUAGAUUUUGAGGAAGUGGGAGUAAAUAAAUGCUGAACCUUCCUUCCUUCCUUCCUUCUUUCCUUCCUUCCUUCCUUCCUGCCUUCCUGCCUUCCUGCCUUCCUGCCUUCCUGCCUUCCUGCCUUCCUGCCUUCCUGCCUUCCUCCCUGCCUUCUUUCCCUCCUUCCCCCCCCCCCACCCCUUUUAUAGUAUCUGCUGAUAAGUAAAGAAAGAACACAGUGGGAAAUAAGUUAAAGAGGCUGCUAGAGACUUUGGUUGGACUCUUUCUUUCAGUGAAGAAUAAGGGAGUCCUACCUGUAAGGAAGGGAAGAAGCCCAUGAAGAAACAGAGUUGAAGCUGUAAGAGAGUUCUGGGCUAAGAAACAGCAUGAUUUUUCUUCUCUUAAUUCUCUCCCGGUGGGAAUGUCCAAACCAGUUUUAUAAAUAUGGACCAUUGCCAAAACCAGGAAGGAAUUGGAAAUACACAUGAGAGUUGGGUACAGAUGGGUGCAGGUCACUAAGGGAUAGCAUCCGGGAGGAUAUAAGUCCUGGUAGAGUUUGGAGAUGCUUGUGUGAAUGACUUCAUAAACUGUGGGGUGAAGCACUUACCAAAGAGCUGCCCCAGGCAUGUCAGUGCAGCUUCUGGGAGAGCACUGUCCCCUGGCAGUUGUCAUCCUUAGGAACUACUCAGAGGGCUAGAUUUUUCUUCCACUGAAAGAGAGACUGGAAGAGAGACUGGAAGAGACCUUCCCUCCUAAAAUGUCUCAUGGAGAAAAUGAGAACCUAGAGACCCCACCCUCAUAACUCAACUGAGAGACCUUAUCUCACCAGCCUUCUUGUCGUGGCCUACUGGAGAAGGACAUGUUGCUGCCUGCCCACCUGUUGUGGUCUGGCCCCUGUCACAGCCUAAGCUGCAUACGCACAUAGGGAACCAACACUGGGUUCAUACAUCAUGAAAAUAGUAUUUUGAGUCUUUCAGGAGGACACAGUAGCUUGAAGUUAAUUUGAGAAAAGAGAGCUUGGGAAUAAGCACUGUAGAGGAGUUGAAACUGCAUGAAAGUAUUAUUGAGCAGGAGUGAAAGGUCUAUGGGAGUUUCAGGACCUGAGUUCAUCAGCAUAGCUUUGGCUUGUUCAUACUCAGCUUUUGUUCAUGUAUCAUCAAUUAGUCAUGACAAAACACUGACAUUUCCUGAUAGUUAACACUUUCCUGCAUUCAGAAACGUUUUCAUUUGCAAGUUGAAUCCGUAUUUGUUGUCAUCUUUUAUAUGGGCUUAGAGUAAGAUCUGAAGUAUGUGAAUUUACAAUGAUAUAUUCAGAUAGAAAGGAAAAGCAAACCCCUAGACAAAAAUUAGUUUUCUCAUCAAUAAAAUGGGAAUUUACUUCAUAAAGUUAUUGUGCAUUUAAACAUACACAUUUCUUCUUUAAAUUAAUUAGGAGGCAUAAUUGGUCAACUCUUUUGUAGAUUUUAAUGUCAUAUAUAUUCCAGUUUUUCAUUUCUUUAUAGCACUCAUUUGUUAUUUAAUGAUAUUUGAUGAGAUAGAACUGAAUUUUUUCCUUUUUUAAUGUGAAAUACUUCAUAAUACAAAAGCACAUAUGUAAAGAAUAGAGAAAAAGAAUAAAAGAUAUAAUAUGUGCCUAACACUCAACUUAAGAAAUAAAACAUAUUGAGUACUUUUGAGGCCCAGAGCUUGAAAAAUUUCAUAUCUACAUGAAAAAAAAAUAUGUAUUCUACCACUGAGGACAAUAAAUAUGUGUGAACAAGUAUCGUACUCAAUAAGCUUAACAAGUUUAUUCUACUGGACCGAUAAAUACAUAUGCAUAUGUAUAUAAAGUUCUUAAUUACGUUUUUCAAAUAUUCCCUGUAAUUAUUUAUUUUUGAUCUGUCUGGUCUGUUAAUUAUAGAGAGAAAGGUCUGUCAAAGUAUCCUACAAUGAAGGUGGAUUUCUCUACCUUAGUAGUUUUAUUAUUUUUUGGCUUCAUAUAUUAUUAUAUGCAAUUAAGUUUAGAAUUGUCUUGUAAAAAAUUAUAUGAAUACUUUUUAAAUAAUAGAUUAUCCUUUUUAUCUUUAGUAAUGCUUUUUGCCAUAAAUAUUAUCCCAAUUUUGUUGUUGUUGUCCUUAGCCUUUCACUGGGAUAUAUUUUUUCAUUCUUUUAUUUCAAACAUCCUUCCUAGUUUGGGUAUAUCUCUUCUAAACCUAAUUUAGCUAAAUUUUAAAAGUCUAACAUGUUAAUUUUUGUCUUUUAAUGAUGCUGUAGUCCAUUAUACAUAUUGUGACUCCUGAUGUGUGUUGGAUUGUUACUACCAUUGUUUGCCAUAAUUUCUAAUUGUCCUGCUUUGUCUGUGUUUCUUCAUUUGCUUCAAUUCUUGUCUUCUGUAGAUUGACUAUUUCCUCAUUCCAUGUUUUCCACUGGUUUGGAUAUCAUACACUCUAUUUCAAUUAUUUUUGGUAGUGACCUAACAACAAUGUUAAUUUUGUUCACUUGUGUGAAAGUUAAAGCUGAAGUUCUUGGUCACAGAGCCUCAGUACAUGUCCCAGGAGCAGUGGUCUGCUUCAUAACUAUACUCCAUCUCUGAAUUAGUGCUACUGUUUCAUUUUUCUCCUGUGAGGAUCUCCAUACUUUCUCCCCAACUCAAAUAGGAAUUAAAAUUUAUUCCUUUAGGAGCACCUGGGUGGCUCAGUCGGUUAAGUGACUCUUGGUUUCCACCAAGGUUAUGAUCUCACAGUUCAUGAGUUCGAGACCUGCAUUGGGCUUUCGCUGACAUUGUCCUUCCCCUGCUUGUCCUCAAUCUCUCUCUCAAAAUAAAUAAACAUUUUUUUAAAGUUAUUCCUUUAAAUAUCCAGUAUUUUCAGCAUUUUGUGGCAGCAAGAUUUUUCAGGAUACAUAGCCUUCAGUAUGAAAUUGUUUUUUUUUUUCCCAAAAUGGACUAAGAAAAAAGUAUUUGUGUAUGAUUUUUACAGUUAGCAAGUAUGUAUUGGCUACUACUAAGGAGAAAUAUGUCUUAACUAUCUUGCUAAACUGUGCAUUUCUAAUGCUAUUUACUGUUUGGUAGAAGAAAGGUGACACGUACAGAAAUACUAAUAGUAUACGGUAAAAAAACCAAAAGACAAAAAGCUGAAUGCCUUAUGAGUGACCAAAUAAAAUGCUAUGAGAUUGUAGCAGAGUAAGUUUUUAUCUCACUGGUCACUGCCCUGCAUAUAUUUAUUAUAAAAAAACACCCCUUUUGAUUGGGUCCUAUAGAAUGGAUAAAAGUAUUUUGUGUUUGAUUUUUUUUAAGUUUAUUUAUUUAUUUUGAGAGAGACAGAGAUAGCACAAGUGGGGAAGGGGCAGACACAGAGGGAGAGAGAGAGAAUCCCAAGCAGGCUCUGCACUGCCAGCACACAGCCUGACGCAGGGCUCAAACUCAAUGAAACCGUGAAAUCAUGAUCUGAGCCAAAACGAAGAGUUGGACACUUAACCAACUGAGCCACCCAAGCACCCCAAUGUUUGAAUUUUUAAAGAACAGUGGAUUUUCAAACCAUUAUACCUCAGUAUAAAGCAUAUACUAAAUCAGGAGAUGACAGACUGGCCCAUGGGUCCAAUCUGGCUUACCAUCUGUUUUGGUAAUAACGUUUUAUUGGAAUAUAGCCACACUUAUUAUGCUUAUUAUUUACAUAUUAUCUAUGCUACUUUCAUGUUAUAAUAGAGCUGUGUAGUUGUCAAAGAGACUAUAUGGCCCACAAAGUCUAACAUAUUUACAAUCUGGCCUUUUACUGGAAAGUUUGCCAACACUCAUACCAAAUCAUGUGCUGUAUUACAAAGUAAAUUCAUAGGGAAUCUUUUCCCUUUGCCUAGCUUUUGCAUUUAUAUUUACUUAAAUACAUUUGAUUUGAUGGUUCUCACAAUAAAUAUCUACCCAUGUACUUCCUCUAUGCUUAGAGUUUAUAUAUGUUUCUUUGAUUAGAGAUAUUUCCUUGUUCCCACUCCUUAAUAAUUACUUUCUUUAAUAGAAGCCUUAAGAUUUCCAAUGCUAUUUUGUAAGGUUACUUUUGAAGUAGUUAAGAUAGCCCCAGUUGUUUUUUAAAAACUUGAGCCUAGAUUAAUGGUGCUUAAAUUGUAAAAAAUUUAGUGUACCAGCAUUGUUUUUCAAGCCAUUCAGACAUUCUUGCUUUCAUUAAAUAUAUCACUAUUUCUAUGAACUGAAAUUAGCUAGUCUUUAAAUUGGGGAGGGCUUCAGAUUCUAAACUACUUUAUUUCCUAGUGCAAGUAUGUGUGCUAUUAAAUAGAAAAACUGUCAAUUGGCAAAGCAGGAAAGGGGUUUUAUAAUUUUUAAAGUAAUCAUUAAAAUUCUGCUCAAGAGCUGUUGAUGUUAAAAGAAAAAUAUAAUGAAAUCCCAGUACUUCAAGUACUAGAGUCCUUAGACAUAACUUAUUUGAUUCUGUUUCCAGGGAAUACCAGUUCCCACAGAUAUCUUAGGUGUAGAGAAUCAAGCUAACUAACUGCCUGUAUUAACAACAGCAUGUGUGUGUACCUUGUGUCCUAGGGAAUACAUCCAGCGCACUCGCUCAGUUACAGAGAUAAAUUUCCUAGUAGUUUCUCCAUUGUUGUAAUGGCCAAUGACUAUUGGCUAGGCCUGGGACAACUCUCUCAGUUCUCAUUUACAAAACUAAGGCAUACUUUCACUGGGGAUUCACUGGAUGUCAUGGUGUUCUGUACAGAGCAGCAAAUAGUUUCUAUUUGUAGCAGUUGAAGAUUGAGGGAUUAGGGCUGAUGGGGAAGGGAGGAGACUUGAAUCACAUUAAAUGUGAACAUUCUUAUGGAAAAUGGUUUGCCUCAAGAACUUUGGUUGCAUCCAUUAAAUAAAGAGUGGUGACAACUCUCAUACAAAUUGGGGUAUUUGUAUGAGAAAAUAUUUGUAUCAGAAAAAAUCUGAAUAUUUGCAAGGUGUGGUUUAACACUUUUCACAUAUCGUGGAAGGAUUAGUGAGCUCAAUUAUAAUGUAUAAAGUGAUAUUUUGUAUACUGUAUGAAAUUAAACACUUGAUAUUAAAUAUAUAAAUAAUCUCCAAUAAUAGGGGUAAGGGAAGAUAUUUUGUGUAAGACAAAUUGCAUAGCAUUGUAAUUUAUAAUUUUUUUAAGUUUAUUUUUGAGAGAGAGACAUGUGAGCGGGGGAGGGCCAGAGAGAGAGGGAGAGAGAGAAUCCCAAGCAGGCUCUGUGCUGUCACCACAGAGCUCAAUGUGCAGCUCAAACUCACGAAACUGUGAGAUCAUGACCUGAACCAAAACCAAGAGUUGGGCACUUAACCAACUGAGCCACCCAGGUGCCCCUAUAACUUAAAAUGAUAUUUUUCCAAGUAUACAUCAUGCUCACAUAGUGGGUCAGGGAAUCAAUUUCCUGUGACAAACUUUUUUUUAGACUGUAAUCAUUAUUAAAAUAGAAUGAGAUAGACUAUACCAGAGUACAUCAUAUAUAGUUAGCUUAAGUAUUUUGUAUAACUUCUGCUUCAGUUGUAUACACACAUGAAUGUAGUUGUAAAGUGUUGAGUUCCCCAGUCCAAAUACCUUGAAAGCUAUUUGUCUAAAAGAAGCAGAGGCGUGGAGUGGACACAUGAAUUCCACUUUGGGGACCAAAGCAGUGAUUAUAUGUUGUACUUGUGUAUGUUUCAUUGCUAGUAACAAAACUGAGACUAGUGGGUUACAUGCUAAUACAUUUUUUACCAGUGGCCUUUUACUGGAAAGUUUGAUUAGUUGAAAGGUAAGAUUAGUGGGAAAAAUUAUUUUAUAUGUUUUGGUUUCAUUCAAGUAGCUAUACUUCUGUUAGGAAAAAUUAUUUUUGUUUUUGUCUUCUGUCAUUUACUUAGUUUGCUACCAUUUUCUCUUUUGCCCAGGAGAUUGCAUCAACAAUUUGAAAGCUAUAAAGAACAAGUGAGGAAGAUAGGGGAAGAAGCGCGGCGUUACCAGGGAGAGCACAAAGAUGAUGCCCCGACUUGUGGAAUCUGUCACAAAACAAAGUUUGCUGAUGGGUGCGGCCAUCUCUGCUCCUACUGCCGCACCAAGUUCUGUGCCCGCUGUGGAGGCCGCGUGUCUCUGCGAUCCAACAACGUAAGUGUUCCCUGAGCCUGAGAGGUGCUCUGAAUGCAGGUGAAAAGCAGUACACCUGCCAAGCAGAAAACAUACAUGUGUUAGAAAGUAGACACAGGCAUAAGUGUACACAUUAAUGUGCCCCUUUCCCAUUUUCUGUUUUUCAUAAGGUUCAUAGUAGUGGAGUAGUGAUGAAAUAAUAAAAAAAAUGCUUUCCAUAUGCAUCUUAGUAAAUGAUUAAAAACCAAAAGAUUCAAACCAACAGAUUAUUUGUGGGAGUAAAUUUACUUUCUGAAAAAUGUAGUAAAUGUGGAUUUAGUAUCAUGAACUAGAAGACUCUUAAAAGUUGUUAUAUCCAGUUCUUCUUGUAAAAAGAAGAAAAAAAACUUUUAGUGUCUACAAUGUUUGUUUCAGACUGAAUGAAGGUAGAAUGUAAGGUGAACUGGGUAGCAUUAAAUGUAACCGAAGACAACAUAUGUAAAGCAAUGAUUAGCUUCUAUGAGAGUAAUUUCCUAUUUACUGUUGUGGUAAAGUAUAUAGUGCUAGGUUUCUCUCAUGGAAACUAUUUUGAUAUUUAAAGAGUAUGUCAAAAUACCCUUUUUUAAAUUUGGGGGGAUUUUUGUACUUAUUAUCUUCUCUAUGAGAUGUAGUCUCACCUGAUGCUGUUUCCUUAUUUGGCUUAAAUGAGAGCUACUUAUGUUAUGCCUGUGCUUUAAAUAUAUAUACUUUUUGAGGCACUGAGAUGCUCAUUUAAGAGAACUAAAUAUUCUUUAUGAAGUACUAGAUAAAUUCUAAUACUUUAGAAUACAUUUUAAUAUACUUUAUUAUAUACCCUAUCUUAGUAUGGUAAAAUUAUUUAUAGGGAUGUCUGGGUGAAUUUUCUUUGAUGUAGGUCUGCAGUGUAAUAUAGAACAGUUAAGAUUAUCAUAUACCUAAAGAAUUCCCAAUGUUUCUCUAAGUAAUUUCAUUUAUUAUCUAAUCAUAUAUGCAGUGUAACAUAGUACAAAGUUAUAUUUAAAAAUAAUAUGGAAGCUUUAUGCACUCUGGAUAUUUUCCUAAUUGAGAAACCCAUGGCUAAAAUUAAAAUCAGUCUCCCUAUCAACAUUAUAUUCAUUGGUAGUGUAUUUCAGUUGCAGGUAGGGUAUUCUAAAUAUCCCUUCCAGUGAAAUUAAGAUAUUCAGUAAAAGAGACAUGUUUUAAGGUGAGCCCACUAUUAUCUUUGUGGCCUUGGGAAAAUAAUUAACUUCCCUGAACAACAUCUUCUUUAUCUAUGAAACUGGAUAGUAAUAAUUACUGUAUAUGAUUAUUAUGAUAAUUAAAUUAAAAUCUAGGUCUUUAUGAUAUAUAUUUAAGAGUUCUUUAGGUGCCAUUCUGAUGACCACAUGAGUUUUCCUCCUGAAAGUUCUUUAGUUAAUUAUCAUAUGUUAUAUUAAGACCUUUUUAAAACAACCUUGGGUUAAAAUAGUAUCUGGCACAUAAAAAGGUGUACAAGAACUAUGUGUUAACUUUCUCAUCUUUAGUGUUCCUAAAUACACUGUUUUGGAAUGAAUUCUCACAGAUGAGACCUGGGAAUGAUAUACAAAAUAUUUAAAAAAACAUUUGGUGUAAGGGUACUGUCCAAUCUGAAAAGGUGCUGUCAGUACAUAGUAGUGUGCAAAUUAGCAGGGUGGAAAUGCGGACUGAGCACCCAUAGCUGUUGAAUGUUUGUAACUUCCCAUCAUAGGUUUGAGGAAAACCAAUAAUAAUACAGUUAACUAAUGAAAUAUUAAAAUUACCUGGGUUAAUCUCAUGUUAAAGGAAAUUGAGCUAAGAUGUACCUCUGCUUUGGAGACACCCAAGCCUAAUGUAGUCUAUCUGUCUCUAUAAGCCCAUCCAAUUUGGACAAAAUAUUCAAAAGAACAAAAUAAUAGAAGGCAUCACUUUAAGGCAUGAGACAAAAAUAUUGUAUGAAUAUAUUGUGUUGUUUUUUCCCAUGACAUUAUAAGUGUUGAAACGUAUAUUACAUAUAAAUAUUGCUUGUGGAAUAAUUUAUGACUACAAUAGUUAAUCUUUUUUCUCAUUUUUAUUCUUUACAAAUAUUUCCCAUUCUUAGAUUUUUCCAAAUUGUAACUAUAAAUAUUUUGACAGUAAUUUGAUAAAAUUAUUUAUAUAAUUUUAUGCAUUUUAAUAAAAUGUCUUUUCAGUAAUAGGAAGACUAAAUAUAAUAGUGAAUUAAGAUUUCUUUCUGAAAAAUGUUUUAAAUAUAGAUGUAAUCAUCAAGUACUAAAAGUUUUGGAAAUUAUAGUGCCCAAUUUUGGUGUCUACUGUAGUAGAAUUAGUAUAGAUGCAUUUUCAAUGAAAGCUUGAACAAUGAGUAUUUUGGGGAAGAGUAAACAUUUACAAUGCUUAUAAAUACCUAUGUCUGAACACUUUAAAAAUAAUACAUAAUUGUUUUCUUAAAAUCUAUUAAUAUAUGCCUUAUUUUUGUUUUUCUCUUCUUCUUUUCCUCUCUUUUUACUCUGCUUCCUUGGAUGCUUUCCCAAAGGAGGACAAAGUGGUUAGAAUCCAUGCUUUCUUUUCUAUAAUUUGUUAUUAUAAUGUUGUGAACUUUAUUGAGUGAAUGUUUCACCUAGUGUUGUCAGUCACUAUACUUUCACAAAGAAAUGAUAUACUAGGAAAAACUCAUUCCCAGUUCUCAUGGAAAAAUAAAUAAAUAAAAUGGACAUCUAGGGCAUUACAGAGUUUUAUUAUUAAUAACAGGUGAAGUCCGGGUAGUUUGAGUUCAUGGAAACAUUGAUAUUUAUAGUAUAGUUUAAAUCAUUAUGAACAAUUUGUCCUCUUAGCUUUCUGAGUUUUGAUGAUGAUUCCAUCUGCAAUAAACAAUAAACUGCAAUGGAACAAUAAAUCCCAAUGGAUUGUCCCUUUCUCAGCACUCAGUAGAUGCAUAGGCAGGUGAUUUAAAAUUUUAUUGCAGAAGGACUUGAAUGUACUGAUU
rnacentral:lncRNA from 1 species